rnacentral:lncRNA from 1 species
UUUUUUUUUUUUUUGUAAUUUAACUAAAUACUGCUGUAUGUAUAUAUAUAUAUAUAAAUUAGUUAUCUUUUUUAGUCCUAUAUUGUAAAAAAAUAUGAUUGUUUGUUAAAAAAAAAUGACAAAACAAUGGACCAAUGGACCGCUAAUAUGAGUCGGUGAAUCGGAUACACAAAAUUCUCUAAAUCCAUUUAAGCAAAAUUAAAAAAUAAAAUUCUAAUAAAAACCGUACAUGUACAGUCUCUCUCAUUUCAAAUUUCUUUCUCCUCUUCUCUAACGGCCAAGUCUCCCUCUCCUCCUCCCUUCUCUCUUGCUCUCUUGUCUUCUUUGGCCUAUCUCUCAAUUUCCGUUUCUGUAAGGAAGAAACCCUAUCAUACCCAUUUUGCGGAUCCAUCUCCAUCUUAUUCUCUUAGUCGCAGAUCCAAUCUCCAUCUUCUUCUCUUAGUGCGUCCUUUCCAUUUCUUCGUACACUCCAUUUUGAUAGAACUAAGUCAUGCACAGCGGAAAAAGAAUCGAAUUUCUACCCUAAUUGCCACAAUUAACAUGUAACCAUAAACUAAUCAAAUUAGGGUUUUAAGAAAUAUUACCUUUGAAGCUUUCAAAAGGUUUGAUAUCUUCUUACCAAUUCUAACCGAGACCACCACUAUUACUCAACUGCUAUCCUCUAGACAAAGAACCGGGUUGUGGGACCCAAUUUUGGUGUAGAAAGUAAUGGAGAUAAAAUGGGAUUGGGAGGUUUCUUUUUUUUUUCUUUUGUUGAGAUGAUGAAAAUGAUAAAAGAGGCAAAAGUUUUUCAACAUUUGAAAACACCUAUAUUUAUAACCUAAUUACAUGAAAAAAUGCAUGCAAUUCAUUUACCAAAUCUAAACAGUUAAUGUUCCACUAACAAUUAGUGGAACUUAGUGAGCUAGGUGUCUAUAUCUCAUAUAGGGAUAUCCCACUAAGAGUUAGUGGGAUUAUCCAACAAAAUGUUGGAUUUUCCCACUAACUUAGUCCAAGGGUAAAAUGGUCAUUAGAUAUUUCUAGUCAAAAGUCAAACUUUGACUUUUCUUAGUCAAAAGUCAAUAUUUUGACUUUUUUACCAUUUUGUCCGUCUUGACUAAUUCCAACCUCCCGAGCAUGAAUCCGCAUUCAUUUUUCCAAAAUUCAAAUCACAUUUGAAUAUAAGGCCGGUCAAAGUUUGACUUUUCAAAGUCAAAAGUCAACAUUUUGACUUUUUACUAUUUUUUACCAAUUCCAUCAAUUCCGAGCUUCUUAGUAUGAAUCUGCAUUCAUACUUAUAGUAUGUAAAACAUAAAGCUCUAUUUCUAAUUAGAAGACCGACGACUAUAUCACUAUAUUUGUCGGUUUCCCUUUCUUCUCCCAAUUCAAACAAUUCGACUUAUUUCAUCACACUGUUCUAAGUUUAAUCCAUAUGAGCUAGCAGAGGAACCUAAUGGACCUAUAGAUCAUGGGCUCCAACGAUUCAAGAUUAACUAGCUAAACUCUUUUAAACCGAGUUAAUCAACAUUCGUUAACUAACGGGUCAUUCCACUAAAGUCCCGUAGUUGCACUCCCCUCACUAUAGAUAUAUUUGUGUCCAUUUGAUAAAACCAUAAUCAGUAAGUUAAUCCUUCACAGGUUGCUCGUAACCUUGGCUGGGUCAAAAUACCAUUUUACCCCCAAGAUUACAUCUUGCUUCUUAAGUCCCACUAAUCCACUAUUGAACAAUUGGUUUAAGGUUCAACCUAUAAACUUAAUCCCUCUCGGGCCAAUGAGAGGGUGGGACCCCUUGUUCAAGACUUGGAUUCAGUGCUUAAGAGAAUAACCUAUCUACUAACUCUAAAGCGGGUAGGAGUGAAUUCCAUCUUGUACCCUAUGUUCCCAGCUAUCCACCGGAUCUUACCCCUGAAAUGAGAGGCUUAUUGGGCCAACGCUGAUGAGCUGCCCUCACCUAUGCAGAUCUAAGGAUAAUCUCGCGUGAACAGGAGUUCAUAAUUAACUCAGGAUUAAAACUAAGUUACCUAGGUCAUUAAUAAUUGAGAUAGUCAGUUUUAAACAGUAAACGGUGUUAUAACGUAAAAAAGACUAAUUCAUGGUUCAGUCUUAUGUAAACAUUUUACAUAGGAUGCCCCCACUUUCAUGUCUCUACAUGAACGAUUAGGAUCACCUCGUUUGUACUACAAAGUAGGCCGCAUCCAUAGUUUCUCUAAAUAAGGCGCACAACCUUUAUUUCAUAUACUAUAGACUAAUUCAUGGUUCAGUCUUAUGUAAACAUUUUACAUAGGAUGCCCCCACUUUCAUGUCUCUACAUGAACGAUUACGAGCAUCAUAACUUCUUAGAUCUUGCAUAAAAGGCAUGACUGUCAACCCUUGAGCACUAAGCUCGGGUUUGUGACGUGAGAUUCUGAAUUUAGAGAAUAAGCUUAUGUCCUUUUUGUUUUUGCUAAGUUUCAACUAAUACACUCAAUAUUUAUCUUUGUGCUUAUGUGAUAGAUUUGUUAUGCACUGUAGUGAUGUGGGGUGUUUCCUUAUUUUUUGCAUCUUAACUACCUUAUUUUCUGCAUCUUAAAUGCCUUAUUUUCUGCAUCUUAAAUGCCUUAUUUUCUGAAUCUUAAUUGGUACUGAAAUUUGGUUUGUUUCAGUGAUAGAGGCACUAUCAGCAUUGACAUGUACAUGUGAUUUUAGGCAUGAACCAAGAGAGUGAGAGUUUUAGUGUGCCGUGUUUAGAAUUUGCCAAUAUCUUUUUCCCGUUCCAACAAGUAUUACUGAUUUUGGGGGUAACUCUCAAGUCUGCAGUCUUUUCUUCAUGAAAUUUGUAGAUUAUCUAAGAAUACUAAUAUCGUUUAAUUGUGACAUUUUUUUAACAACUUUUCUUAACCCCACUUUCUGAAUUUCAUUAAGUUUACUCUUGUUUAAGUGACAGAUUCUUCCAGUAAUGCUAGAUAUUGGUACUAACAACGAGAAGUUACUUAAUGAUUCUCUUUGUAAGUAAAAGGGAAACCUUCAUGUCGUUUAUCUCCAUAUUUUCCUUGUAAUGUAUUGUGCUUAUAUUGAUCUGUUUCUAUUGUCAAUGGCGAUAUAUCUGGGUUUUUUGUUGUUGUUGUGGUGGUGGUGGUGAAAUAUUUUAUUUAAGCCUCUAGAUAAUAUUUAUGCUUACUUAACAGAAAAUUUGUUGCUUGAGCUUGCUUCAUUUGGUCCUUUUACUUGUUUAAGUCCUCCUCUAACUAAUUAUACAUUUCGUCUUUUACUUGUUUAAGUCCUCCAAAAAGUAUUGAUUACUUUAAUAAAUUCCCUCACCAGCAUCAUCACCUCUUAUUCAACAAACUGGUUUUUCCCAAAAGCAAAAAAGGAAAAAAAAAAAGAUAAAGACAAUCAAGAACAACCAUCAACUACAUGAAAAAAAAAAAAAAGAGAAGAAAAAGAUAGCUACUGAAAAACAUUACUACCCAUCUGAAAAACGAGAAGGACCACUAAAUUUUCAGAUAUAACAUUUUCUCUAACUCACUCCGUUUGUGUAUCUGAAAGUAUCUCUCAGCCCUAAACAACCAAGAAUCAGGAUCAUUUCCCACAAAACUGGCAUUUCAAUUUUUUAAAAUUUGCUUCGGUCGUCCGCAGAAUCUUCACCCUCCAACUUGGUAUGUUUUUCCUCAGAUUUUCCCCCCAUCAUCGUUGAAUCACUGACAUCAACCAUGCUGUCAACUUUACUUGAUGAUUCUUCUAGUACUUCUUCCAUCGUUGUCUUCCCUUUGAUCAUUCCUUCAAUAUAUUUCAAUAGUGUUUCUGGUAGAUGUUGUAGCUUCUCAGCCUGUACUCCUAACCUCUCAAUACUCUUCGCCAAAGAUGAUAUGUUUUCCUUGAUUGUUGGCAGAUCAUGUAAUUCUGCUCGAAUGCCGGAUAUUUCUUGAUCUACCAUUUCCAACUUUUCCUCAAUUUUCUUUUGAGCCAUGAUAUAGAACUUCACAUAUUCGAUUUCUCUGAUGCCAAAAUGAUAGAACACCAAAUAGUGUGUUCUUCUAAUUUAUUAAUCAACCAAACUUUUAAAGAAAACAUGUUCUAACACAGUCUUGAAAACAAAGUACAACACAAGAACUAAUACAAGGAUAAACCAAGUUCAACAUAAAACAUCAAAACAGUAAAGUACUUCACGAUAAUGGAAAUAACUUGCUCCAGACUACAGAAACUGAACACUUUCUGCAUUCCCUGCUCUCCAGGAAAUUAGAGCCCUCUACUUCCAGAAACCGAAUAACCACCCCUCUCUUCCCUCCAUUCUUUCCCUUUUAACUCUCUCUCAUGUAACUAACCGUGGUCCCCACCAAGGUGGUUUCCACUUCUUUUUCCACUUCUCUCCAUUUCCCUUCUCUUGUUCACGUGCAACUGCUCCCUUUUUCCUCCUACUAUAUUGUAAAAUAAUUGGUGGUCUAUCACAUUACUUAUGUGAAUGUGAACCAUUAUUUUGUUUGAAUUUGAAACUGAUCCUCUCUUUGUUUUUUGUUUCUUUGGUUACCAGCUAGUGCUUAUGUGCCUGCCUGGUGGGCCUUCAAAUGUUUCAAGUAUGCACUUUUUCUAAUUCCAAUUGCUUCAUGUUUUUUUGUUCUUGAAGAGGAGGGAUAGUGUGAAGAAUCAAAUUCAAGUUUGUGGCUGUACAGGAACAACUAUGUGAAAGAGACCACCUAUUCGCGAACUGGAAAGGAGAGUAGAAGAUAAAGAUAGAGAAUUGCAAUCAAUUACAUUAGACAACGAAGCGGUCUGUUGUUUUUUUUCCUCAUGCUUGAUUUGCUUGCAUAAGAAUGUUUUUAAAUGAUUUGUUUUUUUCUUCACUAACCCUUUUAUUCUAUAAUUUCUUCACAGGCUUGGGUCAAGGAUGAUCUUCUGUGGGAAAAAGAAAAAGAAUUAGCAACUUACAAGUUACAUUUUUUGUUGAAGUCUUUCAAUUUUUCUCUUCUUUAGCCAUUGAUUUUACUUUUUGCUUACACUCACAUCCUAACACAUUCUUUAGUAUUUUAAUUUUAUUGCAGUACAUUAUAUACAAUCUUCAUUUUUCUUGGCUCUGCUGUAAAUGGUGUUUAUUUUAUUAUGGAUUUGUAUAUUAUACAACACUGCCAUAUUAAGUCAUAAAGUUAUGAAAAUUAGAAACACACCCUUUGUAGGAGAGAACGUGAACCUUCCUUUGAAGAAAAUUGAGAGAUUUUCCUUCGAAGAACAAGGAUGAAUAAUCAAUGAAAAAGGAAUGAAGAGGCUUAUCCAUGCAAGCUUCAAAACAAAGUCAAGGAUGUUGAUCCUUCUAGGGGAGUCCACCGUUCCCCCCUUAUUUUUCUCCCUUUACUUUGAUUUUCAAAAGCUUUGAGGACGAAGCAAUUUUUUAAGCGGAGGGUGGAUAAUAGCUCGCUUGUUUUGUCUAAACUUGAGGGAUUACAAAUUUUGCCCAAAUUUAAAAAAAUUUCAGAAGUUUUUCAUUACAACAAUGAGCAUUAUAGCUUCUUAAAUCUUGCAUAAAAGGCAUGACUGUCAACCCUUGAGCACUAAGCUCGGGUUUGUGACGUGAGAUUCUGAAUUUUGAUGAGUAUAUGUACUGAAAUUUGAGAAUAAGCUUCUGUCCUUUUAAGCCCUUUCACAACUUGUACAUAUCCUUUAUUUUUUUAGUUAGUUGGGGUUUACUCCAAUUUUGUUAGUUGGAUGAAGCAAUUUGGAGUUUCAAAGUUCUUGAAAAGGUUAAAUUUUUUGUUUGAAAUUGGGCUCUCGGUACUAUUGAUACAACAGUCAAACAGUAGUAGUUGAGACGUGAAACCUCGUGAUUACCUGCAUUCUAGUGUUUGCAGUUUAUGAAAAAGUAGAGAACUGUUGACAACUCCUUUUUUUUUCUUCACUAGGGUAAUAAGAAGCAUUGGAACUUCCCUAUUAAACGAUAGUCUUACUUGUUGUCUCCACAUGGUAGUAAAAUAUUGUUUACUUCAUCUCUUUAGCCGUCUGCAUCUUAAAUGCAAAAGCUCACAAUAUAUGGGUGACAUGAGUCAAAGGGAUCUAAGACAAGUAGACCCCCUGUCCCCAUCCUUUUUACCCUCCGUGGUGAUGCUUCCAACAUAUUAGUUUACUUCUAUAUGGAGAAAUAAGCUCUUGAAGGUUGGGAGAUCAGUAGAAAAAAGGUGGCUAUCCUUCAUCUUCAAUAUGCUUAUGACACUUUGGUUUUUUGUCUAGGGGAUGUUCAUUCUUUAAUUUUAAUGUGGCGAAGUUCUUCCUAAUUGAGAUUAAUGUUAAGGAGCAUAAAGUAUUUAGGCUUGCAGUUGAGUUGGGUUGUAAGAUGGAGUCUCUCUCCUUAACAAAUUAGUUUACUUCUUUAUGGAGAAAUAAGCUCUUGAAGGUUGGGAGAUCAGUAGAAAAAAGGUGGCUAUUUUUCAUUUCAGUAUGCUGAUGACACUUUUGUUUUUUGUCCAGGGGAUGUUCAUUCUUUAAUUUGAAUAUGGCGAAUUUCUUCCUAAUUUGGAUUAAUAUGAAGGAGUAUAAGGUGUUUGAUGGAACUCCAAUUGGUAUUAACGUAGGAAUUUUAUUGAUAGUAGCAAGGGAAUGAAUUCCCAAAUACAAGCUAACACUCAUACCUUCUGCAACCUAUCUUUCAAGGGAACAGAAAGGUACUCUUUACUUGAAUCUCUAACUAACUUUCCCACCUUUCUAUUUCAUCUAUUUAUACUAGUCUCUCAUUCCCUCCUACGAACUAACUCACACGUGCUUCUCACGUAUUAAUUAUUUUUCUUCUCUCUUCUACUAUAUUGAUAUAAGAUAGGAGGUUUAUCAGUGUUUAGGCUUGCAGUUGAGUUGGGUUGUAAGAUGGAACCUCUCACCCUUAACUCGCUAGGCUUUCCUUUGGGUGGUAAGCAUUGCUUUCUGGCUUUCUGGCUUUCUGGGAUGUCGACAAAAUUAGAAGUAGGAUUGCUAAAUGGAAGAAUUUUUUUCUUUCCAAAGGUGGCUGGUAAUCAUUGAUUGCUCCGUUGCUCAAUGGGUUGCCUUUGCAUUUCCUUUCCCUCAUCAAAGCUCCUUACAGGAUGAUUAAAAGUAUGGAGAAACUGUUUAGAUAUUUCUUCUAGGGUGGUGAAGACUACAACUCAGGGAGUCAUCUUGUUAUAGGAAAGUUCCAGCACUCAUUGAGAAAUGGAAAAUUCAUGGAAUCAGUUACUUGGUUCUCUGUGAAUUAUAUGUUUAAAAUUUUUCAUUCAUAAUCUAUAAUUAUGUACCCCAUAUAUGGUUCUCAGAUUUUAGCAAGUCAUUUGAUUUAACAACAUAUUGAUAAUAACUUUGACUUUUAUUUUGCAGCCUUUCUACUCUAUGCAGCAUCUGUUAUGACAACUGUGUUUAUUGUGGUUAUAUUGCUUUUUUUUUGUUGUCAAUGGCGAUAUAUCUGGGAUUUUUGUUUUUGUUGUUGUUGUUUUGGUGGUGAUGGUGGUGAAAUAUUUUAUUUAAGCCUCUAGUUAAUAUUUAUGUUUACUUAACAGAAAAUUUGUUGCUUGAGCUUGCUUCAUUUUGUCCUUUUACUUGUUUAAGUCCUCCUCUAGCCUUGUUAGUUUAUUAGACAAGCUUGAUGCUUCAUUUAUUUCCUGGAUUGAUGGCUAAUGAAAAACUUCUUGUACUCUUCUUCAAUCAUCUUUAAGUUGUUUAAGAGACGUUAGCUUCACACAAUUUGUACAUUGAGAUGAUGGUCUAUUAAUUUGUGAAUUAUAUACAUAGCAUAACAAAUAUUAUUUCUUUCAGCAACGGGAUAAUUGUUAUGCUUUAUAGAUAUAUAUAUAUUUUUGAAGUUCAUUGUAUUUUCUUCUUCCAACUACAGGUUGACAUGAUUGUCUUGACAGAUGGAAGUCGUAUUCUUGGCCUCGGUGACCUCGGAGUUCAGGGAAUAGGAAUACCUACAAGAAAGCUGGAUAUGUAUGUUGCUGCUGCUGGCAUAAACCCUCAAAGAGUAUGUUUUUCUUAGACAAACUCAACGCCCUCCCUUCAUCCAAUGGUUGUUUAUCAAACUUGAUUUCAAUCAGUUGUGGCUAUUGUUUUAAUUGUUUAUAGGAUCGCCUGCAUUCAGAUUGUUUUAUCUUCUCAUGUUGGGCUACUUCCAAGAAAUUUUUUAAGUGAAGGGUGGAUAAUAGCUCGCUUGUUUAGUCUAAAGUCGGGGGAUUUCAAAUUUUGCCCAAAAUUUCAAAAUUUUUCAAAAUUUUUUCAUUACAAUAACGAGCAUCAUAGCUUCUUAGACCUUGCAUAAAAGGCAUGACUGUCAACCUUUGAGCACUAAGCUUGGGUUUGUGACGUGAGAUUCUGAAUUUUGAGAAUAAGUUUAUGUCCUUUUUGUUUUUGCUAAGUUUCAACUAAUACACCUAGUAUUUAUCUUUGUGCUUAUGUGAUAGAUUUGUUAUGCACUGUACUGAUGUAGGGUGUUUCCUUACUUUUUUGCAUCUUAACUACCUUAUUUUCUGCAUCUUAAAUGCCUUAUUUUCUGCAUCUUAAAUGCCUUAUUUUCUGAAUCUUAAUUGGUACUGAAAUUUGGUUUGUUUCAGUGAUAGAGGCACUAUCAGCAUUGACAUGUACAUGUGAUUUUAGGCAUGAACCAGGAGAGUGAGAGUUUUAGUGUGCCGUGUUUAGAAUUUGCCAAUAUCUUUUUCCCGUUCCAACAAGUAUUACUGAUUUUGGGGGUAACUCUCAAGUCUGCAGUCUUUUCUUCAUGAAAUUUGUAGAUUAUCUAAGAAUACUAAUAUCAUUUAAUGGUGACAUAUUUUUAGCAACUUUUCGUAACCCCACUUUCUGAAUUUCAUUAAGUUUACUCUUGUUUAAUUGACAGAUUCUUCCAGUAAUGCUAGAUAUUGGUACUAACAACGAGAAGUUACUUAAUGAUUCUCUUUGUAAGUGAAAGGGAAACCUUCAUGUCGUUUAUCUCCAUAUUUUCCAUGUAAUGUAUUGUGCUUAUAUUGAUCUGUUUCUGUUGUCAAUGGCGAUAUAUUUGGGUUUUUUGUUGUUGUGGUGGUGGUGGUGGUGAAAUAUUUGGUUGCUUGAGCUUGCUUCAUUUGGUCCUUUUACUUGUUUAGGUCCUCCUCUAACUAAUUAUACAUUUCGUCCUUUUACUUGUUUAAAUCCUUCAAAAAGUAUUCAUUACUUUAAUAAAUUCCCUCACCAGCAUCAUCACCUCUUAUUCAACAAACUGUUUUUUCCCAAAAGCAAAAAAGAAAAAAAAAAAAAAGAUAAAGUCAAUCAAGAACAACCAUCAACUACAUAAAAAAAAAAGAGAAGAAAAAGAUAGCUACUGAAAAACAUUACUAGAUUCGUCAUUUAACCAUAAGACUUUAUAAUUUUAAAAAUAUAUUUUUUAACAACAUUAAAGAGUUUUUAUUUGGGUUCUAUUUCAAAUAAAUUUUGAAAGUUUAAAAGUAUCGAUAACAAAGAAAGUUCAUAAAAGUCGUUCAAUCACGAAACCCAAAACAGUCUCAAUUACUAAAGAAAACCAAAAAAAAAAUAAAUAAAUAAAGCAGAAGCAAUUUGAAGGACAUUUAUCACAAAAUCAGUUGAUACUGUAACAACACACCAGACAGUCAAGAUAUAUAUAUAUACAUAACACCUUUCUCAAUUCACAAAUACAUUAUCCAUCAUAUCUACUUCUAUAUGUGUGUGUAUAUAUAUAUAUAUAUAUACCAGUCUGACAUAAUAUACAUUUGUCAUCAUAUCUAGUUCUGCAUAUAUUGGUAAACCAUACUAAGUCCAGAGAUCCAAACAGUCAACACAUUUCAAAACUUUCAAAGAGUCCAGUAGUAGAAACCCCCUACUUUAAUGUUACUCAAACUUCUUGAACGAAGGAAACCUAAUAAUAAGAAUAUGGAACUCAAUUACUUUCACAAUACUUUCUUUCAUUGAAUUUCCUCAAUGUAAAUUCUAGCUUACCAAAGUAUUGGCGAAUCGAACUCCAACAAAUCUACAAUUUAGUUGUGAAUCCAAAGAACUCAAACGCUACCUUCAAGAAUCAAUUAACAAUUUAACUAAUUAUCCAAAACUACAACCCAAGGAUAAUUACAAUGUAAAACCACCACAUUCACCAAUACAACUUACCACAAAAAUCCCAAAAAUUAGAGUAAAAUGGGGGCAACAACUUCGAAUAACUGGAAUCGACGUGUGUAAUAGAUCAAAUCUAAUCAACAAAUGAAAAACAAACUUCAGCAUACAACCUAUGGCUGGAAGGUGAAGAGUUGCGUGACGGCACUUCGACAGACGCGACGGGCUCAGGUCUGGUCGAUGGCUGCUUCAACUAAGUAACAACGUCGGUGAGAUGAUAGGUCAAUCGGUGACGUUCCUCAUCACCUGGAGCAGAAUGUGGCGGCGCGAACGUCGAAAGAGCUACACGCGAAUGAAUCACAACUUGGCUGGAAAACAGAGGUGAGAUGCGAUGCCGAGAGUUCGAACCCACGACGAACGGUGCUUCGGCUUCAACGGAGACGAAGCGAUCGGUGACGUCCAAGAGUAACAUAAAAUGGCUAAGGGAGGCAGGUAGCGGUGGGCACGGGGAAGAGGAAGAGUGAAGGAGAAAGAGAUGGGGUUGCACGUGAAUCAAUAAAGAAUUGAUAUUUUAAAUUAAUAAUAACAUUAAUUCUAUUAUUAUUAUUUAACCUUUAGUAUUAGUAUAUUUUUUCAUAAAAGCCCCCUUCACUUCCUGCUAAAUCCACACCACAACCAAAUUCCUUAAAAUCUUAAUAAAAUUUUGAAAAUUUAGCUUGAGAGAAAUACCUUAAUAUUGGGGGUGUUACAUAGUUUCUCUCUAAUUUUUUUUUUUCAUUCCAAUUGUUUUCCACAAACUAAUCUCAUCUUAGAAGAUAGGAAGGUCUCCAACGGGUGGUGUCCCCAAUUCGGUGGAUUGUAGAUUCAGAGACGUCAACAAGAGUAAGUUCUAUGUAUCUUUUAAUUUAAAAGCACAUUUAGUUCUUUAUUUAGAACUUUAAUUCUAAAUAUUGUCAAUGUACUGGUAUUUUGGAAUUUUCAAAUUAAAUUGAUGAAUGGUUCUGUAAAGUCUUUCACUGCGAAGAGCUUUUAUCCCUUUAGGGCACACAUACCAAUUAAACUAAUGCAAGACCUUUGACAGUAGUUAAUGGUAGCAUCUCACAAAGUGGAAGUGGUUGGCUUACCAACGAAAGAUUUUUCAAUUAUUUCUAGCAAUCCCUUUUCUGUUUGAGUAUGACCUUCCAUAUUUUCUGCUAUAUUACUUAUAGUUAAUAUCAAAUGUGCAUCUUUGCCAUCUAUGCUAAUAUCACUGCCUGACUGCUCUUGAUGUUGAGGUGUUGUUCAUUUUUGUUCCCUACACAGAAAAGAAAAAAAUUAUUGUUGUUUAUUUAUAAUCUAAGCAGUUUUAAACAAUAUAAAGCAGUAACUAAUGAAUUAAACACUAACUGUUGAGUUUCUACAAUAGAUUCUUGAGGAUGUGACUCUUGAACAGAUGGAUUCUCAUGGAUGAUCACAUGUUUGUUAUUUUGAUGGUCAUCAUUCUUGUCCAGAUUGUGAUGACUAGAAUCAUUACGAAGAUCAUCAUACAUGUUGUUAAUAUCAUCAAACAAUUGAUUUUGAUUAUAGUAUAGAAAGAAAAAAGGAAAAAAAAUAGUUACAAAAUGAUCGUGUAUCCUUAAGCAAACAAUCGUGUAGAAUAUCUAAACGGUUGUUUUACCAAGGGUGACCAAUAUUUCAUAUGGGAUAUGCGAUCGUUCAUAUGUGAUAUGCGAUCGUGUAAAGAUAUAUCAAACCUUUGUUUUGUCAGAAGUCAUGCUAAGAAUAGUUGAAAGCUUGUAAUAAGAUCCAUCAAAACUGAAAGAUUUUACAUCAACACGUUCCUAACACAGUAAUGCAGUAUCAAUGAGCAUCAAAUUACGUGAGAUACGUAUUAGAAAAUAUCUAACUGUUCAGUUAAUUUUUUAUGGACAUCAAAUCACCUUUUUUCAAGCUUAAGGAAGGAAAUGUCGGCACUAUAUAUGUCAGAGUUGUGCAUUGCAAUGGAAGUGCCAACACGAGGUGAUACAUGUGUGUCUUUCUGGGAUGUAAAUGCCACUCCCCGACUAGGACCAACAUAGUCUUGGGGAGAAAGCAUGCUAGGAACUAGAGUUGUGUCCUCAAUUUCUUCUUACACUGGAAUGUCUCCUGUUCAUAGAGUUUAUAGGAUUUCUCAAGGCCAUUUUUGUAUACUUAACCGCUCUUGACAACGGUAGAGAGUCUAAAUCUACACUUUCAGGGGGUUCCAACUCCACCACUCGAUGAACCAAAGAUAGAGACGAAUCAUUAAUGAUCUAGUAAGCAACAUGAAACCUUGUAAUUUUGGGGCCAACGGUAGUCCAUCCCAUCACUAGCUCAACAGUCAAACGGAGUCUCCUGUAUAAAAUAUAAAAUAAUACAUACACAAAUAGUGAAUGAAAUCUUGUGACGUAACAAACACAAAUUUUAUGUAUAUUGCAAUUUGACUAAAUAUUGAACAAGAAAGCCCAAGGGAAUACACAAAAAUGCAACGUUUUUACGGGUCAUUUUGAAAAAUGGCAAAACUACUUUUUCUUUUCAAUUUUAGCAAACAACAUUUUUUGCACGUGCAUGGUAUUUUAUAAAAUAAGAAAAUAUUCACCUUCUCCAACUAUAAUUAUUUUGUUUUUACGUUGUAAUUAAUUUAUGUUAUGUAUUAUUCAACUUUUUAAAUUUUUACUUGAAAUAGAUACAUCAACUCAUAUCAUAACUUUUCUCUUAAAAUCUCGGGACUGAACUAAUUGAUUCAACAUUUUAAUAACAUUAUUCAAUCUUACUAAUUUCAAAAUAACCUAAUUGAAUUUGAAUUUCAAAAUAACCAAAUUGAAUUUCAAAAUUACAAAAUUAUUAUUUUUUAGAAUUUGAGAAUCUCAACGAUAGAUUUUAUAUUAAAAUAACAUUAUCUCAAAAUAAUUUUAAUGACUUGAAUAUCAAGAUAAUUAAAUUAUUAUUUUAAAAUUGGAAGAAACGGACAAAAAGCGCACACACCCACUCACGUACACACGCACGCGCGCAUAUAUGCACACACACCCACACACACAAACGUGCACACGUGGACACUCACACCCACGCACACGUAGACACACACACCAACACACACGUGGACACACGCAUACGCAUACACGCACAUAUGAACAAAGAUGUGUAAAUGAAUUAAAAUUAGAAAGACUUUUAAACCAUGUUCAUUUGACUUAGUAACGUUAAUUAAAUUAUAAUUUCUAUCAAUAUUGGUUUAAAAGUAUCAUUAGUGUAAUUAUUUCAAUAUAAUGCAGUCUUAUCCAAUUUUACGAACAAAAAACAAGUCGAAUAUGUACUAGUAGAUGCACACUCUUUGUCAUAAGAGAUAUAACAACGUUUUUAUGGAUCAUUUUGAAAAAUGGCAAAACUAUUUUUUCUUUUAAAUUUUAGCAAAUAGAAUCUUUUGCACAUAUGCAUGAUAUUUUAUAAAAUACCAAAAUAUUCACCUUCUCAAACAGUAACUAUUUUGUUUCUACGUUGUAAUUAAUUUAUGUUAUGCAUUUAUUAGUUUUUAAUUAUUUUUUACCUGAAAAAGAUACAUCAACCCAUAUCAUAACUUUUUUCUUAAUAUCUGGGGACUCAACUAAUUGAUUCAAGAUUUUAAUUUUAUUCAAUCUUAUUAAUUUCAAAAUAACUUAAUUAAAUUUCAAUUUCAAAAUAACAAAAUUAUUAUUUUUCGGAAUUUGAGAAUCUCAACGAUAGAUUUUGUAUCAAAAUAACCUUAAUUGAAGUUCAAAAUUAAAAAAUAUCAACUUGUACACUAUCUUUAUCUCAAAAUAACAUUAAUGGCUUGAAUAUCAAGAUAAUUAAAUUAUUAUUUUAAAAUUGAGAGAAACUUUACAUUAAAAAAUAUCAACUUGUUCGCACACGCGCACACGUGCACAAUGCACGCACAAAGACGCGCACACACGCACACCACAGGCACACACACAUAUCCACCAAAAUUUGUAAAUGAAUUAAAAUUAAAAAACAAUUAAAUUAGUUGUGUUUAGAAAGACUUUUAAAUCAUGUUGAUUUGACUUAAUAACAUUAAUUAAAUUAUAAUUUAUAUCAAUAUUGGUUUAAAAGUGUCAUUAGUGUAAAUAUUUCCAUAUAAUGCGGUCUUAUCCAGUUUUACCAAUAAAAAACAAGUCGAAUAUGGACCAAUAGAUCCACACUCUUUGUCAUAAGAGAGAUGACAACAUUUUUAUGGGACAUUUUGAAAAAUGACAAAACUACUUUUUCCUUUGAAUUUUAGAAAAUAACAUUUUUUGCACGUGCAUGGUAUUUUAUAAAAUACCAAAAAAUCCAUCUUCUCCAACUGUAAUUAUUUCGUUUCUACGUUGUAUUUAAUUUAUAUUAGAGAUAACUGUGAGAAUAGCAAAAUUUAGUAUAACAAACUGAAAAAUAGCAAAUCUGAAACAUAUUAAGAAUUUUGGCAAAAUUAGUGGUUACAAAAAAUUUUGGAUUUUUUUUACCCGUUUAUACCCUUUUAAGUAGAAUAAUACGUGUUUUCAGAUACAAUGUAUUUGUCAAAUAACACACAAUCACAGGUACAUUGUAUUUGCAACCUACAAUUAGUUUUGAAAAAUAUUAACUAAUUUGGAUUAACAAGAUUUCCCCUAUAUCCCCUAAAUAUAUGUCUAUAAUUCAUAACAAAUGUUUGGAUUUUUAGUAUUUAAAUCAAAUUAAUUAACAUUUAUUUAUUUAAUUCAUGUUUAAUAAAGAUUUCCUCUACAAAAUUGCUAAAAGAUUUUCAACCGUUCCUCAUUCAUUAGAUUUCAUAAUAUUUUGAAUUCAAAUAUUAUAAAAUCUAAUCCCUAAAACAAUGACAAUCACUACUUCAUUAUUUUCAUAUGAUAAUACAUAAUACAUAUGGUUAAUAAAAAAAAUGGUUAUGAGAAUUUCAACAAUUCCCAAAUCAUUAUAUUUCAUAAUAUUUUGAUUUCAAAUAUUACAUCAUAUCCCUAAUGGCAAGCAUAAAUUAAACAUUUUGUAUUACUUAUAUUUCAAAUUAUUUAAAGAAAAUUAUCAGAUAAUACAUAGUACGUAUGGUUACUAAUAAUUUAAAAACAAAGUUUUAUCAUCACUACAAUUGUGUUAAUUAUGAUUAUACACUUAUUUUGAUUGAUUUUUAUUCAAAAAAUAAUUUACUGUGCCUCUUGUAUCGAAUAAUUAUUUUUUACGUUGUGUUUUUUAAUUACGUUAAUAUUCAUAUUUAUUUUAAUUAGAUGUUUUAUUUUGUAUGUGAUGUUUUAUUUCCAUUCAUCCUUGUUAUGCAUGUGUAAUCAAGAAGUAUAAUACGUGUAUGUAUGAUAAUACAUGUUUUACUUGUAUUUGCAUGAUACAAAAUAAUGAGAUCAAAUAUCAUACCAUUUAGUGUAUUUGCAAACUUUUGAAAAAUAUUAAUUAAUUUAAGAUAUUUUCAAUAUCUCCUAAAUAUAUGCCUAAAAUUUUUAGGGGUCAUUUUGAAAAAUAGCAAAACUACUUUUUCUUUUGAAUUUUAGCAAAUAACAUUUUUUGCACGUGCAUGGUAUUUUAUAAAAUGCCAAAAUAUCCACCUUCGCUAACUGUAAUUAUUUUGUUUAUACAUUGUAAUGAAUUUAUGUUAUGCAUUUCUCAGCUUUUAAUUAUUUUUUACCUGAAAAAGAUAUAUCAACUCAUAUCAUAACUUCUUUCUUAAUAUCUCGGGACUCAACUAAUUGAUUCCACAUUUUAAUAACUUUAUUCAAUCUUACUAAUUUCAAAAUAACCAAAUUGAAUUUGAAUUUCAAAAUAACCAAAUUGAAUUUCAAAAUAACAAAAUUAUUAUUUUUUUAGAAUUUGAGAAUCUCAACGAUAGAUUUUGCAUCAAUAACCUUAAUUGAAUUUCAAAAUUAAAAAUAUCAACUUGUUCGCAAUCUUUUAUUUCAAAAUAACAUUAACUGCUUUAAUAUCAAGAUAACAAAAUUAUUAUUUUAAAAUUUGGAGAAUCUCAACAUUAAAAAAUAUCAACUUGUUCGCACACACGCAUAGACGCACACACACGCACGGACGCACACACCCACGAACACACACAGAUGCACUUACACCCACACACACAUGCACACACACACACGGAUACAAGCACAAACGCACACACACGCACACGCACGCGCACAUAUGCACACACGCACAAAGAUGUGUAAAUUAAUUAAAGUUAAAAAAAACAAAUACAUUAAUUGUGUUUAGAAAGAGUUUUAAACCAUGUUCAUAUGACUCAAUAACAUUGAUUAAAUUAUAAUUUCUAUCAAUAUUGGCUUAAAAGUGUCAUCCGUGUAAUUAUUUCAAUAUAAUGCGGUCUUAUCCAAUUUUACCAACAAAAAACAAGUUGAAUAUGGAUUAGUAGAUCUACACUCUUUGUCAUAAUCGACAUAACAACGUUUUUAUGGGUCAUUUUGAAGAAUGACAAAACUACUUUUUCCUUUGAAUUUUAGCAACUAGCAUUUUUUUGCACGUGCAUGGUAUUUUAUAAAAUACCAAAAUAUCCACAUUCUUCAACUGUAAUUAUUUCGUUUCUACAUUGUAAUUAAUUUAUGUUAUGUAUUUAUUAGCUUUUAAUUAUCUUUGACUUGAAAUAGAUACAUCAACUCAUAUCAUAAUAUUUUUCUUAAUAUCUCGAGACUCAACUAAUUAAUUCAACUUAUUAAUAACUUUAUUCAAUCUUACUAAUUUCAAAAUAAGCUAAUUGAAUUUGAAUUUCAAAAUAACAAAAUUGAAUUACAAACUAACAAAAUUAUUACUUUUCGGAAUUUGAGAAUCUCAACGAUAGAUUUUAUAUUAAAAUAACCUUAAUUGAAUUUCAAAAUUAAAAAAUAUCAACAUGUUCACUAUCUUUAUCUCAAAAUAACAUUAAUGUCUUGAAUAUCAAGAUAAUUAAAUUAUUAUUUUAAAAUUGAAAGAAACUCAACAUUAAAAAAUAUUAACUUGUUCGCAUACAAGCACACAAGCACUACGCACACGUACACAUGCACACUUACACACACACGCGCACACGCACACCUACACACAGACACCCACAGACGCACGAACGCACGCACACACACACACACACACCUAUCCACAUGCGCACAAGCUCACACACAUGCACAAACGCACACACGCGUACACACAUACACACAUACACACACGUAAACACAUACGCACACGCGAACAAACACGCACGCGUGAGCACACCUACACACCCAAGCACACAUGCAAUAGCCCGCGCACACACACACACGCACAAACACACACAAACAUGCACACAACCACACACACAUGCACACAGACACUCGCACGAACGCACGCACACACACACACCUACCUACACGUGCACACGUACAUACGCACAUAUGCAUAAAGAUGUAUAAAUGAAUUAAAAUUAAAAAACAACUACAUUAAUCCUGUUUAGAAGGACUUUCAAACCGUGUUCAUUUGACUUAAUAACAUUAAUUAAACUAUAAUUUCUAUCAAUAUUGGCUUAAAAGUGUCAUUCGUGUAAUUAUUUCAAUAUAAUGCGAUUUUAUCCAAUUCAAUUAGCAACAAACAGGUCGAAUAUGAACCAGUAGAUAUACACUCUUUCAUAAGAGAUAUAGCAACAUUUUUAUGGGUCAUUUUGAAAAAUGGAAAAACUACUUUUUUUUUUAAUUUUAGCAAAUAACAUUUUUUGCACGUGCAUGCUAUUUUAUAAAAUACCAAAAUAUCCAUAUUCUCCAACUGAAAUUAUUUUGUUUCUAUAUUGAAAUUAAUUUAUAUUAUACAUUUAUCAGCAUUUAAUUAUUUUUAAAUAAAAAAGAUACAUCAACUCAUAUCAUACUUUUUUCUUAAUAUCUCGGGACCCAACUAAUGGAUUCAAGAAUUUAACUUUAUUUAAUCUUACUAAUUCCAAAAUAACCUAAUUGAAUUUGAAUUUCAAAAUAACAAAAUUAUUAUUUUUUAGAAUUUGAGAAUCUCAGCAAUAGAUUUUGUAUCAAAAUAACUUUAAUUGAAUUUCAAAAUUAAAAAAUAUCAACUGAUUCACUAUCUUUAUCUCACAAUAAUAUUAAUGGCUUGAAUAUCAAGAUAAUUAAAUUAUUAUUUUAAAAUUGAGAGAAACUCAACAUUAAAAAAUAUCAACUUAUUCACACACAAUCACACGCACACACACACGAACAUAUGCACACACACGCACACACACACAAACGCACACACGCACACGCACACCAACCCGCAUGCACACAAAUGCACACGCAAACACGCACACACCUACUCACGUACAUAUGUAUGUGCGCGUGCACACACCCAAGCACACGUGGACAUGCGCACACGCGAGCGCACACACAUGCACACUGAUGGUUCAAUUUCGUCGAUAGUUCCUAUUUUUGCUGACAGUUUAUUUUUUGCCAUCGAUAGAGGAUCUUCCGACAGACCUACGUGACGGUGUGUGUUGAUAGCUUAAUUUGGUUGGCAAAAGAAAAGCUGAUGAGUUUUUGAAGAUUUACUGACGAUAUUUGUCAUCGACAAAGGGUAAAUUUCUUGUAGUGCAUGUACAUCAAACGUAUCAAAUUUGUUAAGUGUACCAAUGAAGCAUAACAAGUUUAUUAGUGGUGUAUCAAGUGUAUCAAACUUAUAAGUGAAGUCUUUAAGUGUAUCAAACUAAUCAAGUGUAUCAAGGCCUCAGGGGUAUCAAGUGUAUCAAGAAGAAUCAAGUGUAACGAGAAGUAUUAUGUGUAACGAGAAGUAUUAUGUGUAUGAAGAUGUUUCAGGUGUGUAUCAAAAAGUAUCGAGUGUAUCAAUGAGUACCGAGUGCAUGAAGUGUAUCUAUCAAAUGUAUCAAGUGUAUCAACAAGAAGUAUCAAGUGUAUCAAGGGAUAUUAUGUGUAUCGAACGUGCAUAAGGUGUAUCAAAUGUACAUCAAUAACGAUGGCAUUUGUGACAUUUUACCUCUUGAUGUGUGAGCUGGUCUUUGUUUUUGUCAUUUUCUCAAAUAAUAAAGUAUGGGUUCUAUGUACUUAAUUAUUAUAACUUAUUUUGCCAUUUUCGCAAGUGUCCCUUAAUUGUAAUACAUGUAUAUGCGACAUAAUCUAAUCAAACUAACUCAUAAAUGGACUUAAUCGAUCUCAUGGACCACAAAUUCUUCAAUUACUUGCAAAUUUGGUGACUUCCUUCAAACGGUGGGUGUAGAGCUUAAUUUUGAGAGAGAGGAAAAGUCGUGAAGAGUAUUUGCGAGAGAGGGGGGAACGUCGCCAGAGAGCAUUUGCGAGAGAGAAAGACAGCGAUGAUGUGGGAUGAAGUAAGGUUUUUUUCGGUCGUUGUUCACAAGUGGGAUGAAAGCUUCGAAUUAUUUGUUUUAAAUCAGAAAACGUAUGAUUGAAGGAAAACAUUGAUUGUUUAUUAGGGUAAUUUUUAAUGACACAUAAUUUAUGUCAUUAAUUAACAAUGCAAAAAUUUUGUCAAGAAAACUCAAUUUGUGUCACGAAAAAUUUUGUAUUUUUAUUUUUAACGACACAUUUUAUUCCCUCAUAUCCAUUUGUCUUGAUUUCAUGUGUCAUUAAAACUUGUAUUUCUAAAUAAAUUUAUUCGACGAAAGUGGCUAGAUUGGUGGGUUCAACAGCGAAGGCUUGUUGUGGCAGCAACGACAACAAUGGUUGGAGUGUGGAAUCGACGGCGGCAAGUGGCAAAAAAUUGGAAGGCAAGGGUUCUUCAUAACGACUCGGUAGCCCACUUCGUUCGACGAGAAUUUUUUUGCGUUUUUGGUAGAGUGAGAAAAAAAUUGCAUUAAGACUUCAUUCGACGACAUCGUUUUUGCUUAAGAGAAAAUUUGAGGUUUUUACUUAGUUCUAAUUGCGAGAGAGAGGGAAAUUAAAAAAAUUUGAAAUUUGAGGUUUUUUCAUUUGAAAAUUUUUUUAAUGAAAAAAAAAUUGUCGUUAAUUAAUGACGCAAAAAUUGUGUUGAAAUAAAUUAAAUUGUGUCAAUAGAAUUGUUUUAAGAAAUAAUCCAUAUUUUUAUUUUCAACAACACAAUGUACCUCAUCCCACCUCUUUUUUCUUUUAUUUUCAACGACACAAUGUCUUGAUUAAAAUCCAUUUUUCUAGUAGUGACUGAAAGGAAAAAUUGGACAAAAUCAUAAUAUCUUUGAUAAUUAAAUCACCAGUUGGUUUGACCAUAUAUAAUCUUGGAUCUAUUCUAUUACGAUAUGACCAUGGUACAUCAUGAACAUACAUUGACUAAAAAACUUAAAUUGAUGAGUGAAUGUAAUAAAUUUAAUAUUAAUUAUAUGAUCAAUACUUUAACACAUGUAUAUUGGUAUAUCAGUCAAUAACAGUAGUAAGACAAAUUAUAAAAUAUAAGGGAUAAAAGUUCUACACAUGCAUGUAUGGUAUACUAUCUUGAUAGCAAAAAGGAGAUCAAUAUUCAGUAAAAAUACAUAACAGAAACUGGAGAGGAAAAAAGCUAAAAUAGAAUAUCCGGGGAAGGCUAGCUAGGAAAUGCAUACAUAGUAGAGAAUAUGGUUUGAAGGAGGGUGAGAAGAAUGAAGAAAGUUGUAGCUAGCAAUGAUAACUUUCACCUUGUUCCAAUAACCUUACUUUGCCUUGCUCCUUAGUCUCUUGCAAUGUACACAUAAAGCUUUGGCGAUUUUACCAAAGUGGGAAGCAGUUAAGGGGACGAAGGUAUAUUCGGAGAUAAAAUUCAGCCACCUCUCACAUAGUAUUUCAAAUAGUCUAGCAACUUCAACCAUUUCCCUCACAAAGAAGAAGAAGACCAUAGCCACUCGAGGCUUUUGCACAGACAAACACCAAAAAGAUGGUGUCCGAUUCCGUAUAUGUGCUAAGCGCGUCGUUGUUGACGCCAGGCAUCACACCUUGGAAAGGCUCUCUUCCAUUAUAUAUAGCCAAAGAACUUCCGAAUUAUUGAAAAUAAAUAUUUUCAACAAUUUUAUAUUCUCCUUUAAUUUAUGUUCACUUUUGUUCAAAGCUAUUUCCUCUUCAUUUUUCUCAUGAAAAUCACAUAAUUUAUUUACUGUGCUUGUUAAUGUGUAAUGAUUAUUUUAUCAUUUCAUGUGAACAAUAUGAUUUUGUUACAAUUUACUCUGUUUGCUUUUUACUAUUGAAAUAUCCCUAACUAUAAACUAAUUGCACAAUUUUGCUCAUAAUAUACGAUCAUGUAGCAACCAUAAGCCAAGAGUAAAAACAAGAAUCAAUUGAAGAGGGAAUAAGUUGAUAUAUAUCACCCUGGAAGAUGAAAUAUACAGGAAAGAGGGAAUAAGUUGAUACAAAAACUAAUCUCACCAUUCAUCAUAUAUGAACAAAAUAUGUAAUGAAAUGCUUGCAAUGAGACAUGAUGAAAUAAUUUUCAUUAGAAUAAAAUAAAGGGUAAGAAAAUGUAUCCAUACCUUCGGAUGGUAUUCAGAAACAAUCACCAUAGGCAAAUUCUGGGUAACGGCACCAAAAAACUGAACUACAUUAGGAUGUCGGAUCUUUUCCAAAAAUGUCAACUCAUGUUUGAAUGCAUUUCUGUAGGAAAUUCAAUAAAAUAAUUAAGAAAACUUGCAAUAUGUGAGAGAUAUACGAACUUCAAACAAAUUUUACAAGUUUCAGCAAAAAAUUUCAAACAAGUUUUAAAGUUUAAGCAAAAAGUAAUCGUAGGUAGAAAGGGGAGCAAAAGUGGGGUCUUGAAUUAAUUCUGCAAAAUUAGUAGGCUUUCAAAAUUUAGGUUCUAGAAGUAGAAUUAUUGCAGAAAAAUAAAUAAUUGCAUCAUUCAAACUGAAUCAAACAUAUCAUGAUGUUAUAUUCUCCGCAACGUAUAAUGGAGUAUAAACAUAAAGUUUCUAUAUACAAAGCUAUGUAUCUCUACCCUUGACUUCUCUUUCUCUCUUUCUACCUUUUUUAUCCUUUCUUUCACCCAUUCACUCAAUACACUUGCAAGAACCUUCAUUUUUUUUUUUUUGUAUUUAAAUGUUCUUGGCACCAUCCUUUUUUUAAUUAUCAAGGCUUUGUUAUUGUGUACCAGUAUUGUGUCGUGCCUCCUUCACUUCUCAUCAUCAUUUUCAUCUCACAUCUCUACCUUGUCAAUUUUCGUUUUUCACUCAGCUUUCUUUCUUCUUUUGUCUUCACUACUUUCUUUGCUCCUUCUUCUCAAGCUCUAACUUUUGCUAUUAUCAACCAGCCUCAAAUGACCAUUGGAAAACCCAUAGCCCACUGAGAGAUAGCCAAUAUAGUAAUGACUCUAAUGAUAAACUCCAAUCAACCCAAAAGUUCUACUUUAAGAUUUGAAAAAUAUAUUAGAUAAAGCAUAAUUAGUUGAAAAAGAACCUCAAAAUUCUGUGCUAAACGACUACAAUUUCAUCGUAUAAUAUGCCAUAUUGACAUCAUAUUUUUCCUACAAAAACAUAUUAACUAAAAUAAGCUCAUAAACACGAAAAUGCAUUAAGUGUUGGUUAACAUACACUACCUUGAAAUAUGACAAAGACUUUAUUUCUCCCAACCAGACAGCAUAAUCAGAAGGUAGCUUGGGAGCAAACGGAGUUGACUUAAUGUCCACUAGCAAUAUCCUAUAAAAAUUUCAAAUUCUUGAAAUAUGAAAACCAAUGGAAGUUUCAGGGGAAUGAAGUAUAACCUCUAAAUACAGAAGGACGACAUAAAGGGGAAUGAAGACUCGAAAGAAGGACGGCGUUUUCCGAGAGAAGGACGUCAAUUUUGAGGGACAACGGACGAUGAUUUCAGAGUAUUAGGGAUGGCGGAUGGCGGAAGUCUUAGGGAUCUCGUACUCAGUCGAUGUUGAACGACCGAAAGCAAAGGAUCUAAUAUGCAUUUUUGGAGACAGCAUGGUGAACGCAGACGGACAGAAGUGAGAGAUCCUUAGAGAGAACUUGGCAUUUUCGAAUGCGGCAGAGACAAAUCUAGGGCUUCGAAGGAUUCAACCCAAUAUUUUCUUAUAUAUAUAUAUAUAUAUAUAUAUAAAUAUAUUUAAUAACACUUGACGUUUUUAAAACGUCAAGAAAAACGAUCUUACUUGACGUCUAACAAACAUCAAGAAAUUUAAAAAAUAACUCUUCUCCGGGUUUUUAUAAAAAUUCUUGACGUUUUAAAACAUCAAGAAUUUUUAAGAUAUUUCUUGACGUUUUUAAAAUGUCAAGUAAAAGUACAUAUUACUUGACGUUUGAAAAAUGUCAAGAAUGUUGAAUAUAUAAACAUUCUUGACGUUUUAAAAACGUCAAAAUUUUUAUAGAUAUUUCUUGAUGUUUUUAAAACGUAAAGAAAAAAUACAUAUUAGUUGAUGUUUAAGAAACGUCAAGAAAUCUGAAAAUUGACCUACCCCGCAUUUUCAUAAAAAUUCUUGAUAUUUUAUCUUUGGAACUACCCCUUUCUUGACGUUUUUUUGAAAAAAACGUCAAGAAAGAAAAACAACAAACGUCAAGAAAGGUCUUUUUCUAGUAGUGACAUACAUAAAUAUAUAUAUACAUACAUAAAUAUAUAUACAUACAUAAAUAAAUAAAUAAAUAUAUAUAUAUAUAUAAUGAAUUAAAAUGGUUUUGUUGCUUUACAGUUUUACUCUAUAAACGAAGAGCAUUAUAAAUAUAUUAUUGAGGAAACAUCUUUCGAAAUGACUGGUUUUGGAAGUGUCAUUAGAUUUUUGGUUAGUUAAGCACAUUUUCCUCCCAAAUAGUAGUCGAAAUACAACUUUUUUUUUAAGAAGAAGAAACCGAAUCCUUCAAACUAGGAUAAACCUAGGAUAAGAGUCAUUAUCUAUUAACAUAGAGUUAAAGUUACAAGGUUGAAGGCUAGAGGGAAGCCCAGAAACAACCUAAUCUAACAAACCUUAAAGUUAAGAGUUGGUAGUAGCAUCAUAUUAGUUACAAGAUGAAUGACGCCUAGACCAAACUUCGAUCAAGUUACAUAUGUCUUCCCACAAGUUAACAAUAAACCUUGAUUUAUCCUUAAAAAUUCUAUUGUUUCUUUCUAUCCAAACAAUCAAAAGUAAGCCAGUUAUGGAGGGAGGAAUACACAUUAGAGAGCUCAGUUAUGGAUGGAGGAAUACACAACUUUUUCUCGUGGUCAUUUUCCUCGUGGGCAUUCUCUUCAUGUUUCUUCUUAUUCCGACUAAAACACAAGCAACAAAUUAUUCUUCGCGUUCGUAUAGGUUUGUUUGAAGAAGAUUAAGAAAGUCCUUAAUUUAUCUCGACACUUCCAAAACCAGAAUAUAAUACCCGUGCUACAUAAAUCCCUCUUUCCAAAUAGUCGAACAUGAACUAUCCAUGCAUAUCUUGGAAUAAACAAGAGAAACCCUAACUAAACCCAAAUAGAAAAUACACUGCAAUCUAAAAUAUACAUAAAGAAAUAAAAAGAAGUUUUAAUGUUGUGGGUUUUUUACUGAUCUUCUUCAACAACAAAAUAACUCAACGCCACACUUCAAUUUUUCCUUCCACGAAUUGGGUUUUUAAAGAGUUUUCACCGCGAAUUUAUCUUUUUUGGUUCGACAAGUAACAACAUGUGAAUCCCCAAAUGCAAGGUUUUAUUAAAAAUUUAAAAUAUACUUUUUUAAAAAAAUUAUAAUACCUAAAAAAUUUUUUUUUUUAUAUUUAUAACCUAAUUGUCUAUCAUUGCAUACUUGAGAGAAAUAUAUUUUUUAAUUAGCAUAAUAAUAACCUUUAUAUAGUAAAUUAAAUUUUGUAGAAUGAGAAAAGACCUUAGAUCCAAAAAAGUUAUUUAUUUAUUAUUGGAGUGAAUUGUCUAAUUAAUGUAGUUAAUGGAUGGUUUUGUAACUAUAAAGAAAAUAAUGAAAAUAAUUUUCUAAAAGAAUGAAUGAAAAUUUAGAAAGUUAAAAGGUUUUAGGAAUUAAAAAUAAGGGUGUAACAUUAUAAAAGACUACCAAAUAUACUGUAAGAGACAUGCAUUAAAGGAGCUGAGGCAUGCAUACUACCAAAUAUACUAUAAAUAAACCAGAAUUCUUUUUUAAGAAAUUAAACAACUAAAAAUAUAAAGAAGAAAGAUUAGAAAAUGAAUGAUCAAACAAAGUAUGACUCAUUUAUUUUUGACAGGUUCGGCCAAUAUCACCUGACAAUUCAUUUUCACCAAGAGAAUAAGCAUGAGUAGCCUUGGAAUCAAGUUCCUCUGAUAAUAGCCAUGGAGUUGAUGGGUUAGAGACAGAACCAAAAUUUGAGUUCGACGAUAAGGAUGGAAAAUUCUGAAACUAGCAGCAACAGGAAGUUAAGACAACGAAUUAUUUUCAAUAUAGAAAGGCUAAUUGUAAGAAGUUGUUAAUGAAGUGUCCAAAUGCAUUAUGGUAAUAUUGGGUGCAGAAUGUUUGGAAGUUUUAUCCGUGUGCUGUGAAGCACCACAGAGUUGAAGCAUAUGAAACCAGUGUUUAUCUGACAAAAAAUAGUGUCAUGAUCAUUGCCUUUCCAUUCCAUAAAUUUAUGCAUAGCAGAAGAAAAAGAACCCUCAACACUUGAAUUACCAUAUAGCACUCUACAUCCAGGUGGUGCCUUGAUUUUUGAAGAUUUAGUUAAGAGCAGUGAUAAAAUUUGUACAGAAAUUACAAUGCAUUUCUCGAUAUGCAACAACAUUAAGACCAACUUAAAGGCAACAAUCAUCAAGAAAUCUGAUAUUUAAAAUGUACAAAGAGCAGUAGUAAACAUAUGUAUUUUAUGGCUGACUUUAUCCAUAAUAAAUGUUGGAUUAAAUCAUCAAAAUAAAACACAAACAGAUAAUUAUCGAGUUUUUCAAUGGAGGAUAGAGAGGAAGACAUGCAUGCACAACUACUAGAUCUAUAUGGUGCCAGACUGCCAGUAAAAAUUUAAAGACACACAUGACAACAUUAUUUUGGAUGAAGUUCUAAUAUUGCAACCAUGGAGGAAAAAUCAGCAAAUCUUAAAUAGAUGUAGUAGUCCAAAUGAUAAAAGUUUGUCUCAAGAUAAUAUUUCAGUAACUGCAGAUGCAUUGUGCUGAACCUAACCUCUUGUGUUUCACGGUAAUGAACAAGGACAAUGUGUUCAAAGGUCCUGAACAAAAAGCAGAAGCAAGUCAUAAAUUAUAUAAGUAGAACACGAUAUACUGCCACUGUCUAAUUUCAUUUUUCUUUGCUUGUGGCAUGAUGGGGAUAGACCCCACUGAAACAACUGGUAGCAAGCAAUUUAACAAUUUUCUUUCAACCAUAACAUACUUAUCUAGGAGCCAACAACACCGGUGAACAAAGGUUGGGCUAUCUAGUCCAUGGGCACAGUAUACAUGUAUCCUUUCUACAUUACCAACCUACCGAAGAGAAAGAAAAGAUUAUCAAAGCACACCUUUUCUUGGUUACUAAGGCUGUAAAAGAAUGAAAAUUACCAUAAAUCUAAACAUAGUCAAUAUUAGACCAUUGAACAACCAAUAGAUUCAAAAGGAAAGACUCAAACCACCAAUAGACUGGUUAAUCAUUUAAAAUGAUCUCCAACAACAUUGCUCCCACAUGUGGACUCCUAUGGUAAUUUCAUUGAUGAUAUGCAGCUAGUAGGCAAGAUUAUGAAAUGAAGACGGUAUGUGAGAAGAUUGAAAAGAUCAACAUGAUAAAAUUAUAGGGAUUUGAAUUUAUAUCUUAAGAACACCAGAGUCAAAUGCUUAAGCUGAUUAACUGUGUUAAAUUUAACUCUAUAAUAUAUUUUAAAUCUGAACAGUCAUUAAACAACUACAUUUUGAAUAAGCUUCAGAGAAUAUUAGCAGAAAUAGUAGAAAUUACUUCAAAUUUGUAGAGGAACAUAUAAAUUAUAUUCUAGAGAAAGAGCAUCUGAAUUAUAUUCUACAGAAACACGAGCCCAUAGCAUGUCUACUGAGUAGCAAUGAUAGUGAAAAAGGGAAUAGUAAGUAACCAAUCUCAUAAACCUCUUUCUCACAUCUAACCAAGUUCUUUCACAACAUGCAAAAGCAUCAAAAUAUUUAAGAAAACUUCCAGUAUUGCAUUUGGAACUCAUUGAUUGACUUCAACGUUUAAGAGUCAUAAAAGACACAACUUACUUUCUCACCUGUCACCACUAAGCCUACGGCAACAUCUUUUUAUAAGAUAUUCAGCUAAUCUUUAGAUUGUUUACCGAAUAAUCGUCUAUUGUUUUGUAAUUGAUCCCACCAAGCGCUUGCGCCACCUUGAAGUUUGAGAGCAACUAAUCGAACCUUCUUGUGUUCGGGUGUAUUGGCAUAGUCGAAAAAAAUUUCUACGUUCUUGAUCCAAUCAAGAAACUUCUCCACGUCCAUUCGACCAUUGAAGGUAGGGAGAUCCACUUUCAUACGUAUUUCUUGAUCUUCUUGAAAGUAUGGUCGAAGUCCAAGCCUUUGUUGAGGUUCUUGAUGAAUGUUCAGUAAGUUGUCUUCAUCGGAAUCGUUUAAGAAAUUUCCAGGUACGUUGUUUCCAUACAAUCGAUUAUUGUGGAUGUGAAUAGGUUGAUUUCUUAGUAGUUCUUGGUUUACAGCAGGGUUUCUUGGUCUUUCUUGUCUUUCUUGGUUUGCUGCAAUUGGGUUUCUUGGUCUUUCUUGGUUUGCUGCAAUUGGGUUUCUUGGGGGCUGAAUUCCUUCUUCUAAAGGUUGGACAUGAAAUCGGAUAAAAAGGUUUGUUAAUUCUACUAACGAUUACUGUAUAUCUGACUGCCCUUUUCGAAGUUCUUCAACAGCUUGUUCUACCAACUGCAAGCGUUGGUUGAAGGAGGCUUCCGCGUCCAUGGAUAAGAGUGGUAGGAUCCAAGUUUUUUGAGGGAAGAGUGAGCUAGGAUCACACUCCGAUACCAAUUGAUGCAGUAAUUGCAAAGCUAGAAACCUUUAUGUAUAAUGCCUCUUUUUUUUUAUGUCUUAUUAAUGAAAAUGAGAAGCCUUUUUAUAGGCUGGAGAUUACAAGAGUUGUUAAACUAACUUGGGGUUGAGUUAGUUAUAACUAACUCAAGAUACAAAAUUGGUAAUUCAAAUAACUAAUCCUAAACUAUAAAAAUGGUAAUUCAAACCCCUCCUCUAGGAUAAAACUCAAGAAACAUCAAGAAGGGAGAUGUUCUACAUCAAAGUGUAGAGAACGAUUCAUAAUCCUUGGUGAAAGGAAUGAAUGUUAACUAAUGUGUGUUUAUGUGAAAUUGUUAUGUUAUGAGUAUGUUAAGGAUAAAGAAAGGUUUAUGCGAGAUAAAAUUAUUUGAUGUUGUUUAUGCGAAAUGAUGUUUAUGAAAAGGUAUUGCGAAAAGGAUUUCAUAAAACCUUAGUCUUUUAGACAUUCUUUCAAAAAUUCAUCUUCCAAGAUGAGGUGUUUAGGCCAAGUAGAGAAGAAGGUUGAAGGAUUUGCAGCGAGAUGACCAGACGUUUUGAAAAUAGUUAAGCAUUGGUUGUUUGGUCAAAGUGUUGUAAUUAUGUAUCAAACACAUGUUAUUAAUAAACAUCUUGGUAGGUAUUUAUUAUACUUGCUGUUUAGGUUGACCACCGUUGCGUUUUGAGUUUUAUUAAUAGUAUAAAAGGAGUUGAGAAUAAUAUUUUGCGAUAAGAAAAUUUCAAACUUGUAACAAACUCACAUCCUAUUUCUAAUACUUUGACAUUUUCGUUGCAGUACGGUUUGGGAUGUGACAUGUACACAUGACUGCCUAGCUUAAGUCAUCUCGUUGAGUAAAGCCAUCUCGCCUAAGCUCAAAUGGCCGCUCAUGACAACUCUGUAUAUAGAGGUUUUCUUGCCUACACCUACAAAUCUUCAUGCUUGGCGCCUUGACAUGUUCUUGGAGGUUCUUACCUUACUACUUGGCCACAUAAUUGAAUCCUUAGAGGUUCUUUUGCCUUUCCUUUGGCCGCCUAUUAUGUCCAUCUUGCCUAGCGUUCCUUGUGUGCUUAGAGGUUAUCUUGGCAACACCACACCUCUCAGCCAUACACACACACAUACAACCUUGGCCAUCCAAUACCUUUCUUUAGAGGUUCUCAUGCUUUUCUUAGUCGCCUAGAAAUCUUGCACGCCUACUCUUACAUUUAGCCAUAUGUUGUACUUUGUUUUCCACCUUGACUUUUAAUGACACACAAACCAACUUUCCAAGGAAUUCCCUUUCAUUUUCUUAUUAACUCAUAUUCUCUUUUUUUAUCAAGUCCUUGCUAGAGAAAGUGGACUUUGAGUUGUUGGACUUUAGUAUAUGUCCAUGCAUGGACAUACAAUUUUGAAUGAAAAAUCCUUAUAAAUGGGGCAUUUGAACUCAUUUGAUGGGUUAACUAUUGAAUUUGGGCUUUCACACCAAAUGGAAUUUCUUUUUCUUAUUUACUUUUUUUAAAAAAAGAAAAUUUACCACGCCCAUUUUUUUUCAUCUAUUUCUCUCAUCUGGUUCUUUCAUCCAAUGGGUCCCACAACUCGAUUAUGAGUCUAGAGGAUACUAAGUCAAACUUAGUGGUUGUUUGAAUAAAACGCAGCUUCGAAUGUAAGUAUUCUAAAAACCUUAUUUUUUGGUUUAGUCUCGUUAAUUAAGCCCAAUUGGGAUAGAAUUUCGAUUCUUUUUCUGCUGUGCAUGUCUUAGUUCUAUCAGUAACUCCCUUCAGGGUGAUAGCUCUCAUCAGUAGACUUUCCAUUGUUGGUUUCUUCCUGAGUCAUCACUGUAUUGUUGUUUUCCACAAUAGGUAGGGUGAGUUGCAGUUUUACAUGAAACGCACUGCUCAACCCACACUCUUUUCUCACUAGUUCCUUAUUCUCAAUCUUCAACGCAAAUUUCAUCAUCUGGGCCAACCCAAUCAGUUCCACGGUUUCCACUUCCAUUUUUAUUCAUGGGCUAAGCCCAUUCAUCAAAGUCUCCUCUAACACUACCGUUUGAAGAAAUGCUACCAGAGCUAAAUAGCGAUCAAAUCGGUUGCGGUAUUCUUCUACAUUCGUUUUCUGUUUGAUUGAGAAAAAUCUUCCAACCAAAGUUCCUUCUCGAAUUGAUCGAAACUGUACAAGCAUUCGUUCUUUCAGGUCAACCCAAUUCUUCAAAACUUCCAACUCUUCUUGUGCUUGGUACCAACCCAAUGCCAGAUCAUCAAAACUAAUAACGCCUGUGGUUAAUUUCUCUAAAUCAGUAAGAUCAUGUAUCUUAAAGAAGCGAUAGGCUCUAAAUGUGAGACCCAUUUCUAAUUUGAGUAAUGAAGUAAAAUUUGGCUAGGUAUUAAGAAUUUGGCAUUUGAAUAAAUCCACGAAAAGGAUUAAGCGAUAAAAAAAUUUAUGGUUAAGUAUACGUUAUUGCGAUUCAGUGGGUAGUUAGCGAAGGAAGUUGUGCGACCCAUUUCUAAUUCGAGUAAGGAAGUAAAAUUCGGCUAAGAAUUAAGAAGUUGGUGUUCGAAUAAAUCCAUGGAAAGAUUAAGUGAUAAGUUCUUUUACGGUUAAGUAUACUUUUUUGCGAUAAGUGGGUAGUUUGCGAAAGAAGUUGUGCGAUAAGAAGCGAAAAAGUCUUUGCGUAAGUUAAGAAAUGAAAGUUUUGAGUGUUAGACUAGGAGUUUUGGGUGGUCUUCGUGAGAAGAACCAAGUGUUUCGUGGAGAAGAAGUCUACGAGGAAGGCUUGGAGUUUAAGUUCACGAUAAGAGUUCUAUGGGAGUAAAAGUGGGUUAGUUCACGUGGAACGUUUCUUAUAAUAAAAAUAUAAUCAAGAGAUAAGGUUAUUCACGAGAAAUGUUAAGUGGUUGAAUUUAUUCAUGGUUUGGGUUAGGCGGGAAGCAAGGUCUGUAAAGAAAAUGUCAAAUCUGAUUUGACAUGGGUUAACAUGUAAGAUAAAGGAUUUGAGCAUGACUAGGUUAAAUAUUAAGGAUUUGCAUGACUAAGUUAGUAUAAGGGAUCUAUAAAAUAAGAGAAUUUAGGUAACUAAGGAGGGGAUGACGAGAGUUUUGUUGAAAUGUUAAAGUGUUGUUGGUUUAGCCAUGCGAAAAAAUGGUUGUGAGAAGGACUUCUUUAGUAAAGUUUGGUGAGUGCUUUUCAGUCAAAAGAAUUUAUGUUAAAUAAACUUUAUUACGAUUUCUCUUUACUCAUUUGAAAGAAGAAUUCAGAUAAGAAUGUUUCAUAAAGAUUUCUAUGAAAAGUUAUGUUUUUAAGCAUUAUUUAUAAUGUUAAAGCUUGAUUUGAUGACUAUGAUUUCAAUAUUAUGUUUCUUUGAGAUGAUGCUAACUUUUUAUGUGCACAUAAAGAGUGAAGGCCACUAUGGAGUGUACGAACUACAUGGUAAUAAGAAGCUGACUUAUGCAUUGAAAUGAGCGUAUAAAGCUUAGCGGUAUGAGCAACAAAGACGAAUUUGUAUGUUCUCAGAUGCUGUUGAUACAGUAGUCUAAACGCGAGGUAAUGGGACCAAGCGUAGAAAACAAUUCGGGAUCCUUGACAAAAUGAAAUGAUUUUUUAAGCAUAAACAAAUGUUUAUGCGAAAUGAAAUAAUUUUUCGGUAUAUUUAAAUGAUUUGAUAUUAUUUUUACAAAAUGAUUAUGAAAAGGUAUUGUGAAAGGUUUUCAUAAAACCUUAAAGGAUUUAAAAAAAAAGUAGACCAUUCAACUUAAUUCCCAUCCACUAUCCUCUUGUCCAACAUGAAACUUUAUCUUAGUAAAACUUCUUGAUCCACUAUUUUACAAAAAUAUUCAAAACAAUACCAUACUACACCAAAUGUGAUAUUUUGGUAACACUUAAAAUGGUCAGAAAUACCAUUUUCCUGACUUUUUUUUCAUCGACCAUUAAAGAAAAAGUAUAGAUGAUGUUUCACAAAAACUUCCAAACCAUUGUGUUAGUUAUCGUUUUGGAUGAGGGUUGGGCUAGAGCAUCAAUACUCAAAGGUUGUUAAGAAUUAAGAACUAAGACUUGAAAAAGAAACCGCCUGCCUGGUUGACAACAACACCAUCCCACUAGAGUGCACAAUGAUGAUUUAUUGCAUUAAGAACAAGAUGGCAGUUAACCUUAGCGCCAUAAUCAGAACCUCAAUCCUCCCUUUGAUGAAAGCACCUAAAGGUGUCAUGCCUUUCCCCUCUACCACAUUGAAGCUCUUUGUCUAACACUACAAGAAAUGAGGGCUCUCUCGACGCAUAAAAUCAUUGGGAGAUAUAUAAAAAGCGUUAAAAAAGGCUUUUCUGACGCAUAAAUAUACGUCGGAACACAAGUCAGGAAAAAUGUAUCGGGAGAGGAACUCCCGAUGCACAAUGUUGUGCGUCGAGAGUUUCCAGACAUCUUUCGACGUUGUAUGAACGUCAAAGAUGUUGUCAAUAUAGCAUCGAGAGAUGUCUAGGAACCAUGCGUCAGGAGAUCCUCUAUUUUUUUAAAAAAAAUAACUUCAAUUAAUUCCUAAAUUCAAAUCGAAAAUUUUAAAUUCAAACUCAACUUCAACACUUCAACCUCAACUUCAACACUUCAAUCUUAACUUCAACACUUCAAAUUUAAAUUUCUAAAACCUACAACUAAUUCAAAAUUCUAACAACACUUGAAAUUCAAUUUCAAUACUAAAACCUACAACUAAUUCAAAAUCUAAAUACUAAAAAAAAUUUGAAAUCUAAAAUCUAAAACCUAAAACAAAUUUGAAAUCUAAAUACUAAAACUAAUUAACUAAAAUAAAACAAUAACUAAACUAAACCACUUACCGAUGGCGGCGACGACAAUAGGGACGACAAUGGAGAUGACAAGGCCCUCUUCUUCUCAAUCUUCCUCUCGGUCUCCCUCUCCCUCUCUCGUUUUCUUUCUCUUUAUGUUUCCUUUAUGUAAAGAAUGGAGUUAAAAAAGACAGAGAACUCCUGACGCACAACGAAAACGUCGGGAAUAGCACCCUAUUCUUGACCUGAUUUGUUAAACGUCAGAAAUCCCUAAACAUAUUCCCACACGAUUAAUGAUACGUCGGGAAUCCCUAAAUCUAUUCUCAACGUUGCUGCCACCACGUCAGAGGAAGCGUAACAUACAAUUAAUGAUCUGUCAUUCCUCCAACGAUUCCUAAGCUUUUAGCUUUUCUGCAAUCACCCCUUAUGCAUGUUCUCAGGCGAAUUUCAACCAAACCAUAACACUCCAUCAAAAUAAAGAAGAAGAGAGACACCUCAAAACCUUUAAUAAAGUUAAGGGAGAAGAAUGGAAUGGCAGAGAAGAAUAAGAGGCUUCUCCGCUGCCACCACUGCUCAAGAGGAGAAAGGUCCACGAUGACGCGUCUAACUCGUAUAAAAAGGAAAAAAGACGAAAGCUAGACGUGGCCAUCGACCCUAAACCUCUUGCAAUCCGACCCCUAACUCUCUCAUCGCCUCCUCCAAAAUCCAAAUCCUUCAAUUCUAGUCCUCAUCCAAAAAUUGAAACUCCCCCUCAUCAAUCUUACCCAAGUCUUCUCGCAUGUCUAUUAUCCUCUCACCACCAAAUCCCCCAUCAUUAUAACAACAUCCUUCACCUCACGACCUGACCGAACAAGCCCUUACCCGAUCAAAAGGGCAUUGUUAGCGAAGAAGAAUUCCUUAGGGUUGAGGAGGAAGACCUGCAUCACAUUCCUCUCCCUCCGCACACUACUAUACGUAAUUCCAAGGAGGAAGACUUACAUCUCGCGUGUAAACCCCGAUACCCAAUAAUCCUUAAUUCAUCUAAAGAACUCAAUAGGACAUUAGGGGUUGAUGUUAGGAGAAAGAUGGUUUAAGAUUGGAUAGUUUAGUUGAAGUGUUAUGGAAGACGUGUUAAUCUUUUUAAGAUGACAAAAAGAAAAGUGUCAUCGUAACAAAGAAAGGCCUAAAGGGUGUUUGAAAGUUGGCUAAGUGUUGGCUAGGGCAUGUUGCAUACUCUAGGCGGCCAAAAGUGUCAAGCGAACCUCUAAAGAGACAUGUUGGGUGGCCAAAGGUUGAGAUGUGGUAUGGCCGAAAGGUGUCAAGACAACCUCUAUAAGACAAGGCUAUAUGACCAAGGGUAUGCGCUAGGCAAGGAAGCUAAGCAUCUAGGAAAUGUCAAGAAACUCUAAAGAAGUUAGAACGUGGAUAAGGAAUGUCAUGCAACAAAGAGGUGGGCUAUGUGGACAUAGGCCAUGCGGCCAAUGGGGCAAUUCAACCAAAUGCUAGUCAAGAUGGCAUGGUUUGUUGAAGGCAUUGAGGGAUGUUUGGGAGAUUAGGCGAGAAAAAAAAGUCUUAGGCAUUCUUGGCAGUAAGAAUUUACUAAAGAACCCUCAUAGAAAAAGGGAUAUGCGUCCAAGGAUGACUUAAGCAAUAUGAGGUAAGAUGUGCGGUAGAGUACAAGUGGACAACAUACAAGAUACCUAAGUUUUGCCAAAUAAGUGUCUUGCAUGAGGUGGAAAGUGGCAAGUAUGGGCGUAAGAGGUGAGAAUAAAAGUGUCAACCAAAGAGCAUGCAAGGAUCACUAUAUGUACAACUUUGGACGAAUUAUGUUAACAAUCAACUUGUGUUAAUUGGGUAACUCUACUUCGAAAAUCUCCUAAAUUGAGUCUAGUAUCAGGAGAAAGGCUGCCAGGAAGAAAGGCAUUGAAGUGAAGAAAGACUCAAAGGUCAUUUUCAGAAAAAAAAAAAAAAAAAAUUGAACAAUGUAAAGUAUUUUGGAGCUACAUAACUCAAUACUUGGAAUUUGUUAGUGACACUUUGUGGUAAGCUAAUGAAGAUAUUCUAAGUUUGUAGAAGGAAGCUUAUUGAUUUAAGCUUCAAAGUCGAGUUAAGUUUCUGGUAGAAAAAUCAUAUUUCUAGGCAAGGCUAAGGGUGGGUUGAUUGCCAGGAUGACAAGGUGAGAUGAGCGUGUGUUUUGAGCGAAAGAGGUUAUUUAGGCUUGGGACAUGCAAGAAGCAUGUCCUGGCAUGAUCAAGCAGCCUGAGCCACGCGUCAUUACACACUCUAUUAUGAAAGUUGAGUAUAUUGCUACUUGUGAAGCAGCAAAAGAAGCAGUUUUGCUGAGGAAGUUCUUGCAUAAUUUGGAAGUUGUUCCAAACAUGAACAUGCCCCAUCACUUUAUAUUGUGAUAAUAGUGGGGCAUAUUACUAAUCCAUUUACAAAGACUCUCACGGCUAAAGUGUUCGAGGGUCUUCUAGAAAGUCUAGAUCUGCGAGUUAUGUACAUUAGGUAAUCUAGGAAAAGUGGCAGAUGUGUAAUGGGUAUGAGGAUGCCCUAGUUUAUUGUAUUUGUAUAUACACAUUUUAUGUAAUACACUUGUACAUUUUACCAUUUUCAAUGUUAGAGGAUUACUUUAUUAUGAACAUCCCAAAGAGACUAGAGUUUUAGUCCAAGUGGGAGUUUGUUGGAAUUUAUGUCCUAAAACUCGUAGAUUGUAAAUAUAAUCCAUUGACCAUUGUUAAUAAAGUGUUAUUAUUGUAAUAAUUGUUAUUGAUUAUAUUAUUAGUUUUGUCUUAAUAACUCAAAUCCAAUGAACUAACAUCCUAAACUUUUUAAUAAGUAUUGAAUAGUAUGUAGAGACAUAUACGGAUCAAUGUUCGAGAUCAGCUUAAAGGGUCUAUAGUAUAGGGAUAAGACUGGGUACCUUUAUCUUGGUAACAUUAUGAAUACGACUCACUUUGUAUUUGAUACAAAUACAAUGAUCCAAUGCAUUCGUGUAGUUGACAUGCGAGUGAAGGUAUCCUAUGCAAUGAGAUUGCAAUAGACCAUACCGUGAAAUAGUAACCACUUGGUGUUACUACGUUAACUAGUUAGGUUUCUAUUUCACUAGGAUGACCUAGAUAACUUAGUCUUAAUCUUGAGUGUAUUAUGAACUCUUGUUCGCGAGAGAUUGUCCUUUGAUUUGUACGGGUGAGAGUGGAUAGAUCGUCGACUCAAUAAGCUUAUCAUUCACUACUACAAAAAUAGACUCUCUUGACGUUUUUAAACUAUCAAGAAUCACUAUUCUUGAUGGUUUUAAAAUCGUCGUUGUAUACUUGACGUUUUUAAACUGUCAAGAAUCACUAUUCUUGAUGGUUUUAAAAUCGUCGUUGAAGCCAGCGUCAAGAAAGUCAAAGUUCUUGACGGUUAAUAAAACGUCAAGAAUAGCGAUUCUUAACAGUUUAUAAACGUCAAGUAUACAAAUAUUCAUGACAACUAAAAAUUGUCAAGUGAAUGAGUAUUCAUGACAUUUAAAAACUAUCAAGAAUGUAAUUUAUGACAUUUAAAAACGGUGAAAACAUAAUUGUUUAUGACGUUUAAAAAACGUCAAGAAUUUACUUGUUAAUGUCAUUGAAAACUCGUCACAAAUUUAUUUGUUUAUGACACUUAAAAAACGUCAAGCUUGUUUCAUAUUUUUUUCUAAAUUAUAAUUUAUUUAUAUUUUUGUUCCUGUAUUGUCUCUAUAAUUCCUGUAGUGUGGUCCAACAAUCUCAUAAAUAUGCACGAGUACAAUUCCAAAACUUUAACAUAUAUUAACAUUUGAUCAUAUAUGUAUGAACAUUUCGAAAACUUUACAUGUUUGUUCGAUAUUGUCAUAUACAAAACACUACUUCAGUCAACCCCAACCUAAUAUGAUAAUCCCAAAAUUACAAAACCAAUCCAACUAUGCUAUUCCAAAAAUCACAAGACUACAAUUCUAAUUCAAUAAACAAAAUCUGAAUUAAAGAAGCUUUGAAACUCAAUGAUCUUGGAUGAAUUUGGCUUCAAGUACAAACUUGGAUUCCACAACCUAAACCAAAAUAAAAUAAUAUAUCAAGUUAAGAUGGAUUCACAUAGCAACAUUUUAUCAAAUGGUUGCAAUGUUUCAAAUAAGCAACAAUUAAAAUUCACAUAUCGAUUUGGCAUCUAUAAAUAUACAAACUAAAAAGUACCUAAAUGUCAAUUAUUUAUCCAAUAAGGCUAACUAAGUAACCAACCUCUAAUAUGUUUUGCAAUGAAAAAGGUUGCCAUAUUGUUAAUUUCGCCAUAUUGUGAAGGCAACCUCUUAGAUGUGUUUGUGAGAAAGGAAAGAAAUACCAAAAUAAGUAUGGACUAAGAUAGUAUCAAAUAAAGUUAAAGUUGAAUUUUAAAGCUCUAUUUUUUUCAAGAUAGAGAAAUUUCAGCUAAAGAGAAAACACUAAGGACAACCAAGCAAAAGAGUCUAACAAGUAAAAAAAAGAACAUGCAGGAAAGGAAGAAUGUAAAUAAGGUUUUAUCAGCACCAAGCAAAAAAGUCUAACAAGUAUCAAAAGCUUUAUAAGUUGUACUAGAAUUCAAAGCUCUAAACUCUAAAGAAUGUAAAUUUCUUUGAAAAAAUUUGUGUAUAAAGGUCACACAGUUGAAAAUUCAAUACCUUUUCAAGAAUGUUGUUGAGAAGAUUAUUGAUGUAUAGACAGUAAUAAUCAGAAAAAAAAAUAGUAAAGCUUUAAGAAUAUUAUUGAUGAAUAUUGUGUUUUUGAGCCCGUUAACAAGGGUCCGAAUUCCGUGCUUUGUAUGAAAUAGUUUUUUCUUGAUGGGCAAUAGCUAUCAAGAUAUCAUUUUUUUAAGGGUCAUGUCCAUGAUCUUAUCCUAAACCCAGAAAUAUAAAAAAAAAAAAUCUUGAUAUUCUAAACUCAUCAAGAAAUCCAAAACAAAUAUAUAUUAUUUUUUUUUCGAUGAUGGCCAUUGCAAAUCAAGAAAAUUCAUUCCUUGAUGGACCUUGUCCAUCAAGAAAACCUAUCUAACUUGAUAGACAUUGUUGGUGUCAACUAAUAUAUUUCUUUGAUGUUUAUUGUCCAUCGAGAAAUAGUUUUCUUGACGUUUGUGGAAUAUCAACAAAACUAAGGGAACUUUGCCCAUCAAGAAAAUAAAAAAUCCACAUUUUUUUAAUGUUUUUUUUGUAUUUCUUCAACAAAAUAAGGAGACUUUUCUUGACGUACAUGACCGUCAAGAUAAACAUUGUAUCAAGAAAAAUAUUUUUCUUGAUGGUCCUUUGCCAUGACCAUCAAGAAAUCAAAAAUUUUUAGUGUCAAGAAAGACCAAAUUUGUAGAAGUGUAAAGCUUGAUUUGAUGAUUACAAUUUCAAUGCUAUGAAAUAGUUGAUUCCUUAAAAUGAUGCUAACUUUUAUUUGCAUAUAAAGAGUCAAGGCCACCAUGGGAUGUACAAACUACAUGGUGAUAAGAAGUUGGCUUAUGCGUUGAAAGGAACGUAUAAAGCUUAGCAGCCUGAGCAACAAGGACGAACCUGUAUAUUCUUGGAUGCUAUCGAUACAGUAGUCAAAUGCGAGGUAAUGAGACCAAGCGUUGAGAACAAUUUGAAAUCCUUGGUAAAAAGAAUGACGAUUAACUAAUGUGUGUUUAUGUGAAUUUGUUAGGUUAUGGAUGUGUUUGUUGAGCAUAAAGAAAGGUUUAUGCGAAAUGAAAUGAUUUGAUGUUGUUUAUGCGAAACUAUAUAUUUAUACGAUUUGAUAUGUUAUCUUGUUCUGCUGAAUCGAUUUUUGAAAUGAUGUUUAUAAAAAGGUUUUGCGAAAAUGAUUUUUUUCAUAAAACCUCACUAGAACAAGAACAUGAAUGUGUUUGAUAAAUAUUUCUACUUCUUGUUUCUUGAAAAAAAAAGACGCAAAAAUCGAAAAUGUGUUUGAUAACUGUUUCUUAUUUCUUGAUUUUAUUUGAGAUUUAUUUUUUUUAUUAUUCAUGUUAUUUUAUUCACAUUUAAUUCAAUUAAACAUUACAUCACUCAAUUUAUCAAACCUAGAUAGGAAGGUCUUCUAGUAAUCUUAUGGCGAUCAAGAUGAAGAUUGAGAUCUGAAGGAUCUAAGUUGGCGAGGAGGAAGGCGAAAACCUACGAUGAAGAGGAGGAUCGAAAUCCACGACAAAGAGGAAGACAAAAACCCACAGAGGAAACACAGAUUUGGCGAAAACCUAGAUCUGCGCAAAAGAGGAGGGGAAAACCCAAAUCUCGCAAAGAGGAAGAUGUCAUGUAGAGGAAGACGACGAAGACGAUGAGAGAAAGAGGAAGAUGAUGGUUAUUUUGGAAAGAUUAUAGAGAUAAUAAUAGGAAUAAAAAGGAAACUAGGGGUGUAAAUGGGUUGGAUUGUGAGGCAUUCUCAACCCAACCCAUAUUUUUGAGUUGGUUGGGUUGCCAACCCGAAUUAAGCCUUCAACCCAAUCCAACCCAAACUCGUAAAAUAUGAGUUGGAUUGGGUUGUCGAGCGAUAUUCUUUUAUCUUUUUUUUCGUUUGUAAAUUCUAAUGUUUAUAAAGUUCAAAAUUGUUCAUUUUCUAAAGAAAAAAAAUCAAAAUGAGAAGAGAAGAAUGCAUCGCGCAACUUCAAAGUGACAAAGUUAACCUAAUUAUUUAACUUUUAUUAAAUAAUAUAUAUAUAUUAGUUCGGGUUGGAUUGAACCGAAUUUUUCAACCCUUCAACCUAUGACCCAAUCCAACUAGAAAAAAUUCAAAAUUUUGAAACUCAACCCAACCCACAUUUUAAACUAACCCAACCCAACCCAUAUUAUAUGGGUUGGGUUGUUCGAGUUGUCGAAUUACUCGGGUUAUUUUUACACCCCUAAAGAAAACCAUGUGGAGAGUGAUUAUUUGGAGAAGAAGAUGGAAAUAAGAGGAAUAAAAAGGAAAUCACGUGGAAAAAUGGAAAAGGAAAAGAAAAUAGAAAAAUAAUUGAGAAAAAGGAAAAGAAAACCAAUAAAAAUAUUUCAAAACAAAGAAAAUGAAACCGGUCUUCAAAGAAGAUCUCGCCCCUCUCGUUCUACAACUCAUUUUAGCCUUUUUCACUGAUCUGAAUCUGAUCUUAACACAUUCGUAAACUCACUCGAGCCUGUCUUCAGAUAGUUACAAGCUUUUUUUCAAGUGGAUGAAAUGGGUCAAGUUUUUUUGUAGGAGAUGGGAUUUCUCGAGUUUAUGGAUUGAAGGAGAUUCAAGCUGGGGAAAUGGUGACUUUAUAUGGCUUCGAUGUACUUUUAUCUUCAACAAGCGAUCCGACGUUCAAUGCUGGUCGAAGCAUAUGGUUGCCAGGUUGGUUAAAUAUUGUUAAUGAGAAUAGUAUUUCACUAUUUUUAACAAUAGGGCUCGGAGCUUCUUGGUUCAUCAUGUUAUUGCUUUAGGUUUAUAUACAACUACAUUGAUCUUAGUAAAAGGUGCUUUAGUUGCAUGUGGUUCCAAAUUAAUGCUGGAUAAAAAGAAUUGAGAAAAAUAAAAGGAAAAAUAAAACCAAUAAAAAUAAUUGAGAAGCGGAACGAGAGAAAUUGCUUUUUUUGUUCCCAAUAACUCUUUAUAAACUGGGAAACAAUUCUAUUUUUUUUUUAGAACGAAAAAUAGGGAACGAUACCAAACACCUUCGUUUCUUAAAAAGUGAAAACAAAGAUAGGAAACAGGGAACGAGAACGUUACCAAACGGUCUCUAAAGAACUUAUAUGUGGCUGACCCUCAAUUUCUAUGGGUCGCUAUCAACUUCUAUGAGUCUCCAUCAGCCAAUGAGAAAACAAAGGGGUCUUUGUGUUGCCGACCAAAAUGAGCAAAUGGAGAGAAAAUAAAAGUUUAGGGAUUUCUUUUUCGUGGAGAGUGAGAGAAAGGGGAAGAGAAAAUUAGAAAUAUAUUAUAUUAUAUUUUAAUAAAUUUUAUUAAAAUAAAACUAUUUAAUAUUUUUACCUUUUAUGAUGACAAAUAACUGUCAUAUAAAGGUAGAAUUCGAAAACAUCAUUUUUUCCUGCCAAAAACGCGUAUUUUAACAUUAUGUGACAAUUUUUCUUUCCUCCUAUAAAUUUAGAUUAUAUUAACUGUCAUAGAAUGUCAUUUUUUUGGUAGUACGCAUAGACCCGAGAUUCAAUUUACCAGUAGACCUGAGAUUCCUUUCACCAGCAUCUCUUAGAAAUUACCUUGGUUUCAUUUCCUGUUGCUUUAGGUCAUUUGACUCCAACGCCUUUACCCAUUAUGUGGACACCACAUAAGAGUUAGCUUAUUGAUGGAGAUAAGACUAAUGGUUUGAACACAAUUUCACAUUCGUCAAUCAAGGAACAUCAAAUUAGAAAAUUUAUUUUUAAUAACAACAUCAACAAGAAUUUCAUAUAGUAAUGUACGCUAAAUACUAAGUUUCCUUCCUUUCAAAAUGCCUAAUUUUAGCUUCUUCUUCUCGCCUUGAGUUUCUCUGAGUAGCUAAACACUUAGAAGAUCCUCAGAAAACUAGCACCUUCUUUAAUCCCUUUCAAUUUUAUUUAUAUUAAUCUUAAACCAAAUUAGUUGUCACGCCCCGUCUCAAAGUCGCUCCUCCCAAUCAAGUGGAGACAUGUCGCCUAGACCUUUAUCACGUACUCCUCUCGGGGUAAAGCGUCAAACGCCUAGUAAGCGAAAUAACUUAACUCCUUUUACCCACAACUUAAACGCCAUUUUCUUUUUGAAAGGACACUAGAUAACUUAUCCUUAACUAACGUGUCCUUCAUAUUGCGUACUCUUUUAACCUUGUAAUUAAUUACACGAUAGUCACAGAUAACUAUUGGCCAUGUGCCCUAGUUUCAUAUAUAUUCUCUCACACCACAUCUCUCAUACCACAUCUCUCAUACCACUAGGAAUUUUAGUCCAAGUGGGAGUUUGUUGGAAUUUUUUGUCCUAAAACUCGUAGUUUGUAAAUCAUAUUCUAUUCAAUAAAGUUGUUAUUGAGAAAUUAAAUAUUAUAAUCUUAAAUCCAAUAAAUCAAAGUUCCAAGGCUAUUUUUUGAAUAAACUUGAACUUUAUGUGUAAACAUAAACGUGGAUCAAGUUCGAGUAUAUAGCCUAAAUAGUCUAUAGUAUAUGAAAUAAAGGUUGGGCGCCUUAUUUUGAGAGACUAUGGAUGCGGCCCACUUUGUAGUACAAACGAUGUGAUCCUAAUCGUUCAUGUAGAGACAUGAAAGUGGGGGCAUCCUAUGUAAAAUGUUUACAUAAGACUGAACCAUGAAUUAGUCAUUUUUACGUUAUAACACCGUUUACUGUUUAAAACUGACUAUCUCAAUUAUUGAUGACCUAGGUAACUUAGUCUUAAUCCUGAGUUAACUAUGAACUCCUGUUCAUACGAGAUUAUCCUUAGAUCUGCAUAGGUGAGGGCAGCUCAUCAGCGUUGGCCCAAUAAGCCUCCCAUUUCAGGGGUAAGAUCGGGUGGAUAGCUGGGAACAUAGGGUACAAGAUGGAAUUCACUCCUACCCGCUUUAGGGUUAGUAGAUAGGUUGCUCUCUUAAGCACUGAAUCCAAGUCUUGAACAAGGGGCCCCACCCUCUCAUUGGCCCGAGAGGGAUUAAGUUUAUAGGUUGAACCUUAAACCAAUUGUUCAAUAGUGGAUUAGUGGGACUUAAGGAGCAAGAUGUAAUCUUGGGGGUAAAACGGUAUUUUGACCCAGCCAAGGUUACGAGCAACCUGUGAAGGAUUAACUUACUGAUUAUGGUUUUAUCAAAUGGACACAAAUAUAUCUAUAGUGAGGGGAGUGCAACUACGGGACUUUAGUGGAAUGACCCGUUAGUUAACGAAUGUUGAUUAACUCGGUUUAAAAGAGUUUAGCUAGUUAAUCUUGAAUCGUUGGAGCCCAUGAUCUAUAGGUCCAUUAGGUUCCUCUGCUAGCUCAUAUGGAUUAAACUUAGAACAGUGUGAUGAAAUAAGUCGAAUUGUUCGAAUAGGGAGAAGAAAGGAAAACCGACAUAUACAGUGAUAUAAUCGUCGGUCUUCUAAUUAGAAAUAGAGCUUUAUGUUUUACAUACUAUAAGUAUGAAUGCGGAUUCAUACUAAGAAGCUCGGAAUUGGUCAAAAAUAGUAAAAAGUCAAAAUGUUGACUUUUGACUUUGAAAAGUCAAACUUUGACCGGCCUUAUAUUCAAAUGUGAUUUGAAUUUUGGAAAAAUGAAUGCGGAUUCAUGCUCGGGAGGUUGGAAUUAGUCAAGACGGACAAAAUGGUAAAAAGUCAAAAUAUUGACUUUUGACUUAGAAAAGUCAAAGUUUGACUUUUGACUAGAAAAAUCUAAUGACCAUUUUACCCUUGGACUAAGUUAGUGGGAAAAUCCAACAUUUUGUUGGAUAAUCCCACUAACUCUUAGUGGGAUAUGUGGCUAUAUGAGAUAUAGACACCUAGCCCACUAAGUUCCACUAAUUGUUAGUGGAAUAUUAGGUGUUGAGAUUUGGCAAUUGAAUUGCAUGCAUUUUUGCAUGUAAUUAGGCUAUAAAUAGAGAUGUUUUCAAAUGUUGAAGGACUUUUGCCUCUUUUAUCAUUUUCAUAAUCUCAACAAAAGAAAAAAGAAAGCUUCCAAUCUCAUUUUAUCUCCAUUACUUUCUACACCAAAAUUGGGUCCCACAACCCGGUUCUUUGUCUAGAGGAUAGCAGUUGAGUACUAGUGGUGGUCUCGGGUAGAAUUGGUAAGAAGACAUCAAACCUUUUGUAAGCUUCAAAGGUAAUACUUCUUAAAACCCUAAUUUGAUUAGUUUAUGGUUACAUGUUAAUUGUGGCAAUUAGGGUAGAAAUUCGAUUCUUUUUUCGUUGUGCAUGACUUAGUUCUAUCAAUAACAUAGCGAAAAGAAUACAAAACUUCUUUCUUGUUUCUCACACUAAUAGAGGGUACCUAGAGGUGUAAAUGUGGCACUUCCUCCUCUACCUAGAUUGCCCAACCACCUCUCUUAGCACAUAGCAUUAGGGUCACUCUCCUCCUGACUCAGUUUUUUGGCUCUCUAGCUCACCAGAUAAGUACUUCAACAUCUUGGGUAUUGUAAUCACUUGCCUUCCGAGUUGGGCCACUUGCACUAAGGGGUGAUUUGCUUACCAAUUGGUCCCUCAUGCAUAAUAGAAACUUUCAUGGCCAACACCCGACGUAAGACUACAGAGACACUCUGUUUUCAUUUCUUAGCUUGGUUAUACAACCUUACGACUUCAGUUUGCAUGGCUUUGACGUCUAACAACAUAUAUAGACUCAAUCCCAAUACCUUUCGUCUUUGUUUCUAGACGCUUCUCCUCCCCAACGGCUCUCUCAUUUUGUCGUUCCACCCUCCGGACCUCCUCUAAUCCUUUUCUUAGAAAAUCUCACUCCUUACUCUUUUUUCAAUUUCCCCUUUUUCCUUUGAUUUUCAGCUCUAUUUAUAGUGACCUUCUUGUCCAAAGGUUACUUCCAUGCUUUUCACUUGUCUACUCGCCAUUUUUCUGCUUCAUGUAUUUAAAUCCCACAAUGACCAUCAUCGACGAUUUGACUUCUCAUUGAGACACACGCCUCAUCUUCUUGGAAAGCCAAACUUCCUUAAAUAACCCAACCCUCAUUAUUUCCUCGAGAAGCCAUAAAUAUUUUCUUCCUCCAGAGAGUGGUCAACUCAUCUUGACAAGACACUUUCUCGCCUCCUUCCUAGGUUUAACAACUUCUUCUCACGUUACUUUGCUAAAGGCCUAACUCUUAGUGUCCAAUAUAGGUCUCUCUUUUCAUAUAGGCCUAACUCUUGGGGAUGGGUACGCGAGUUGUGAGGUUUGUGUUGGGGUGGGACAAAACAUAAAUGAAAAUUAAGGGUGUUAUUUAUGGUUUAUAUAUAUAUCCCUAAAUCGGGUUGGGUUGGGUCAUCUUGGCCCUUAAUUCCCAAACUCGGUAACUAGACCCAUCUUUUUUUCAAUUCUUUAACCCAACCCAACCCUUACUCUUUGGAUUGGGUAGUCCUGGUUGGUCGAAUUAUCAGGUUUUUUUUUACACCACUACUUUUUAAUCUUGAAUAUGAAUUCUUCAAUCUCGUUGCUCGCAAUCUCCAACCACACUUAUUGUCAAUGCAUCUAACAAAAAGAACCUCUUUUGUAGACUUUUUUACAACAAAUUGAAGAAAAAAAAUUCUUUGUCAAGACACUUAAUCUUAUUUACAUCUCUCUUGCAAAAAAAUAUAUGUCAUGCAUCCAACUCCUCACUUGUAGAGCUUUCUUUGAACCAAUCACUUUUUUUUUUUUUUUGCCUUCAACUUUCGGCUAGUGGAGCUGUAGUGAAUUUUAUCUUUUCCUUUGCAAUUUUUUGUAGGAGCAUCUUUUUGUUGUGGGAUGUCAAACGAUUCUUUGUUCAUCUCAACUGGCUCCCGUGUAAAAGUAUCAUCUUUUGAAUCAUAUGAUUCAUAUGAUUCCCACAUAGCCAAAGUGGUCCCUAUCAUGUUAUCACACAAGCUUACCUAAACUUCACAAACAUGAACUUCAUUCUCAAUCUAAUGUAUCCAUUGCAAUUAGAGGAUAAAGGUUUAAGUUAUGAACUUGGUUGCUCCCAGAUACUGAAUUGUAACACAUGUUUAACCCUUUCUUGCUUUGAUUGCUUCUAGGCUAAAAUGAGACAUAUAGAGGGCCUUCAAUGAAUUUUCACUAAGAAUAUAAAACUUCAAAUCAUGGUCAUUGAUUAACUCAACUCAAAUGGAGGGGCUUCAUUUUUCACUUUUAUUGCAUAAAGAAGAAACACGUAGGAAAAUGAGGGGAGGUUCUUUCUAUAGGCAAAAGAGAAAAUGGAUUUGAAAUAUGGAGGUCACCGAAGGUGAAGUGGUGCAAGAUUUGUUUGUGUCGUCUGAAGAUUCUGCAGAAUGGCACCGGCAGGUGAUUUUUUGUAUAGAUAAUUAAAAUUAUAUAGAUAAUAACCAAGAAAAGGGAAAAGAGCGUAUUUUGUGAGGAAUAUAUUGAGAAUAGUUUUAGUAUUACAUAAUCUGAUUCUGAAUAAUAAAUAAUGGAAAUGGAAAUCAUAUGAGAUUUUUGAAAAAGGAAAGUGUAUAUAUACGGUGGUUAAAAAAUUAUUCAAAAAAAGAAAGUUUCCAUAUGAAUGCAAUUCUUUUUAAAUUAAUUGUUAGAGUAAGGGUAUUGUGUCUUCUCAACCUUAAAACAAAAAGGCAAAAGAACAAUACUCUGUUCCCUUCGGCUUCACGUUUUUUUAUUAUUCUUUGUGUACUGCUGCGUUGCACCACACACCACAGUUCUAAUUUUAAUAUAUACACACAUAUAUAGGUAACAAAUCUCCUAUUUCUCUUCUCUAACUUCUAAUAUUCUUUUUUUUUUUCCAUUCUAAAUUCUAAAUUCACGCAAUGAGUUUCAUGUCAAUCAUUCAAUUCCAUCUCUUGUUUUGAUUCUGCAUUAUCAGUCUGUAGAUUAGGGAUAGUUGCAAUGUUGUUCAUAUAUUGAUUACACUUUUAUUUGUUUAAGAAAAAAACACUCCAUCAUUAUCAAUGUGUUAUUUGGAGUCCUGAGGUUCAUUUCACUGAAUCCGGAUCCUUAAAAAAUGUCCAGACUGCUCUAGAAAGGGGAAAAUUCUUAAAGUGCACCCAUUGUAAGAGACGUGGUGCAACCCUUGGAUGUCGAGUUGAACAAUGUCAAAAAACAUACCAUUUGGUUUGUAUUAACUGAACUAUUAAGUAUUAUCUAUCUCUUUAAUCACUUCAAUAACAUUAAUAAAAUCUUCUCUUUCUUUUUUCAGGCUUGUGCACGUUUCAAUGGUUGUAAAUUUGAUCACAAACAGUUUCUCAUGCCUUGCACUGAUCAUCGCCAUAUCUUCCAACUUGAAACUCGUUUGAAUUCACGUGAAAAAACAGAGUUCAAAAUGGGAAAACAGUACUCAAAGGAAAAUCACAAAUGUAUUGAUAAGGAUGAUGAUAGUAAUCAUGAAGAUGAUCAAGAGGAUAUUCAGCCCAUAUUUAUUGGUGGCACUGCCACACAUAGUAAUAGUAAUAAUAGUAAAAAAGAAGUGUUAGUUAUGGGUGGUUGGGAAUCUGUUGCUGGCCUUCAAAAUGUCAUUCAAUGCAUGAAGGAAGCUGUAGUGUUACCUUUGUUGUACCCUGAGUUUUUCCAGAGACCUGCUAUAACCCCACCAACAGGUCUUCUCCUUCAUGGAUAUCCUGGCACAGGUAAAACACAUGUUGUGCGAGCCUUGGUUGCUUCGUGUGCUCGUGCCGACUGCUUAGGAAAGUAUGUUGGUGACUGUAACGACCCAACUUUUCUAAGUAAGUCGAGAUCGUUAAUUUUUAACAAAUAAAGACUUUGAUUAAUAUAAAACAAAACGUAAGCAAUUUAAAAAAAAACAUCUUCAAGUCAGGCCUGAUUUUUAAACAUUCAAGAAAACAUAAAAUAAUAUUAUUUACAACAAACGUUUGUAAACUAAAUUUCAAUUCAUUUUAAACCUCACAAGAACCCAUAAGCGGAAGCAAAACACGUUUCCUAUGGCAUCACGCUUCCUUCCUGCCCCUCGCCGGUUUGCCGCCUUUAUUACCUUUGCCUGAAAAUUAAACAUAAGAAGGGUGAGUAUUUAAAUACUCAGUAAGAGACCCUCUACUGGUCCCGUCAGGGGAAAAUAAAUUGUUAACGUUCUAUUGGGACACCCUGUACAGUCGCAGUCUUGAGAUCCCAUAGGAUACACAUCUCAGUCUAACGCCCCGAGGGACAUACAUAUCAGUCUAGUGUUCUGCGGAAACACAUAUCAGUCUAAUGCUUCCGAAGGUGCACAAUAAAUUGGUGAUCCCGUGGGACACCUACAAGGUACACAUCCCAAUACAUUCUAACAAUUUUCCCCUCAAUACAUUCUAACAAUUUUCCCCUCAAUACAUUCUAACAAUUUUCCCCUCAAUACAUUCUAACAAUUUUCCCCUCAAUCCAUUCAAUCCAUCUUUCAAUUACUUCAAAACACAAAGUUCUUUCUUUCGACGUCCUAACAGUCAACUUAUUUUACUUUAGUCAUAUGUCUAUCAAUAAUAUGCUAAUAUAUCAGUCAAUCAAACUAUACAGUCAACACACCCCUCAGUUCAUCAGCACACAGUCAUACUUUAAACGUAACGUACACCCAAUCUAAACGAAAAUCACAAGUUCACAUCUGCAUCUCAUACAAACACAAUUUACAAUCUUCGUCCUGUCCACAUACACACACUUAUAUAUAUAUUCCAUGACAAUCACGAUAUACAUUCGACGUCAAGUCUACUUCAAUUCAUAUACAUUCAUAUAUAUUUUCAGUCAAUCCACAGUAUACAUUUAACACAUACAAUCCACAGUCAUAAGUGAAUCUAGUAGAAAAUCCCUUACCUUCAAGUUAGUUAAGCUCCUUAACCACGUUGAAGUCUAUGAAGAACGAACCUAAACAUUAAGACAAUUUCUCAAUAAUUCUCUUCAACGCAUCAAUCAUUUAAAUUCAACCCAAUGUGAAUCUUUUUACAACUUACCCAAAUCUUCGCGAAAGAAAUCGAGCAGUAGCUUUGCGAAGAGAUGAAGUGCGACGGAGAGACCGUAUACAGACGGCCGGAGAUUCGCGCGGCAGUGCAGACAACGGAAGAGAAGGGAUCGGCGGCGGCUGGCUUGGACGGCGAUUGUGAGCGGCGGACGUGGCGGUUACUGGUUCACACGGCGGCUCGGGCUUCGACGAAGACAGAACCGGCGAUGGAGAUGGCAGAUCGGCGCGCGGGACGACUGCUGCAAGGUUGCUUCGCGAAACGGAGAUGGAAACGGCAGAUCGGCGCACGGGCUGCAGCUGGGCUGCGGCGGGAAGAAAACGGAAGAGAAAGGAUCGGCGGCUGGCUGCGGCUGGGCUACGGCGGGAGGAAAACGGAAGGGAAAGGAUCGCGGCGGCUGGCUGCGGCGGGAAGAAAAUGGAAGUCGCGGCGCACGACGGAAGAAGGAAAUAGGGGUGGCGGUUGCUGCGGCUACGACGCAGAUCUGGACUGAGCAGCGGUCACGUGGGCGGCGACGGCUGCUGCGAACGGAAGAAGAAGAGGAGAAGGUCGACGGUUACUGGGCUGCGGACGGAGAGAAGGGGAAGGGUGCACGGGGAGGAAGGAGAAAAGAGAAAAGAAAAGAAAAAGGAAAAAGAAAAGAAAAGGAAAAAGAAAAACAAAAUAUAUAUAUUUCUUUUUCUUUUCUUUUUAUUUAAAUUAAAUAUAAAUAAAUAUAUAUAUAUAUAUAUAUAUAUAUAUAUAUAUAUAUAUAUAUAUAUAUAUAAAAUAAAAACAAAAUAUAUAUAUAUAUAUACCUUGGGGCAUUACAUUCUUCCCUCCUUAAGAAACUUUCGUCCUCGAAAUUAAUAAUUCUGAAAUAACUCCUGGAUAACGAGUCCUCAUCUCUUCCUCUCGCUCCCAUGUCGCCUCUUCCAUUCGAUGGUUCCGCCACAAAACUUUUACUAAUGGAAUGCUUCUAUUACGAAGCAUCUUUACCUCUCUAGCCAGAAUUUCCACAGGUUGUUCUACAUAGCUCAAAUGCUCAUCAAUCUCCAAGGGUUCAUAGUCUACUACAUGAGAUGUAUCGGCCACAUACUUUCUCAACAUCGAAACAUGGAAAACAUUAUGAACUGCAGAGAGAGAUGGUGGUAAUGCCAAGCGAUACGCCACAACACCACACCCUCUCUAAGAUCUCAAAUGGUCCAACAAAACGAGGACUUAACUUCCCUUUCUUCUCAAAAACGCAUAACACCCUUCAUAGGUGCUACCUUCAAGAAUACUUUUUCUCCCACAUCAAACUUAAGGUCUUUUUGCCGUACAUCUGCAUAACUCUUCUGUCUACUCUGCGCUGUUUGCAUACGUGCUCUAAUCUUUUGAAUAGUCUCAUUAGUAGACCGAACUAAUUCAAGUCCCAUCAACCUAUGUUCACCAACCUCACUCCAACAAACAGGGGUUCUACAACAUUUACCAUACAAAGCUUCAAAUGGCGCCAUACCGAUGGUAGCCUGGAAACUGUUGUUAUAAGCAAACUCCAUUAAAUGUAGAUGAGAGUCCCAACUACCUAGAAACUCUAGAACACAAGCUCGUAGCAUAUCCUCUAAAACUUGAUUCAAACGUUCAGUUUGACCAUCAGUCUGUGGAUGAAAGGCUGUACUGAAAUCCAAUCUCAUACCCAUAGCAGUCUGAAGUCCCUUCCAAAACUUGGAAGUAAACCGUGCAUCCCUAUCAGAAACAAUCGAUACAGGCACUCCAUGCAGUUUCACAAUCUCAGUUAAAUACAACUCUGCCCACUUACUAGCAGUAUAAGUGGAUUUUCCUGGUACAAAAUGUGCCGAUUUCGUAAGCCUGUCUAUGACAACCAAAAUCACUGUGAAACCCUUCAGGGUCUUUAGGCAGCCCUGAAAUAAAAUCCAUCGACACAUUCUCCCACUUCCACUCUGGCACACUUAAAGGUUGUAACAAACCUGUUGGUUUCUGUCUAGGUGCCUUAACCUGCUGACAUACUAGACACUUACUAACGAAUUCCGCCACUUCCCUUUUCAUAUUUUGCCACCAGUAAAAUCGUUUUAGAUCCUGAUACAUUUUCGUGCUACCAGGAUGCAUGGAAAAUGGGGAAUUAUGGGCUUCAUCUAGUAGGUCAAUCUUAACUGUACUGUUCGCUGGCACACACAAACGUCUCUCAAACAUCAACCCACCAUCAGAGGAUAUGAAGAACUCAUCAGUCUGCCCUGUUUCAACAAGGCGAUGUCUCUCCAUCAAAUAAGGAUCACUACUCUGAGCAUCAACAAUCUUCUGCUUCAGAGUCGGUUGCACCAUUAAUUGAGCUAGCUGUGAGGUGACUCUCCCCACAGACACUGCAAUCUCAGCUCUCUCCAAGUCUCGAUGCAAUGGUACCUGUCUAGUAAUGAGUGCUGCCGAAUGUGAUACUUUUCUACUAAGAGCAUCAGCCACCACAUUCGCCUUACCAGGAUGGUACAAUAUCUCGCAGUCAUAAUCUUUUACCAACUCGAGCCACCUUCGUUGACUCAUAUUCAACUCCUUCUGAGUGAAGAAGUACUUUAGGCUCUUAUGGUCAGUAAAGAUUUGUAUCUUUUCACCGUACAAGUAAUGUCUCCAUAUCUUCAAUGCAAAAACCACUGCUGCCAACUCCAAAUCAUGUGUGGGGUAGUUCUGCUCGUGAUCUUCAACUGACGAGAGGCAUAAGCAACCACCUUACCUUUCUGCAUCAAAACACAACCCAGUCCUUUCUUGGAAGCAUCACUGUAAAUCACAAAACUUCCAGAUCCAUCUGGUACAGUAAGGACCGGUGCAGUAACUAACCUUUGCUUUAAGUUCUGAAAACUGUCCUCGCAAGCUGGACUCCAAACAAACGGAGUUCCCUUCCUUGUCAACUGAGUCAAGGGAGUAGCCAAACGUGAAAAAUCCUCCACAAACCUCCGGUAGUACCCUGCUAAACCCAGAAAACUACAAACCUCACUAACUGUAGAGGGUCGAGACCAACUGGUAACCGCUUCUAUCUUUGCAGGGUCUACUGAAACUCCCUCACUAGAAACCACAUGACCAAGAAAAGCCACCUGCUUCAACCAAAAUUCGCACUUAGAGAACUUAGCAUACAGUUUAUUGACUCGAAGAGUCUCUAACACCUUAUGUAAGUGUUCCUCAUGUUCGGCUUCAGUCUUGGAAUAAACCAAAAUAUCAUCAAUGAAGACUAUCACAAAAGUGUCUAAGAAAUCCUUAAACACCCUGUUCAUCAAAUCCAUAAAUACAGCAGGUGCAUUAGUCAAACCAAAAGACAUUACUAUGAAUUCAUAAUGUCCAUACCUCGAAUGAAAAGCAGUCUUAGGAAUAUCACGGUCUCUAAUCCUCAACUGGUGAUAACUUAACCGUAAGUCAAUCUUAGAGAACACCGUGGCUCCCUGUAACUGAUCGAACAAGUCAUCAAUUCUGGGUAAAGGAUAUCUGUUCUUGACUGUUACUUUAUUCAAUGCUCUAUAGUCAAUGCAAAGACGCAUCGACCCAUCCUUCUUCUUCACAAACAAUACUGGUGCACCCCAAGGUGACACACUAGGUCGAAUAAAGCCUUUGUCAAGCAAUUCCUGUAACUGUACCUUCAGUUCUUUCAACUCAGCAGGAGCCAUCCUAUAAGGGGCUCUAGAAAUAGGAGUAGUGUCUGGCUCCAACUCAAUGGCAAAAUCAACCUCUCUAUGUGGCGGUAGUCCUGGAAGAUCUUUUGGAAACACAUCCGGGUAUUCUCUUACCACAGGUUCUGAAGUUAAAGAAGUCUCACCUUCCCUAGUAUCCACCACACUUGCCAAAAUACUCCAAGUACCCUGGUUGAGUAGUUUACUAGCUUUCAUAGCUGAGAUUACUUUAGGCAGUACUACUGUUCCUACCCCCUUGAAUUUAAAACUAGAUGCAGUAGGGGGACUGAACACAACUUCCUUACGAGAACAAUCAAUACUAGCAUGAUUAGUAGCUAGCCAAUCCAUACCUAAAAUUACAUCAAAGUCACGCAUAUCUAAUACCAACAAGGUUACGUCCAGCACACGACCAGCUAUCUCAAUUUCACAUGCUUUAAUCUUUUCCUUAGACAACAUAAAUUCUCCAGACGGUGUAAACACUGACAAAACAUAGUCUAAGAGUUCCACCUCUAAGCAUGCAUGUGUCACAAAAAGCGAUGAAAUAAAUGAAUGAGAAGAUCCCGAGUCAAACAAGGUCAAGGCAAAAUGCCCUAACACUGGUAAUGUACCUGUCACUACUGUGCCGACCUUCUCUGCCUCUGAUCUAUUAGUGGCAAAGAUUGUACCCCGCUGUGGAGGUCUCUCUCCCUGACUGCUCGAUCCAGCUCCAGUAGAUCUCAAGGGACACCUAUCAGCCAUGUGUCCCUCUUGCUUGCACUUAUAACAGACUCUCAUUCCCAUCAAACAACGACCUAGGUGGCGUUUCCCACACGUAUUGCAUAAUGGCUUCUCUCGAGUAGUGUCUCCUGCCCGCCAGAACUCUGUUGGAAAUUGCGAAAAGGAUCGCCUGGUCUCAAGUUCCUCUGAGGAACUCCCACAGUUCUCUGCUCUACUUUUCUCUUUUGACCCGAUGACGAUCCCUUAUCAAAGCUCCUUGGCCGUAUUUCAUCCUUCCCAAUGCUCAUAUUCACUGCCAGACGCAGUGCUUCAGCCUGGUUAGUGGGCUUUAGUGCUCGCACAAAGCCCCUAAUUUCAUCUCUCAAUCCCUUGACGAACCUAUCAGCUCUAGCUUGCUCAUUACUAACAAGCUCAGGGGCAAAACGUGACAGCAUAUCGAACUCCUGGUCGUACUCCUCGACUGUCAUAUAUCCUUGCUUCAACUCCAAGAAUUCCUGGCUUUUGGCGUCUCUAAGGUUAGCCGAGAAAAACUUGGUAUAGAAGCAGUCCUUAAACUGAUCCCAGGUAAUCUGCCUCACAUCUCCACCUAACAUGCGCAUAGUAGUCCUCCACCAGAUAAUGCCUCUGUCCCUCAGUAGAAAAGCAGCACACUGAACUCUGUGCUCCUCGGGACAUCUCAUGUAAUUAAAUAUGGUUUCCACAGAGGACAACCACAAUUCAGCUUUAGUAGGAUCCUCCAGUGACCCAUCAAACGUCUGAGGGUCAUAUUUCCGAAAGUCCCUCAAAUGUUUCGCCUCAGCAGAAAGUUGGUUCGGUAAUAUCUGCGGCUGUUGUGCAGCAAAUCCUUGUGCAGGAGGGGCUGCUGGUGCAGGGGGAACUACAGGUGCAGGUGGAACGACAGGUGCCUGCUGGUUCUGAGCUAUAGCCGUCAUAAGUUCUGUAAACCUCUGCUCCAUGUGAGCAGACAGUGCAUCAAACUCGACGUGAGUCACGGGUGCAGCAGGAAUUCGUUGUUCAACUUGACCCUCAGUAGGCUGAUUACGACCUGCUCCUCUACCUCGGCCUCCUGCUCCUCUACCUCGGCCUCUACGACCUCCUCUACGUACACCUUCCCUUGGCGGCAUAAUUCCUAUUAUCCACCAACAACACUCUUUAACAAAAUCUUAAUCAUAAGCAUAAGCAAGUCUUUAUCGUCAUGCAAUCUAGUUUAAUUUAGGCAAGGUCAUGCAAAUAAACCAUACAUGUAAGCAUCAAGCAUACCUGACGAGAGACGAAGGGUCGCGUUAACCAUAGGAACACAAAAACAUAGACUUACAUCGUAAGUCAGUCUACAGAACCUAAAACUUAGGCUUUGAUACCAACUGUAACGACCCAACUUCUCUAAGUAAGUCGAGAUCGUUAAUUUUUAACAAAUAAAGACUUUGAUUAAUAUAAAACAAAACGUAAGCAAUUUAAAAAAAAAAAACAUCUUCAAGUCAGGCCUGAUUUUUAAACAUUCAAGAAAACAUAAAAUAAUACUAUUUACAACAAACGUUUGUAAACUAAAUUUCAAUUCAUUUUAAACCUCACAAGAACCCAUAAGCGGAAGUAAAACACGUUUCCUAUGGCAUCACGCUUCCUUCCUGCCCCUCACCGGUUUGCCGCCUUUAUUACCUUUGCCUGAAAAUUAAACAUAAGAAGGGUGAGUAUUUAAAUACUCAGUAAGAGACCCUCUACUGGUCCCGUCAGGGGAAAAUAAAUUGUUAACAUUCUAUUGGGACACCCUGUACAGUCGCAGUCUUGUGAUCCCGUAGGAUACACAUCUCAGUCUAACGCCCCGAGGAACGUACAUAUCAGUCUAGUGUUCUGCAGAAACACAUAUCAGUCUAAUGCUUCCGAAGGUGCACAAUAAAUUGGUGAUCCCGUGGGACACCUACAAGGUACACAUCCCAAUACAAUCUAACGAUUUUCCCCUCAAUCCAUUCAAUCCAUCUUUCAAUUACUUCAAAACACAAAGUUCUUUCUUUCAACGUCCUAACAGUCAACUUAUUUUACUUUAGUCAUAUGUCUAUCAAUAAUAUGCUAAUAUAUCAGUCAAUCAAACUAUACAGUCAACACACCCCUCAGUUCAUCAGCACACAGUCAUACUUUAACGUAACGUACACCCAAUCUAAACGAAAAUCACAAGUUCACAUCUGCAUCUCAUACAAACACAAUUUACAAUCUUCGUCCUGUCCACAUACACACACUUAUAUAUAUAUUCCAUGACAAUCACGAUAUACAUUCGACGUCAAGUCUACUUCAAUUCAUAUACAUUCAUAUAUAUUUUCAGUCAAUCCACAGUAUACAUUUAACACAUACAAUCCACAGUCAUAAGUGAGUCUAGUAGAAAAUCUCUUACCUUCAAGUUAGUUAAGCUCCUUAACCACGUUGAAGUCUAUGAAGAACGAACCUAAACAUUAAGACAAUUUCUCAAUAAUUCUCUUCAACGCAUCAAUCAUUUAAAUUCAACUCAAUGUGAAUCUUUUUACAACCUACCCAAAUCUUCGCGAAAGAAAUCGAGCAGUAGCUUUGCAAAGAGACACGUGCGACGAGAGACCGUAUACAGACGGCCGAAGGUUCGCGCGGCAGUGCAGACAACGGAGGAGAAGGGAUCGGCGGCGGCUGGCUUGGACGGCGGUUGUGAGCGGCGGACAUGGCGGCUACUGGUUCACACGGCGGCUCGGGCUUCGACGAAGACAGAACCGGUGAUGGAGACAGUAGAUCGGCGCGCGGGACGACUGCUGCUGUUGGAAUUUUUUGUCCUAAAACUCGUAGUUUGUAAAUCAUAUUCUAUUCAAUAAAGUUGUUAUUGAGAAAUUAAAUAUUAUAAUCUUAAAUCCAAUAAAUCAAGUUCCAAGGCUAUUUUUUGAAUAAACUUGAACUUUAUGUGUAAACAUAAACGUGGAUCAAGUUCGAGUAUAUAGCCUAAAUAGUCUAUUAGUAUAUGAAAUAAAGGUUGGGCGCCUUAUUUAGAGAAACUAUGGAUGCGGCCCACUUUGUAGUACAAACGAGGUGAUCCUAAUCGUUCAUGUAGAGACAUGAAAGUGGGGGCAUCCUAUGUAAAAUGUUUACAUAAGACUGAACCAUGAAUUAGUCAUUUUUACGUUAUAACACCGUUUACUGUUUAAAACUGACUAUCUCAAUUAUUGAUGACCUAGGUAACUUAGUCUUAAUCCUGAGUUAACUAUGAACUCCUGUUCACACGAGAUUAUCCUUAGAUCUGCAUAGGUGAGGGCAGCUCAUCAGCGUUGGCCCAAUAAGCCUCCCAUUUCAGGGGUAAGAUCGGGUGGAUAGCUGGGAACAUAGGGUACAAGAUGGAAUUCACUCCUACCCGCUUUAGGGUUAGUAGAUAGGUUGCUCUCUUAAGCACUGAAUCCAAGUCUUGAACAAGGGGCCCCACCCUCUCAUUGGCCCGAGAGGGAUUAAGUUUAUAGGUUGAAACUUAAACCAAUUGUUCAAUAGUGGAUUAGUGGGACUUAAGGAGCAAGAUGUAAUCUUGGGGGUAAAACGGUAUUUUGACCCAGCCAAGGUUACGAGCAACCUGUGAAGGAUUAAACUUACUGAUUAUGGUUUUAUCAAAUGGACACAAAUAUAUCUAUAGUGAGGGGAGUGCAACUACGGGACUUUAUUGGAAUGACCCGUUAGUUAACGAAUGUUGAUUAACUCGGUUUAAAAGAGUUUAGCUAGUUAAUCUUGAAUCGUUGGAGCCCAUGAUCUAUAGGUCCAUUAGGUUCCUCUGCUAGCUCAUAUGGAUUAAACUUAGAACAGUGUGAUGAAAUAAGUCGAAUUUUUCGAAUUGGGAGAAGAAAGGAAAACCGACAUAUACAGUGAUAUAAUCGUCGAUCUUCUAAUUAGAAAUAGAGCUUUAUGUUUUACAUACUAUAAGUGUGAAUGCGGAUUCAUACUAAGAAGCUCGGAAUUGGUCAAAAAUAGUAAAAAGUCAAAAUGUUGACUUUUGACUUUGAAAAGUGAAACUUUGACCGGCCUUAUAUUCAAAUGUGAUUUGAAUUUUGGAAAAAUGAAUGCGGAUUCAUGCUCGGGAGGUUGGAAUUAGUCAAGACAGACAAAAUGGUCAAAAGUCAAAAUAUUGACUUUUGACAAAGAAAAGUCAAAGUUUGACUUUUGACUAGAAAUAUCUAAUGACCAUUUUACCCUUAGACUAAGUUAGUGGGAAAAUCCAACAUUUUAUUGGAUAAUCCCACUAACUCUUAGUGGGAUAUGUGGCUAUAUGAGAUAUAGACACCUAGCCCACUAAGUUCCACUAAUUGUUAGUGGAACAUUAGGUGUUGAGAUUUGGCAAAUGAAUUGCAUGCAUUUUUGCAUGUAAUUAGGCUAUAAAUAGAGAUGUUUUCAAAUGUUGAAGGACUUUUGCCUCUUUUAUCAUUUUCAUCAUCUCAACAAAAGAAAAAAAAAAACUUCCAAUCUCAUUUUAUCUCCAUUAUUUUCUACACCAAAAUUGGGUCCCACAACCCGGUUCUUUGUCUAGAGGAUAGCAGUUGAGUACUAGUGGUGGUCUCGGGUAGAAUUGGUAAGAAGACAUCAAACCUUUUGAAAGCUUCAAAGGUAAUACUUCUUAAAACCCUAAUUUGAUUAGUUUAUGGUUACAUGUUAACUGUGGCAAUUAGGGUAGAAAUUCGAUUCUUUUUCCGCUGUGCAUGACUUAAUUCUAUCAGCUGCAAGGUUGCUUUGCGGACCGGAGAUGGAGACGGCAGAUCGACGGCUGGGCUGUGGUGGGAAGAAAACGGAAGAGAAAGGAUCGGCGGCUGGGCUACGGUGGGAGGAAAACGGAAGGGAAAGGAUCGGCGGCUGGCUGCGGCGGGAAGAAAACGGAAGUCGCGGCGCACGGCGAAAGAAGGAAAUAGGGGCGGCGGUUGCUGGGCUGCGACGCAGAUCUAGACUGGGCAGCGGUCACGUGGCGGCCGACGGCUUGUGCGAACGGAAGAAGAAGAGGAGAAGGUCGGCGGUUACUGGGCUGCGAACGGAGAGAAGGGGAAGGGCGCACGAGGAGGAAGGAGAAAAGAGAAAAGAAAAGAAAAAGGAAAAAGAAAAACAAAAUAUAUAUAUUUCUUUUUCUUUUCUUUUUAUUUAAAUUAAAUAUAAAUAAAUAUAUAUAUAUAUAAAAAUAAAAACAAAAAAAAAUAUAUAUAUAUAUAUACCUUUGGGGCAUUACAGUGACUCUGAGAAACAUCUAACGAAGUUAUUUCAAGUUGCAAAGGAAUGUCAACCUUCCAUCAUAUUCUUUGAUGAAAUGGAUGGUUUGGCACCUUGUAGAACAAGCCAACAAGAUCACACUCACAACUCGGUUGUUUCAACAUUACUUGCUUUAUUAGAUGGUUUGAAAUCUCGUAGUUCUGUUGCCGUUAUAGGUGCUACAAAUCGCCCGAAUGCGAUUGAUCCAGCUUUAAGAAGGCCAGGAAGAUUCGAUCGAGAAAUCUAUUUUCCUCUCCCAUCACUUGAGGAUAGGAUUUCCAUUCUCUCACUUUACACUCAAAAGUGGCCAAAAACACUUGACUCGUAUCAACAUUUGCUCCAUUGGAUAGCUAAAAAUACUUCAGGAUUUGCUGGUGCUGACCUUCAGCCUCUAUGUACUCAAACAGCCAUCAAUGCCUUGAAAAAAGCUACUUGUGAUCCUCAUCCAACUCAGCUUCCUGUUGUUGUAGUAGAGGACAAAGAUUGGUUGGAAGCUCUAUCAACUUGUCCACCUCUAUGCUCUCGUAGAGAAGCAUUGGCAGCAUCGAAUGAAACAGCAUCUUCACCUCUUCCUUUUCACCUUAUCCCGUGUCUCAUUCGACCACUAUCGAUCCUGCUUGUUUUACUUUAUAUGGAAGAAUCCAUAUACUUGCCGAAGACUCUUCUCAAAGCCGCAACCAUAGUUAAAAGGGUGAUAGAUUCUUCCUUGGAAAGAAAGAAAAUGGUUAGUACUAAGUGGUGGUUCCAUCUUGACGAUUUUAUUCAAGACAGUUAAAUUGCAAAUGAAAUUGAGAGAAAAUGGCAAGGUUCUAGAGUAAAUAUACUUGAACCUUCUUUCUCUGUUGAUUCAGGUUAAUUUAUCUCAGAAGAAGACACUACAGAUCAUGAAAACUCAAAGCAGAGACAUCAUUUGACUUGGGAAAUAGUUUCGGGUUUCGCAUUAUGAUUGCAGGGAAUCCAAGAUCUGGACAGAGACAUCUUGCUUCAUGCAUUCUUAACUGCUUUGUUGAUCAUGUUGUGAUAAGAAAAGUUGAUAUGGCUACAAUUUCACAAGGAUAUGCUACUUUGGGACAAGGAAUAGCAUACACAUUCGGUAACACCUUUCUGUAUUCAUAUAUUAUAUAUCAUUAUAUUAAAUUGAUUUGAUUUCUAAUGUUAAUUUGUUGUUCGUUUAAUAACUACUUAUAUGACAGCUAAUUGUUUAAGUAGAGAAUCGUGUUUAAUAUUCAUGCCAAGAGUGGAUCUAUGGGUAUUGAGUCAGUAAAUGAUGGUCAAAUAACUUUGGAGCAUGAUACACAUUAUUAUUCAUCAGAAGAACAAUGUAUUAGAAAUGCUAUAGUCCAAAGAGCAUCAUCUGCUUGGUCUGUAUUCGUUCACCAAGUCGAAUCUUUCUCAGAUUCUGCACCCUUCAUAUUCAUGUUAUUAAACUAGUCCCUUUCUUCAUUCUUUUUGCUAAUCAUACUAAAUAAAUAAGUUAAUACGCUAUUGUGUUUCUUUUUGUAGGCUACAUCUGAAAUUCCAUUCUUACAACUUCCUCGAGAAAUAAGACAUUUCUUUCAAAAUGAUGUAUCGAAUUGUAAAAUGUUGUGAGCUCGAGCACACAAAAUACCUCGAUUCUCCAUUCAGAUAUGAUGAUGGGACUUCCGACCACAAUCUCGUCAUCCAUCAAUCUGCAGCUAAACUAUCCAAUGACCUGCUGAAAUUACUUGUUCUAUUGAUUCACCAAAAUAAUCAUGUUAGGGAUACAAAUGUUUGCAACAGCAACAACCCACCCUCUGAUUUCAUUGAAGAUCAAGCUCUAAAACAUAAACAUACGAAUUUGAAUUCAGAAAUAACUAACGCUGGAUAUCAAAUUCUACAAAAUCCUCAAUAUUGUGACCUCUGUUGGGUGACAUCAAACUUGAAAGAAGGCCCUUCAGCUAACGUAAGUAAAUCUCAAUGGCAAGACUGGAAAUUCAACCCUUGUGUUCUCCAUCCAACUACCCCUUUGAAUGAUGAUAUUCAUAUUCAGACGGAAGAAAAAUUUGGGAUGGUAAGAGGCUUAGUUGCAAUUGGUUUGUCUGCAAUUAGAGAUGUUUAUACAUCAGUAGAACAAGUGUGCUUCGAUUUUGAAACUGUUCUCACUGCCUUAGUUGAAAAGGUCAAUGCAAAAGUAGCGAAAGGGCUAGACAGGCAAUACUCAGGACUUAUAUCGCAAGUUGCAUCGUUAGAAGAUCAUGUUUAUUGUUGGGCUUACGAACUACAAAGGUACCAUUCUCUCCACUUAGUAAAUUCAUUUACAUCAAAAACUUCAUACAUCUAAGAAUCCUUUCUUUUUUGUGCAGGAAGUUGGAGCAGGAUUCUCUUAAGAUGGGAAUGCCAAAACAUGGCACUUUUGCAAAAAUUGAUACCUCCAGUCUCCCUACCACUAGUACGUGCUCCAUCAAUUGUUGUCGGGAUUGUCUCAACAUUCUUCAUAUUGUGGCAAAGGAGAUUGUUAGGCAUGAAUUUGGAUCAAAGAGAUUUGAUUGGUCAAACAGAAAGUAUACAUGAGACUGUUAUGUCAAUGAUUAAUCUUUUAACAGCCGUGAGAAAAUUAUUUGUUGAUGAAAAAGGCUGUCAAUACAUGAUGAAAUAGGAAGACGAGAAAAAUACGACAAACUGCUCGAGUCCCACAACCUAGCAUCAUGUAGUUGCAACAACAUUUUUUGUUGCCAACGUUUGAAAUCAACACCACCAAAAUUUUCAAGUUUCUCCCCAUUGGCAACACCAGUUACAGGUGAAUUAAAGUUUGUUGAAGUCAUAUCUUCAAAACAAAUAAAUUUAAACAAAUAAUUAAAGAUGAAAUUCACAGUUAAUAUGCUUACCGUGAUAUUUGAAACAAAAAGAAAUAAUUAAAACACUCAAGUUAAUUUCCUUAUUGAGAUACUUGAAUAACAAAAAAUAUUUAACACAUUCAAGUUAAUAGGCUUAAUGUGAUAAAAAAAAAAUCUAAACAAUAUGUAUAUAUAAAACAAACUAAUUUGUAUAUGUGUGAAAUAAACUAAGGCAGUGAAGGAAAAAAAAAAAUCCAAACAAAGUAAUCUUUAUUUAUUUAUUUUUUUUUAAUUUCGUUUUAAACUUAUACAGAUAUGAUUUUAAAGGUGUGAUAAUCUUUAAAAAAAAUUAAUAAGACUUCAAAUGCAUAAAUUAAUCAUGUUAAUUGAAGAAAUAAAUAAGCAUGUAAAAGCAACCAUACAUAUAAAUUUGUCUUAAGAUUGUUAUACAGAUUAUCAAAUUGCUAUGUAUAUUAUUAUCACAGUGAACAGAAAAAUCAUACACAAAUAUAGAUCUGAGCUAAACGAAUUCAUGUUGUCUCUUUAUGACAAAUUUACUCACCCUAGUGCUUGAGAAUUUAGAGUAAUUGCCUCCCAGGAUAGAACAGAUCAACUUUCUUCUAAGUGUAGCACCUCGUAUAGAAGAUCUACGAACAAAACCUUGUGAAUCUACCGAACGUCAAGAUUCUGGAUAUGGAUAGAAAUUUGUUUAUAGAAGACGAAUGAUUUUUAUAUAUUCUUUUCUCUCAACCAAAAUGACUUAUUUAUAGACUUUUCGUGGUCAUUCGAAAAAUCAUGUCAUUUAGUUAAUAACACUUUUCAUGAAAUGAUGCAUCCAUUCAUGAAGAAUCAUAACUAUUUAUUCCAACAACUUAAAGUAAUGAGCAAAAUACAUUUUAGCUGAUGAUGAACGAACAUUCGUCUGCUUUUACUAUAAUUAAUGACAUUCUUUUGUCCAUUUAGAAAGGUAAUUUAUUGAACGUAUGCUCCAAUAAAUUUUAGUUUUCUCUUUCUUUUUAGCAUGAUGUAUAAGCUUCUUUUGAUAUGUUGAUCUAUAAUUUGGGAAUUUGGUGUGCUACUCAACAAUAACAUAUCCUCUUUAUCUGGAUAAUUUUGGACCAAGAAGUAAAAUUGUGCCAAGGAGCUUGGUUAACAUUAAAUCAGUUCAAGAAGGAUAGUUAAAGACUAAACAACACAUAAAGGUACAAGAGGAGGUACAAGGAAAGACGUGUUUGUUUUAAAACAAAGGAUCUGUAAAAAUCUCAUGCACUCUUCUUGAAGAAAACAAAUAAAAACAAAGAUAAAUACUUUGUAAGAUAUAUUGCCAAGAGGGAGAGAAAAUAAAUGGAACUUCUUGCUUUUAUUCAAUUUAAUGGACUAAUAUUUAUAGUCUAAAAAGGGAGUAAAACUUAGUAACCCACGAACUUAGUGCUUGCUAAAAUUUUGGAGAUAAUUAAAAAAAUAAAUAACCAAAACAAUAAAUAGAAAAAUAACGUGUGAACUAAUUGUUCCACCCAUUUAUGAAGAUCAUGGCAGAUUAAUAGCUCACACUACCCCCUUAAUUCUGACAUGAUUCUAAAUUACGAACACCAAGUAGCUGACGCAUAGCAGCUAACUUUACUCCCGUCAAUGCUUUAGUCAGAACAUCGGCUUGUUGUUCUCCAGUGUUGAUAAAUUCAACGAUAAUCUGUCAAUUCUCAACACACUCUCGAAUGAAAUGUAAACGUGUAUCUAUGUGCUUGUUGCGACCAUGAAAUACGAGAUUCUUCAUGAGAGUUAUCGCGGAUUUGUUGUCCACGAAUAAUGUUACCGGUUUGGCUCCAUUUCGACUAUCUCGCUAACAAUACAUGUUAAUCACAAUGCUUGGCAAGCUGCAAUGAACUCGGCUUCACAAGAUGAGAGUGCCAUCGUCUUUUGCAAAUUCAAUGAAACCAAGCUUUCUUUUAAGUAGAAUCUCAUUCCACUUGUGUUUUUCCUCCCGUCGAGAUCAUCGGCUAAAUCACUAUCAGAGUAACCGAAUAUAUCAAAUUCUUUGGGACCUUUCGUAUAAGUGAGCCCAAAGUGAAUUGUUCCUCUCAAAUACCUAAGUAUUUGCUUGACCACCUUGUAAUGCAUGGUUGUAGGCCUUUCCAUAUACCUACUCGCCAUUCCAACAGCAUAUAAAAGAUAUAGUCUUGUGUUCAGUAAGUAUCUAAGACAACCAACGAUGCUUCUAUACUCCGUAGCAUCAAUUGGUGCUCCUUCCAUGUCUUUGUGAAGUUGUGCCUUGGGUUCCAUCGAGUACUUUGUGGCAUUGCAAUCAGCCAUUCCAAACUGGGACAAAAUUCUUUUCGCAUAAGUUGGUUGUUUGAGCCGGAUUCGAUCCUUCUAUUGUUCAACUUCAAUUCCUAAGUAGUAAGAGUGAAGGCCUAAGUCGCUCAUUUCAAAUUCUGCCAUCAUUUGCUGCUUGAUCUUAUUGACCAUUUCAGUGCUACUUCCUGUUAUAAUGAGAUCGUCAACAUACACUCCAACAAGAAUACAUUCUUCUCCUUCUCUUCUUGUGUAGACUGCUUGCUCUUGAGUGCAUUUUCCAAAACCAAGCUCUUUGAGACUUCUAUCAAGUCGAACGUUCCAAGCUUGUGAAGCUUGCCUCAAUCCGUAGAGAGCCUUCGACAAUCUAUACACCUUGUGUUUUUUAUUUGGAACCUAAAACCCUUCGGUUGAGUAACAUAUACUUCCUCUUCCAAUUCUCCAUUUUGAAAUGCUGACUUCAUAUCUAGAUGAUGUACCUCCCAAAUUUGGUUUGCAGUGAGUGCAAGAAUGACUCGAACGGUGUCAAGUCUUGCAAUCGGUGCAAAAACUUCUUCAAAGCCAAUGUCUUGUCUUUGUACAUAGCCUUUAGCAACCAAUCUUGCUUUGCGCUUAACAACUUCUCCAUUAGGGUCUUUCUUCAAUUUGAACACCUAUUUUAGACCAAUGGGUUUGUGUCAUGGUGGAAGCUCAGUCAGACUCCAUGUGUGGUUUUUCUCAAUGGAUUUUAAUUCGUUCUCCAUUACUUCGUACCAGCAGGCCUCUGUAACAGCUUCUUGGUAACAAGUCGGUUCUUCAGACACUACCAUCAUCACCCUAUUUUCUUGUUCAUCAGCACCUACAACUUCCUCUGUGUUGGCGUAGAUGUCAGUGAGAGAUCUUAGACGGACCGGUGUGUUCAUCGAUGGAGGAGAUGGACUGGUCUUUCUAAUUGUGGGUAUCUCAGUUGCAUGUGGUACGACAUUUUCAACCUCAGUUUUUGCAUCUUCCAAAUUUUCAAACUCGUCAGAAUAAAAUUGGUCCAUCACCUAAAACUCCGUAAUCUUCUUACCGUCACUAACGACUUCAUUCCAAGCUCAUUCAAGAUUCUCUUGAAAAAUAACAUCGCUACUAAUUUGUGGUUUUCCACGGCCUGGGUCAUAUAAGCGAUGAGCUUUGCAUCCUUCUUCGACACCAAAAUACACCACCGGUGACCUUCAAUCGUCGAGUUUCUUGAGGUGAGAGGUUGUGUUCUUUACAUAUGUCACACAACCAAAGACUCUCAAGUGUGCUAGAUGUGGCUUUCUCCCCAUCCAAGCUUCAAAUUGUGUGCGUUCUCCAAGAGCCUUCAUUGGAAGAUGGUUUAACAAAUAAACCGCGUGUCUCACUGCCUCUCCCUAAAAUAUUACAGGCACGUGCAUGCUUUUGAGGAGUGAUCUCGUCAUCGCCAUUAUGGUGUGGUUACAACGCUCUACAAUGUCAUUUUGUUGUGGUGAAUAUGGAGCGAUGAGAUGUCGUUCGAUUCCUUCUUUUUUGUAAAAUUGGGUGAACUCUACAAAUAAGAACUCACCACCUUGAUCCAUCAGGAGCGUUCUGAUCUUGUACUCCAUCUUGUUCUCCAUUAAGAGUUUGAAUUUCUUCAAUGCUUCAAAUGCGUCACUUUUUGCCUCCAACAUAUACAACCACAUCCAUCUCGUGGAAUCAUCAACGAUCAACAAAAAAUACUUGUUUCCAGCAAGAGUACAUGGUGAAAUUGGUCCGCAUAUAUCAGCAUGGAGGAGUUCUAACGGCUUCUCUACUCUAUAUGUUGAUUGAUGGGGGAACGACAAUCUGGCUUGUUUGGUAAUCAUGCACGCUUCACAUAACUUGUUUGGUUGAGUCACUAGUGGUACUCCAACUACAAAUUUCUUCUCUCUUAUGAGCUUCAAGUCAUGAAAAUUUACAUGGCCAAGUCUCACGUGCCAUAACCAUGUUGGAUCUUCUAGGCUUGUCAGAAGGCAGACUUACUUGAGCGUCUUCAAAGUUAUCUUCUACAAGCAAUUUUGAGUUCGCUUCACCGACAUCAAAAGCGUGUCACUCCUGUCAUACACUUUCAUGACAUCUCCUAUCAUUUGCACCUUGUUUCCAUUUUCUGUCAUUUGCCCGAGGCUUAUGAUGUUACUACAUAACUUUGGAAUGUAAUACACCUCUUGGAGAGCCUUCUAAUCACCGUUCUUGCACUCGAACAUAACCGUUCCUUUUCCCAUGAUCUGAAUGGUUGAUCCAAUGCCAAAGUUCACCCUCCUAGUGAAGCUUUCAUCUAAUUCUUGGAACUUCUCACGAUGACCGGUCAUGUGGUUACUAGCACCGUUGUCAAGAUACCAAACAUCAUUAUUUUCUCCAUUCUUGUCAUUUCAGUACAUCUCUGGCAACAACCGCUCUUUGAUGAGUAGUAUGGCAUCCUCCUGAUCUCAUCUAGUGCGUGUCCCCUUCUGGGACACAACCAUUAUCAAAGUUAGUUCUUCUUCGAUGGCACAAGUUAGAUGAGUUUCGUCGUCAUGACCUUUUCUACGACAUUCCGAUGUGUAAUGUCCCAUCUUGUUCCAAGUGAAACACUUAAUGUGACUUUUAUCACGAUUUCCAUUUCCAGUGUUGCUAGUGCCUCCUGCACUAUUUUGACGCUCAGUGCCACAACCACGUCCUCGCCAUCUUCCUCGAUCGAUACUACCGAAUUUGCGCCCUUUGUUCAUCGAAGAGUUGUCAACACUAUGUCUUUUUUGUCUAGCUUUCCAUUCGACAUGGGUAAGUAGGAGUUGUCCAUUGGUGUUGUUAUUGUUUUCUCGGAGUCGUGUUGUUUGUUCCUCGUACACCUUCAUUCGUCCAAUUGCUUCUUCAAAUUGCAUGGUUUCGAGAUCUUGAAAUUGCUCGAUCCCGACAACAAUGGGAAGAUAUUUGUCGGAGACGGAAUCGAGGAACAUCUUGACCAAUGAUGAAUCCUCAAGUGCAACUUCGAGAGUGGUGAACUUGCUUACUAAUCUGCUGAUUUUUCCUGUGAACUCAUCAAUCGUCUCGGUUUUCUUCAUUCGAAGAACAUUAAACUCACUCUUCAAGGUUUGAACACUUGCCAUCUUCACCCGCUUACUACCCAAGUACCUUGUCUUGAGACUAUCCCAUAUUUCCUUGCGGGCUUCUUCUUUGCGAUUUGUAGAAGCACGUCUUCUGGGAUGCAUUAGAGAAUGCAUGCACGCACCUUCUUGUCCCUCUUCACAUCCACUUCGGCUCCUUCGCUGGCUCUAUUGCUUCCCAAACUCCUUGGGCGUCGAGGAUUGCUUCUGCCUUUAUCGCCCACACCGUGUAGUUGUGUGGAGUUAACAUCGGGUAGAGAAUCGACAUUCUGCCACUCUCCUUUGUUUGUUGCGAGACGCUUGCCAUUUUUGUUGGAAUCUAUGAUGAGAAGAAAAUAUGCUUUGAUACCAAAUGUUGGUUUUAAAACAAAUGAUCUGUAAAAAUCUCGCGCACUCUUUUUGAUGAAAACAAAUAAAAAUAAAGAUAAAUACUUUGUAAGAUAUAUUGUCAAGAUGGAGAGAAAAUAAAUGGAACUUCUUGCUUUUAUUCAAUUUAAUGGACUAAUAUUUAUAGUCUAAAAAGGGAGCAAAAAUUAGUAACUCACUAACUCAGUGCUUGCUAAAAUUUUGGAGAUAAUUAAAAAUAAUAAAUAACCAAAACAUUAAAUAGAAAAAUAACGUGUGAACUAAUUCUUCCAUUUAUUUAGGAAGAUCAUGGUAGAUUAAUAGCUCACAAGAGGAAGGAAUGGUUGAAGCUCAUUUCCAGCUUCUCGACCUUGGCUUAGCCCGAGGUCAAGCCAAGCGAAUCAGCCCAACACUAUGCUUUGUCUGAAACCCUAAAAAGUUGGUCCCAACACCCUUUAUUUUGUUUUAAUUAAUUUAAUUUGGUUGAGAUUUGGUUGUUGAGAUUGUUUAUUAUGAUCUCCCUCUAUAUUGGGGAGGUUUGAAUUAUUAUUUUAAGGUUCACUUUGUUUAGAUAUUAUAUAUGGUUGCAAUGUCAUUGAUAGAAAACAUGAGAGUUCUUGUGCGAUUCUACAUUGUUGAAAAAUAUAUUAUGAUGAUUGGUAAACAUUCAAGAUUCACUCUCAAGAACUAAUGUGUGAUGAUACAACAUUUUGAAAACAAGAGAUCGAUUAGCUAUUCAAGGAUGCUUGAAGCUAGGAUUGCAAGUGGUCAUUGAUUAAGGGGGAGUAAUCUUAUUAAUGUUAUGAUAAUUGUUAUUGUACAAUUUAGUUCUGAUUAUAUAGUCAGUUCAUGGUCAGUACGUUGGUUUUUGUUGUUAUACCCUCAAUCAUAACAUUGUAACGAUCAAUUACUACACGAGCAAUAUAAACUCUUAUCAUGGAUCUAAGACCUCCCAUAUGUAGAUGUUGUGUCAUUGAACUGGGUUAUCAAAGUUUGAUGUGUUUUCCGUACUUUUAUGUGCUUCCAUAGUUGUUCUUUCUGUUAUUAAUUCACGGUACAACAACAAUACUACAAUAACUAAGUGUGUGUUUUCUCAAUUGGUUUCAGAGCGGGUUGACGUUGGUUCAUUGACUUUUCAAUGGCGUUGAUCAGAGACGGUGGUUUAACAACUCGCAGCGUAAGGUGUCAUGAAUGUGAAGUAUUUUCUGGUAGUGAGUUCAAGGAAUUUCGGAGAGCCCUCAUUAGUAUUGUUACUAUAGAUGAAUCUAUUGAAGAUGGUUGUUCCAAUGGGCAAGCGAAAUCUAGUGCAUAUGCUAAGCAUCGAGGAUCAUCAUCUUGUGUUAUUCAUAUGGCGACGAUCUCUUCAGAAAAUGGGAGGAAGAUCAAAUUUUGUUGAAACAACAUCAAGAAAGAAGUCAAAUACUGGUAGAAGAAAAUUAUUGUUAUUUAUCAUCCAUUACAACGGUAAAGUUAGAAUUACACAAGGCUCGCCAUGAGUAUGAUUCCUUGUCCAAGAAUGUCAAGAUGCUCACAUCAAGUACUCAAAGUCUUCAAAAUAUGUCAGACGACGAAAAAUCGAGACCAAAUAAAAUGGGUCUGGGUUACUCUAUUAGUAGCUCCGUUGGUACUUCCACAACAGUAUUUAUAAAAGCAUCCAGUAAAAUUGAUCAAUGUACAAACCCAUUACCUGUUGAAAGAGAAAAUCAUAUUAUCAAGAAAAGAUGGGUCUGUCAUUUCUGGGGCAAGCAUGGUCACAUACUAUCAUUUUGUUACCGUCUACAUGGUUUUCCCUCAAAUAGAAAAGUUGUCCGCAAAAAUAAGUCUUGGAAAACUCCCAAGACUGUUUGGAGACCUAAAACAAGCAACGAUGCAAAUAGGUGCAAUGUUGCACUUACGUCUAUUCAAACCUCAAGAGUUACUGAUUGGUACUUCGACAGUGGCAGUUCCCGACACAUGACAGGUAAUGCUAACUUCUUCUUUGAAUUAAAGGAAUUUCGUUUUGGCUCGGUAAUGUUUGGUGAUGGUGUGAAGGACAAAGUUAUUGGAAAAGGAAACAUGAGUAAACCAGGAUUACAAAUUCUAAAAAAUGUUAGACAUGUAAAUGGAUUAUCAGCAAUGAUUAGCAUCAGUCAACUAUGUGAUGAAGGUUUCGAUGUUAAAUUCUUAAAAGGAAGAUGUCUUGUGACUGAUAGGGAUGAGACUCUCAUCAUGAUAGAUGCACGUUUUUAUGACAAUUGUUACUAGUGGACUUCUAAUGUCUUUAAAUUUGGAUGUAGCAUCCCUAAACACUAUAAGUGUGCUUUGAUAUUGUUUAUAGCAUAGUUUGGGUUAAUGACAAUCCAAAUUUUCAUGUUUCCAUGAUUGAAUAUUGGAAUUUUUGUUAGUUAAAAAGCCCUAUCAUCUGCAUUUGAACAUGUUUUUACUUCCAUUUUUAUUGAUGUAGCCAAAGUUCAUUUUGCAGGAGGCAUAUUGUAAAGCAUUGGAUAGGGGCUUCUCCACUACUCCAUUCAACACCAAUCUUUGUGGUAAUUAAGCUCUCUCUUUGUUUAAUCUAUGAAAUUUUCUUUUCUUCUUGUUAAAAUUGGUAUUUAAUUAUUUUGUUAUUGUGUAACUUGGAGCCAUCAUGUUUGUUUUUGUAUUUUUUGCACACUAUAUGAUGACUUGUAACUCUAGAGCUUGUUCCAAAGGGAUAUGAGAGUUUCAACACUGAGAUUGGUGCACAAAUAGGUUUGUCUUUAUAAGACGUUUGAGACAUGGCUAGUGUUCAGUUUUUACGGUUUUGAACAAUUUGGAUCCCGAGAACAUGUUGUGCAUCAACCAAAUCUUUCAUUUGAAAUUGCAUAGAUAGCCAUUUCUUGACGUCGUUGAGAUUAUUCACAUCAUUUCCAAUGAGUAGAAUAUCAUCGGCAUAUAGAACUAGGAAUGCUACAAUGGAGUUGAAAACCCUUUUGUAAACACAAGGUUCAUCAACAUUUUGUCCAAAGCCAUGAGAUUUAAUCGCGGUAUCAAAUCUUAUAUUCUUAGAUCUAGAUGUUUGCUUCAAACCAUAAAUGGAUUUUUUAAGCUUACAAAUUUUUUGUUCUUGACCUUGUUCCAUAAACCCCUCUGGUUGAGUCAUAUAGAUACUCUCCUCAAGAUUACCAUUCAGAAAUGUUGUCUUGGCAUCCAUCUGCCAAAUUUCAUAAUCAUAAAAGGUGGCGAUGGACAAGAGUAUUCUAAUCGACUUGAGCAUAGCAACUAGAGAGAAAGUUUCUUCAUAGUCUACUCCCUCUUUUUGGCUAUAACCUUUUGCCACAAGUCGAGCCUUAAAAUUUUGUACUUUACUGGCUUGAUCUUGUUUUCUCUUGUAGAUCCAUUUACAACCAAUAGGUUUUAUAUCAUUUGAUUGAUCUACUAGAGUCCAGACAGAAUUGAAAUACAUAGACUCCAUUUCGAGGUUUAUGGCUUUGAUCCAUUGGCCACUAUCUACAUCAUUCAUUGCCUAUUUAUAGGUUAAUGGAUCCUCUAUGCCGUCAUCAGGUAUGACGAGUUGAGUUUCUGUUAAACCCAAAUAGCGAUCAAGCUGAUGAACAACCCUCCCACUAUGUUGAGACUCUCUCAACUCUUGAAAAGGAUGUGAUUGAACAGAUUUCCAAGUUUUAUCAACUACUUUAGUUGAUGAACUAGGUAUAUUUGUAGCAUUUGUAGAAAUCUCACUUAAUACUAGUUUACUGCGCGGUUGAUAAUUCUUGAUGUGGCCUUCCUCCAAGAAUGUAGCAUUUGUCGAAACAAAUACUUUAUUAUCUUGAGGAUUGCAAAAGAGACCACCCCUUGAUUGGGUAACCAACGAAUAGGUAUAAUUUCGAAUGAUGUUCCAAUUUCUUAGGAUUUUGUACCAACACAUGUGUCGGGCAUCCCCAAAUUCUAAAGGGACGUAAACUUCCUUUACGCCCUUUCCAAAGCUCAUAAGGUGUUUCUGAAACACUUUUAGAGGGAACAUUAUUCAAAAUAUAGACAGAUGUCUCUAAAGCAUAUCCCCAAAAAGAAUCUGGCAAUUGAGCAAAGCUCAUCAUAGAGUGAACCAUGUCUAACAAGGUUCGGCUUCUUCUUUCUGAUACACCGUUCUGUUGAGGCGUACUAGGUGCAGAGAGUUGUAACUGAAUUCCAUUUUCUAUCAAAUAAUCUUGGAAUCUCAAGUCCACAUACUCUCCACCUCGAUCUGAUCGAAGUAUCUUUAUUGUUUUUCCUAAUUCAUUCUCAACUUUAGCCUUGUAUUCUUUGAACUUUUCAAGAGAAUCAGACUUAUGAUGCAUUAGGUAAACAUGACCAUACCUUGAAUAACAAUCAAUGAAACUGAUGAAAUAUUCGUACCCUACUCGAGCCUUGACAUUCAUUGGUCCACAAAGGUCCGAAUGCACAAGCUCUAAAGGUACUUUGGCUCUAAGACAUUUUUCAGUAAAAGAUUCACAUGGAGAUAGAGAGUUAUCUUCUAACUGAUUUAAAAGUUCGCUCUUAAUUAAUCUCCCAAUUCUAUUGAGAUUUAUGUGACCAAGUCUUAAGUGCACCAAAUAGGCGUUAAAAAGAAACCUUUUGUUUUUUAUUUUGAGUUUCGAAUGUCCUAAACAUUUCUGUAUUUCAGUCAAAAUUUGGUCUAUUUGGUCUGAACUUUUAUAAGUUGUUUUCAAGUAUAGUAGAGCAUAUUUGAAUACCUUUACUGAAAAUGAACGUUUCAUUAAUUUCAAAAGAUAUUUCAUACAUAUGUUCCAAAAUGCAAGGGAUAGAUGUCAAGUUCCUCUUUAUUUGAGGUACAUACAAAAUAUUUUUAAGUAGUAGAUAUCUAUCUUCUAAAAACAUCUUCAAGUCUCUCACUGGUUCAACUGAGACUACCUCUCUCAUUCCAACCUUGAGAGUAGUCUCAUGUUCUACAAGCUUCUUCCAAGAACAAGAUUCCUGAAAUGAGAAGCAAAUAUGAUUAGUGGCUCCUGAAUCUAGUAUCCAGGUUGAAGUAUCAUAUUCGACUAAGUAUGUUUCAACAACUAGUAAAUCGUAUUUACCUUGUGCUGCUUUUUCUGCUUUUUUCUCAGCAGGAUAUUUUGAACAGUUUCUCAACUAGUGCCCAUUCUGGCCACAAUGGUAACAUUUACCUUUUUCUGUGGCUCUCUUUCCCUUGUUCGUCUUGGGAGUCUUCCUCGUUCCCUUCAUCUUCAUUUGAGCUUUAGGCUUAUAAGGUCCACUUGUGCUUUUAGAGGACGAUCCUUUUGAAAAGCUUCUUUUUGUGGUAGCAACAUUUGCUUCCACUUGUUUUCGAGUUUGGAACUUUUGAAGCUCAUUCAGAAGGGUUGUCACGUUAAACUCUAUCUUGUUUAAAGACACAUUUGUCUGAAAUGGAAUGAAGCUCUUUAGAAGAGACUCUAAAAUAAAGCUAACUUGAUUAACCUCUUCGAUGGGACCACCAUUUACUUCGGCGAUCUUGAAGUGCAUCAUCAUGACCAGAACAUGUUUUCUAACAGAGGUCCCUUCCUUCAUACGCUUAGUGUAAAUGUAUUUGACUGCCUCGUGUCUUAAGGACCAUUUUGGUUGCCCAAACAUUUCCUUUAAUGAAUCCAUAAUCUCCUUAGCCUUAGCUAAGGAUUCAUGUUUCUUUGCCAAAACAUCAGACAUGCUGACAAGAAUAUAUACACGGCCUUUUUAUUUGCUUUUACCCAUCGAUCAUAUGCUUCCCGACUAGUUCAAUUAGCAUUAAAGGCAGGGUUUUGAGGACAUUCCUCAAUUAAGACAAACCUUAAAUCGUCAACCACUAAUAUUGUGUUAAGAUUUGAUUCCAUGACGCAUAAUUAUCGCCAUUCAGUUUUUCAGAAGCUAAAAGUUAAACUAUGGAGCUCUUCAUGCUAAAAAAUAAACAUAUUCAUUUUAGAAACCAUAAUCACUAAAGAAGCCAAUCAUUUAGCAAAUACUAAUAAUGUACCGAUCAUUAUAGUUUUACAACGAUAUUCCAAAGGUUUAGAAUAAUCCCCAACGUAGAGCAGUCGAUUAUUCUUCCUUUGAACCAAGACAAUCUUGAUCAGAUGCUAACUCCUGAAUAUCUUAUAUUGCUAUAGCAUUUAGUUAUCGCUAUUUCGGUCGAAAAUGUACUAACAACUUAAUAAUUUUGUAAGUGUAACCCUCCAUUUUCGAAUCUUAGAGACUAGAAUCAUUAUGCUGCCGAAUGGAAAAGUCAACAUGAAAACUAAUCAAGGAGACCCUAUCCACAUUUAGAGUUCACGGUGUUCCGAAUCCUAUAACACAACCCUCCGAAGGGAACAUCGCUCUAGGACAAACAAGCAAGCGCAUUUAGGAAUCUCACUGUGUGGCCUAAUGGAAGAGAUUGUGGGAUGUGUUGUCACAUAUCCCUCACCCACUUACUAUGAACUACUUCCCUUAUUCACCUUGAUAUUGAUCCAUGCAAACACUCUCCGAAGGGAGUCCGCUCCUAUGCACGACGCAAAGCCCUACAUAGACCUUAUUAUGUGAACUCUUAGGGACGCUAGAGGUUAAAAGUACACUACUUCUCUCUAGAUGUUCUAUAAUGGUUUUAAGGGUAUUUAACUACUUUAGGAUUUUAUUUAGGCUAACUUAAACAAAUCCUAAGUCUAGGUGAAACAUCCGAGCAUAACCAUUAUAUCUGAUUUUAACCUACGAUGUCUAGGUCAUAAACUAGUUUUACUACCUCACAUCUCUCACACAUGCUCAUAAAGCUAGGUUAAAUUAGGCUCAAUGAUUACGAUCUCCAGAUAGGAGGUGUUCCGUAAACUAUCAACUUAAGAACCUCCCAACCUUAGUCAUCUUAUAUGAUUUGUUGACAAGAUCUAAUCAGGUGAGCCUCUUAUAACCAGUUUUAUAAGAUAUCGACAUAACUCAACAAAGAAAAUAAUAUUUUCUAACCUAGGUGAGCAUGCAUGUUAUCUUUGUUAUAGAUUUUAAAUGUUUAAUUCAUUUAUAACUAUUAUAAAAGAACUAUAAAACUAUAACAAACAACCAACAAACAAAUAAUAUAUAACAAUUAUAGAAAGAAAUUAAUUAAUAUGAAUUUUAAUUUAUUUCUGAAACAAAUAAUAUCAUAGAAUUUCUUAUCCUCUGGGGUGAGAUUGGUUUGUGGGAACCAAUUAAGAUGGGAAAAAGUUUAGAGGGAAACAAUUUUUGGAGUGAGCAAAAACAUUGACUUAAUUGAUUUUGAUUAAAGAAAACUAUUUUUCUUCUACAUAUUUAUAACUUCAUUUCCUUAAUGGAGUAGGAGAGAAUCAUGAGAUUCUAUUAAUUUAAAAAAUAUUAAAUUAAUAGAAAUUUCAAAUCUACUAAUUAAUUAAUUAAUACUUAAUUAAAUCAUAUUUAAUUAAUAUUUCAUUUAAAUCAUAUUUAAUGAAUAUCUCUCCAAUAUCUUAUAGUUUAAAAUUAAAUUAAAGAAAUCAAAUUUAAUUAAAUAAAACUAAAAUAUUAAUUAAUUCUCCAAUUAACUAAUAGCUAAAUUAAAUAUCUUAUAUUUAACUUAAAUUAAAUUUGAAUCAUAUUCAAAUAUAAAUUUUUCUCGUAACCAAUAAUUUUCAUAUGAAUCCAAUUCACAUUAAAUUAAUAUUUUAACUCAUUGAAAUAUUUUUUCUCUCAUAAAGUAGUUUUGAAUCAUAUCCAAAACUAAAUUUAUAUAAUAAAGUUUGAUUAAACUUUAUAUUAUACUAUAUCCCAUACAUUAGACUAAUUCCCAAACUAAAUGUGAACAUUUAGAAUUACAACCAAUAUAAAUAAAUCUCAUUACCCUUUACAAGCUAGGAACGGGACCUAAUGAACCUACAGAUCAGAAGCUACAAUGAUAUGAGAUUAAUUGGCUAAACUCAUUAACCACAUUAAUCAAUAUUCGUUAGCUGUGUGUGCACUCCAGUAAAAAAUCAUAGUUGAACUCUUUUAAUUAUUGAUAUAUUUGUGUAUCCAUGGAUAUAGACCAAUAACAGUAAGUUAGCCCUUCACGAGUGUUCGUAACACCAGCUAGGUCAAAUUACCAUUUUACUCUUAGGUUAUCUCUAGUUCUUAAAUACAUGUGCUCCUCUAAUGAACAACUUGUUUAUGGUCCAACCAAUAAUCAGAAACCUCUCUCGUGCUUAGAGAGGAUAGGGCCCUUUGUUCAAGUCCCAAAGACACCAUUUAAGGGAACACUCAUCUACUUACCCUAAAGUAGGGAAUGAGUGAAUUCCAUCUUGUGCAAUUAUGUUCUCAUCUCUUCACUCGGUCUUAUCCUCAAAAUAAUAAGCAUAUUGAAUUGGUAUGUCAGGCACUCUCACCCAUACAAAUUAAAGGACAAUCCCUCGCGAACAAGACUUCAUAAUACACUCAGGAUUAAGACUAAGUUACCUAGGUCAUCCUAAUGAAAUAGAAACCUAACUAGUUAAUGAAGCUACACCUAGUGGUUACUAUUUCACAGUCAGGUCUUAUGACUCGUUGCAUAGGAUACCCUCACUCGCAUGUCACCUACACGAAUGUGUUAGAUCAUUGUGUUUGUACCAAAUACAAAGUGAGCCAUAUCCAUAUUGUUACCAAGAUAAGGUACCUAACUUUAUCCCUAUACUAUAAACCGUUUAAGCUGAUCUUGAGCAUUGAUUCUUGUAUGUCUCUACAUGAUGUUCAAGACUCAUCAAACAACUUAGGAUGUUAGUUUAUUAUAUUUGCGUUAAUAUGACAAACUAAUAAUAUAAUCAAUAAUAUUUAUUGAAAUUAUAAUAAUAACAGUUUAUUAAUAACGGUCAAUGGAUUAUAUUUACAACCUAUGAGUUUUAGGACAUAAAUCUCAACAAACUCCCACAUUGACUAAAACUCUAGUCUCUAUGGGAUUUACGUAAUAAAGUAAUAUUUUAACAUUCAAAACGGUAAAAUGUACAAGUAUAUUACAUAAACGUAUAUUAUACAAAAACAGUAAACUAGGGUAUCUCCAUACCCAUUGCACAUUUCCCACUUGCCUUAGAUUACCUAAUGUACACUAACUCGCAAACCUAGACUUUCUAGAUGACCCUCAAACACUUUAGCUGUGAGAGUCUUCGUAAAUGGAUAAGCAAUAUGUCCUACUGUUAUCAAAAUAUAAAGUGAUGGACAUGUUCAUGUUUAGAACAAUAUCCAAAUCAUGCAGAAACCUCCUGUGCCAAACUGCUUCUUUUGUUACUUCGCAAGCAGCGACAAAUUUAGCCUCCAUAGUAGAGUCUACAAUGCAUCCUUGCUUGAUGCUAUGCCAUACCACAACUCCCCUGUCUAGGGUGAACACUAAUCCCUACAUGAAUUUUCUAGAAUCCUUAUCGAUUUGGAAAUAAAAGUUAAUGUAUGCUAUAAGAAUCAAAUCCUUCGCUCUAUACACAAGCAUGUAGUCUGUUGUUUUCCUAAGAUACUUAACAAUAAUUUUAAUCGUCAUUUAGUUUUCUAACUCUAGGUUGAAUUGAUAUCUACUGACUAUGCCCAAUGUGAAGGAUAUCGUCCACAUAAAGUACUGAGAAAGCUAGUUUACCUUUGUUGAUUUUCUUGUAUACAAGGUUCAUCAACAUUUUGGUCAAAACAGUAAGAUUUAAUCAGAGUAUCAAAUCUAAUGUUUCAUGAUCUAGAUACUUGUUUCAACCCAUAAAUGGAUCAAUUUAGCUUGCAAACUUUUUGCUCUUGACCUUGGGUUAUGAAUCACUCGAACUGAGACAUAAAGAUACUCUUUUCAAGAUUGUCAUUCAUAAAAGUAAUCUUGAUAUCCAUUAACCAUAUUUCAUAAUCAUAAAAAGUGGCUAUAGACAAGAAAAUCUUUAUAAACUUUAACACAGUAACAUGGGAAAAGGUUUUCUCAUAGUCAACCCCUUCCCUUAUCUAUACCCUUUUGCUACAAGUCUAGUUCUAAAGGUUUGUACCUUUCCAGCUGAAUCUCUCUUUCUCUUAUAGAUCCAUUUGCACUCUAUAAGUUUCAUCCAUUUAGGAGAUUUACAAGCUCCCACACUAAAUUGAAGUACAUAGACUCCAUUUCAAGGUCCAUGGCUCCCAUUGGUCCAUCUCUGCAUCAUUCAUUGCUCAUUGAUAGAACAAUGGAUCCUCAAUGCCAUGAUCUGGUAUAACAACCUGAGUUUUAGUUAACCCCAAGUAACGAUUAGGUUAUGAUAUAAUCCUCCCACUACUUCGAGGCCUUCUCAAUGAUUGAGAAUGAUGAAAUUGACCUAAUGUGUUGGUUUCAUCAACUCUUAAUGAGGGACCAACUUCAUCAACCCUUGGUGAUUCAUUAGUAGCUUCACUUAAUACUAAUUUGCUUCGUAGUUUAUGAUUUCUCAUGUGGUACUCUUCAAAGAAGGUAACAUUUGUCGAUACGAAAUAUCCUGUUUUCUUGUGGAUUAAAGAAUAGACCGCCUUUCAUUUUGUUAGGGAAACCAACAAAUCGAAUAUGAAUUGCAGUCUCUACUGCAUACCCCUAAAACGAGCUAGGAAAUUGAGCAUAUCUCAUCAUUGAACGAACCCUGUCUAACAAGGUUCUAUUUCUCCUUUCUAACAUACCAUUUUGUUGAGGUGUACUUGUUGUUGAGAGUUGGGAUUGGAUUUCAUGUUCUAUUAUAUAGUCCUGGAACCUCAAAUCCAUGUACUCUCUACCUCAAUUAGAUUGAAGUAUUUUAAUCUUUUUACUUAAUAGAUUUUUAACUUCAACCUUAUAUUCCUUGAACUUUUCAAGAGCUUAAGACUUAUGCCCCAUUAAGUAUAAAUAACUAUACCUUGAAUAAUCAUCUACAAAGGAGAUGAAGUAUUCAAAACCUCCUCUAGCUUUUACAUUGAUCGGAACACAGAGGUCUGAAUGUAUAAGUUCUAAGGGCUCUUUGGCUCUAUAACUUUUUCCAGUAAAAGAUCUUUUAGUCAUUUUUCCUUCAAGACGAGAUUCACAGGAGGUAAUGAUCCAUCUUCUAACUCAUUUUAGAAGUUCAUUCUUUACGAAUUUCUCGAUCCUAUCGAGAUUAAUGUGACAUAAUCUUAAAUACCAAAGAUCGUAUUGGUAUUAGGAGAACUUCUUUGCCUUUUAUUUUGAGUAUUAGCAGUUUUAAACAUCUCAUGGUUUAAAAACGUUUUUGCUUCAUUAGGUCUUAAUACAUACAAGUAUUUUUUCAAGCUUAGCCGAACAAAUAUGUACACUAUUCUUAGAAAUGAAUGAUUCAUUUGAAGAAAAAAAAUAACUGAGUACAAUUUUUCAAUAAGCAAAGAAAUAGAAAUUAAGUUCCUCUUAAUCUUAGGAACUAUGUUCAAGUUUUCUAAACACAAAUUUAUUUCCAAAAGAUAAAUGACAUCUUCCAUUCCAAUCUUGAGUGUCAUCUUACCCCCCUCGAGCUACUCAAAGGAACUAGUUUUCUACAAAGAAGAGCAAACAUGACUAGUGGCUCCUAAAUCAAGUGUCCAUGCAUUUUGGUCAUUUUCCGCUAACCAUGUUUCUAAGCAAGUAAAUCAUAUUUACUUUCUUUUUCAUUCUUCUUCUCCCCAAGGUAUUUGGGAUAAUUUCUCUUACAAUGUCUAUUCAAAUUGUAGAGGAAAGAUUUCCCCUUACCGACUACCUUAGCCUUCCUUUAGCCCUUAGUAACAGUAGCAGGACGCUUCCCCUUCCCUCCUUUUUGAAUUUUUUAGAUUUUCUUAAACCAAGAGGAUAAAGGUGCAAAUUUGGAUUGUAAUGAUGAACCCAUCUGAAACUUGUUGGAACGGGCAACGUUUGCCUCUCCUUCAUUAUGUUCCUUAAACAUCUCUUGGAGGGAGUCCAUGAUUUGAUGUGCAAUGACCAUGGUCUCAUGUUUCUUGCUUAGUAUAUCAGACAUAUUGCACAAGAAGGACAUUACUGACAUUCUGAGAUUCAUCUCGAGUAGGGAAAGAAGGACAUUCCUCUAUUAAGACGAAGCGUAGAUCAUCAAUAAUGAGAAUCAUAUUCAGGUUUGACUUCCACGUCGAAUAAUUUUCACCGGUUAAUUUUUCGUUUUAAAACAAUUGAACAAUUGAAGAAGACAUGUUGAAAUAACAAAUAAUCGACCAUAUUAGUUAUCUUUGUCUUAACCAAUUACACAAAAUAAUCCAAUCAAUUCAACAGAAAAAAGAAAUCAAAGAGCCAUAAUCAAACAAAUGAUUUAGUUUUUGCUACGAUACUUCAGAAGUUUAGAGCAACAGUUAUCGAAGGGUGAUCAACUACUCCUUUCCUGAAUUGAGACAAUCUCAUAUAAUAACUAAUACUAGAAUAACUCAUAUUCCUAUAGUUCUUAGCUACCCUUGUUCGAUCAAGGAUUCAUUAACUAACUUAAUUCAUCUCGUAAGUGUGACCGUGCCAUUUUCAGAUCCCAGAGGUACACUUCAAUAAGCUAUCGAAAGGAUAGACAAUUAUUGAAGAUUAACCUAAGAAACCUUAUCCAUUUAUGGAGUUUGUGUUGUUCCGACUUCUAUAAUCAAGCCCUCCAAAGGGAUGGUCGCUCUAAGAUGACACGCGAGCGGAUCAUAGAAAUCUCAUGGGGCAACCUAAUAAAAGAGACUAUAGGAUACGUUGACACGCGUCCUUCUCCCACUUAGUAUGAACAAUUCCCCUAUUCACUUUGUUAUUGACCCAAACACUUUUCGAAGGGAGGUCACGUCCAGAACUAUACGAAGUCGAGUAUGAAUCUCACGUGUGAACUCUUAGGGACAUGAGAGCUAAAAAUUAUAUAACAUUUUUCUCCCUCUAAAAUGUUUUAUUAAUUUAGGGUUUGUUGUACUUAGCUAAAUUCCAGCUAAAUGAAUCUACCUAAGUCUAUCCUUAUUAUAACUCUUAUAAUAAAACUUCACUCUAAAGUUUCUAGGUGUAUUAAACUAUUUAAUUUACCUAGUGACAUCUCAUGCUAAUAGGAAUAAGGUUAAUCCAAUGUCGGUUCUGGGUCAGUUUCCAAGUAGGAUGUGUUCCGUAAAGUGUUAACUUAAGUACCCCCAGCCUUAGAUAGAACUUUACCGAUAGAGUUCCCUUAUAAUCUUAAAUCAUAUGUACUCUAAAGUUUCUAGGUAUUAAACCAUUUAAUUUACCUAGUGACAUCUUAUGAUAAUAGGAAUAAGGUUAAUUCAAUGUCGGUUUCGGGUCAGUUCCCAGGUAUUAGGUAUUCUGUAAACCGUCAACUUAAGUACCCUCAGCCUUAGACAUAACUUUACGGGUGGAGUGACCUUAUAACCUUAAAUCCUAUUUGUCCUACUUAAUUUCAUUAAACUAAAAUAAGACAAUUUUAAUCCUAUAAGAAUUAAUGUGAUCUUAAGUCAAUUUAAUUUAAAACAAUUUAAAAUUAAGACAAAUUAAUCCUAAGAUCCUAGGUUUGCAUGCAACUUUUUAUUAUAGGUUGGCGGUUUCUAAUUAUCAAAUUUUAUAACAACUAUAAAAUUAAUUUAUUAGUCAUAUAAUAUGCAUAUUGUAGUUUGAUUAAUAAAAAAAAAUUAAAUAAUAAACUAUGCAACAUACAAAACAUUACAUUAAUAUAACAAUUAUAUUAAACUACGGAUGUAUUAUGCUCGAUGCAAUUUGAUUUUCAUCUUAAUUAAUAUAACACUUAUAUUAAGAAAAAUACAUGAAAAUCAAUGAAACAUACACAAUACAUUAAUUUAAAUAUAAAAAACUAUAUUUAACUAAGUAAUGUCAUGCAUCAUGCUUGUCCAAUUUCAUAUAUUUAUCAACAUACUUUAAAUAACUAAUGAAAUUCAAAAUCAUGCACUAAUACCAUAUAUUAUAACAUUUAUAAUAUAUAAAAUAAAUGCAUGAACAUGCUUAGAAAAUCAUGCAACUAAAAUAUAACACUUAGAUUUAAGAAUGAUGCAUGAUAAUUAUAAUCCUAAGGUGGUAUUUUAAACUAUAUGACAUACAUUAUGCAUAUAAUUAAUUUAAUCAAACAUCACAUGUAAUAAUAGAUUAAAUAAGACAAAACAAGAGAAAAAAUGGAACAAAAUGCAAACGACACGAUCCGGUUAAACCACCAUCAUCGACAUGGGAGCAUUUAUAAAAGUAGAAGGAUGUGAUCCCAAAUAUCCUAGGGUUGCUUGGAAACAUUAUAGAAUUUCAUAUGCUUGUGCUUACAAAAGAAUUGGUACAACUAAUUUAAAAAGACAUUUAGAGAAAUGUAAGAAAUAUGUAGAUCCAUUGGAAGAUAAUGUUGAAGGAGAGAAAUUCUUAAAGUAGUUUAAUGGCUACAUCCUUCAUUCAAGAAAUUUAUAGAACAAUGCUUGCUAGUACGAUUAUCUUGGAUGAAUUGCCAUUUAAGUUUAUAAAUUUUGUCGCGCAUUAAAUCCAAAGUUUGUGAUUCCAUCAUGAGUAACUGUUGCAAAUGAUUGUUUUCAGAUGUAUAUGAAGGAGAAAAAAAAAUUAAAAAGUGUAUUAACUCAAUGUAGCCAAAGAGUUUGUUUAACAACGGAUACACGGACUUCUGUGCAAAAUAUUAAUUAUAUGGUUAUAACGACUCAUUUCAUUGAUGAUGAUUGGAACCUUCACAAAGUAAUUUUGAACUUUUGUCAAAUAGCUAAUCAUAAAGGAGAUACAAUAGAUAGAGCCAUUGAAAAGUGCUUAGAAGAUUGGGGUAUUGAUAGACUCUUUACUAUAACAGUUGAUAAUGCGAGUUCAAAUGAUGUAGUUAUUGCAUACUUUGUUAAAAAGUUUAGAGGCAGAAACAAGUUGGUGUUGGAUGGUGAAUUUAUUCACGUUAGAUGUUGUGCUCGUAUUCUUAAUUUGAUUGUUGGUGAUAUCUUAAAAGAUUUGCAUGUAUCUAUCAUUCGAAUUAGAAAUGUUGUGAAGUAUGUUAGGUCAUGUCCUGCUAAACUGCAAAUAUUUAAAGGUUUUGCUAAAGAAGAUAAAAUGUCAACAAAAAAUUGUCUUACGAUGGAUGUUCCAACACAAUAGAAUUCUACUUUUACUAUGUUGGAUGGAGCAAUUAAGUGUGAAAAGACGUUUGAAAGAUUAAAGGAGCAUGACCUUAGUUAUUUUCCAAAUGAUGAUAGUUCUACUGUUGAAGAUUGAGAUAAUGCAAAAGUGUUUGUAAAGUUCCUAAAAACUUUUUCAGAGGUAACAAUAUGAAGUUUUCUGCAUCUAUGUUUGUGACUUCAAAUAUAUUUUUUCACGAACUUUGUUUAAUCCAAAAAAUAAUUCAUGAAUACUCAUUGUAUGAGAUUAAGCAUGCAAACAAAAUUCAACAAGUACUGAGGUAUAGCUACAAGUGAGAAGACCAAUUUAUUAUUAUAUGUUUCUGUAAUUCUUGACCCUAGGUACAAGCUGGCUUAUGUGAAUUGUUGUUUUAAUGAAUUUUUGGAGGAAGAUAGUGCAAACAAAUGGACUAAUAAGGUUGAAGGAGCAUUUCAUUGAUUGUGUGAUUAUUAUUUGAUAAUGUCAAUGUCAAAAGAAAAACAUUCACAAACACAAUCGUGUACUCCUAUCGAAGGAUUUAGCUUUCAAAGUCAAAGUGAAAUGCCUUCUAUCUCAUCUAAUGCAUCUUAUAAGACACAUGUUGCUGUUCUUGAUAGAUUUAAACAAAACAACAAAACAUGUCUUGAUGAUGCUAAAACAGAGGUGGCUCGUUAUCAAGAUGAGGCUCAUAUAGAAGAUGAAUAUUUAGACUUGAUAAAUUGGUCGAAGGUGAAUUUCUCUUGAUUUAAGAUCAUUAGCCAAGUAGCCAAGGACAUCUACAAUAUUCGUAUAUCAAUUGUGCCUUCUGAGUCAGCCUUUAGCACUGGAGGAUGGGUGUUAGAUUCUUUUUUAAGUUCAUUAACUCCUCAAACUGCAAAGGCACUCAUUUGUGCUUAAAAUUGGAUUCAAUCUAAACAUUGGAUGACAUGACUAAAUAAAUCGAUGGGGUUGAAGAAAUUGACGAAGGUAAUAUUCUUUUCGAAGUAAGCAUUUAAAAUUUAAAAGGAUCUCAUUAAGAGCUACAGUUUGCCAUUUUGAUCUAUAAUUCAUAAACAUAGAAAAGGAGAUAGAAGCUGCAUUUGAGAAUCUAAAUCAUGACUCAAUGGUCUAAAUCCCUACUCUCAAAUCUUUGUUUAUAUUUUUUUUGUGUUAAAUUGAUAACUUGUUAAAUAUUGAAUCUUUUUUUUUUAGAAUCUUGAAGCACAAUGAUGUAUAAACUUUAUACUCCUGUAGUCCCAUCACACCAAGUUCUUUGCUUCCCUUCAUUUUCACAUUUGUAUUAGAUCCAUUUUCACUAUAUUUAUCUAGAGUGUUCAUGAAUAACUUAGUUAAUUUAUAAUUAAAAAAAUUAUAACUUGAAGCACUAUAGGCUUAUUUGAGUACUUGGAGUUUUGGAUAAAAUAGAAUCUGAAAGCACACGUUGUUUCAAAUUAUUGUUGGCUAUAACUUGAAUCUUCAAAGCAUCUCCGUCAAUGGUCAAGUGUUGCCUAUCAGUUUGGUUAUCUUUGCGAUAUCAAGUAGCCAAGGAACCAUAAUUGACUAUGACACUACUUUGGCAUACCUUGCUAAGGAAGCUUAUAUCGCGCUUUUGUUGUUGUGACUGUGAGUCUCACAUUCAAAUGUUUCUUAUUGUUCAAGUGACCAAAUCCCAUUAUGAUGUUUCAUUAUUUAUCAGCAUAGUUCAUUGUUACACAUCUUAUCUUUCAUUAUAAGAUGGUUGAAUGUCACGUGGUUAUUUUGAUCACUAAACCAACGUGCGGCACAAAGGUGUUGGGGUUGCACCAAUGUAAGCCUAAGAGCGAUUAGACUUCUUCGAACAAUCUAAAGAAGAAGGAAGUUCGUAGGCAAGGAGUAGGCAAAGAGUUGUAGACAAGGUGUUUGAUGAAAUGCUUAAGAGAGCUUUGUUGAUGAAUUCCCAAGGAUUCUAUGUUGUCUGUACAAAUGGACCCCUUUGGGGUAUUUAUAGAGGUAUACAACCGACUUACAAGCCCUAAACCACCUUACAAGGUCGGCAAAAACAAUCUGGAAAAUUCUCGAGCGCUCAUGACACUGUCCGGAAGCUUCUGGAGGCGUCUGGGGUCGUCUGGCACGCACGCAUCUGCAUGCGUCUGGCGCCGCGCGCCUUCGUGCGUGCUUGCGAGUCUACUCGGCCGCUCGCGAUUCUUCUGGAAACUUCGAGAGGUUCCCGGAUGCUUCUCCAUGCGCUCCGUGUUCGCUUCCCGCAUGCGCGCUAGUGCCGCGCGCGCGUUCGACUGACCUUACACGCGCGUCCGUGCCGCGCGCGCCCAUCUGCCGUGCGCGCCUGCCUGCCUGUCUGCCGCCCUUGCGCGCGCGCCUGUCUGCUGCACAUUGGCGUGUCAUAGGCUUGGCGUGAACUUGUUCCUCGUCCUUGGGUCUUUGGACUGCUUGGGACUUGUUUGGCUCCCCUUGGGCAAUGCUAAGGAGCGUUAAUUUGCGAAAAAAUUAUUGGGUUAUUUUUGGGGCGUGACACCCUCCCCUACUCGAUUUCGCAACGUCCUCGUUGCGCUUUCUUUAAAUCUUUUGAUUUCAUCUUGGAAUUGCCAUAGGGUGUUCUCCUUUUCCCAACUUGCUUCGCUUUCGGGUAGUCCUUCCCAAGCAAUCAAAUAUUCAUUAUAACUGGGAACUCCUCUCCUUCGUAUCUUCCUCUCUGCUAAGAUCUCCUUGAUCUUUCUGUUGAAGUCUGAGAUCAUGCCGGUAGGUGCACGAGAGGACUCACCUCUGCUUGGAUCCUCCUUGUCUUCAUAGAAGGGCUUUAACAUGCUCAUGUGGAAGACAUUAUGGAUCUUCAGUCCGGGAGGAAGUUCCAAUCGGUAAGCUGCUUUACCCACUCUCUCGAUGGUAGAGAAGGGCCCUUCAUAUCUUCGGAUUAGGCCUUUGUGUACCUUGCGUAGGGAUUUAAACUAGUUAGGUAGCAGCUUUACCAUUACUUCUUCCCCUACUUGGUACUCUCUGGGUCUCCUUUUCCUGUCCGUCCACUUUUUCAUUUUAGUGGCGGCCUUUGCCCAACAUGCCCUCGAUAUGUCGCAUUUUUCAUGCCAUUCCUUGAUUUUGUUAAGGAAGUCACUUAUGGGCAUGUUGGUUGCUAUAGCGGCCAGUUAUGUCUUCUGGCUCAUGACGUUAUUGACUGAAUCGAUGUUUUCUGAUUUUGCCUCGAUCAUAACGUCCUUGUGUUCUGCUGGGACUGUUAGUUUAAAACUUGUCUCCCUCGAUGGUAUUGCUUGAUAUUAGGUUUCAGCGACUCCUUCCUUGUUCAGCAUGGCUGACAGUCUGAUCGCUGGUUUUCUCUUCUUUAGUGGGAUGGUCGUUAUUUGAUCAUCCACUAUCGUCAGGGUACAUCCGGAGGAGUCAACGAUUGCAAUUACUCUAUCAAAGAACCCUAGGCCAAGCACAAUGUCAAAGUCAUCCAUAGGUAGCACGGUGAAAUCGAGCUUACCUUGCCAAUCGCCGAUCUUGACUGUUACAGCUCUUGCUACACCUUUGAUGGCUUGUGCUUCUGAGUUUACCACCUUGACAGUCCCUUUUUCGUUUGUGAACUUGAGGCCUAGUCUCUUAGCCUCACUCACGUUCAUGAAGUUAUGACUCGCACCGGUGUCAAACAUGGCAAUAGCCUCUCUCCCGUUUAUCUUUACAUUUCCAUGGAGUAGGCCUCCUUUAGUUGUUUGAUUGGCCUGUUUCAGAGCUCCAAUGUGUUGCAAGGAACCAAUCUGUGGUGUAUCAUCUCCUUGCUUGGACUCGAGCAAUUUAGCAACGAGUGCGUUCAUUGCUUUUCUAUUCGGACAGUCUCUUGUCCGAUGGGGGCCAUUACAAACAAAACAGGGAGAAGGUUUGGACGACUCACCUUGUUGAGUUUUGUGAUACUUGUCAUGUCUUUGGAAUGCCUUCUUUCCCUUUUCCUUUUGCUCGGAGUCUCUAUGCUUGUAGUGAUUGCCUUCACGUUUACUUGGACUAGGUUUUCUCUCCUUUGAUUGGGUUGUAUAAUCGACAAGCAUCUCAACUGCAGCUAUAGCGUCAUCCAAUGUUUGGACAUUGCGACGGUUUAGCUCAACCUUGGCCCAAUCUUUCAGUCCAUCUCUGAAUUGGAAUAGGGCUUCCUUCUCGGGCAAAUCACUAAUUUUAAGCAUAAUAGUGGUAAAUUCUUUCACAUAGUCGAGAAUGUUACCUGUGUGUCGUAGCCUUCGAAGUUUGGCUCUUGACUCCAUUUCAGCAUUGUGGGGAACGAAGUGCUUUCUUAGUUCGGCUUUGAAUUGUUCCCACGUCUGGAUGGCAUUCCCAUUUUGGUCAGCGUAUCUUCGACGCCACCAAAGUUGUGCGGCAUCCCUUAGGAAUGUCGGAGCAUUGUUUAUCUUGGCCUCAUCAUCUCGAACACCGACAGCUACAUAGUAUCGGUCAAGGCCAAAGAGGAAGUUUUCCACAACCGUGGCAUUCCUCACCCCAUUGUAUGUGUCAGGUUUCGGCACUUUAAUGUGAGUAGUGCCUUGCACAGCAGUGUGUGUACUGGUGGAUGCACCGUCUCCACCAAAGUGCUUGGAACGACAUUCCAUGCAAAGAGUCUCUACCUUUGCAUCAAGGGAAAUAUACUUAGAAUAGAGUUCGUGUAACUCACCUUCAACAAAUGUCUUCAAAGUGGUUACGGUUGAUGACAACUCCUUCAAAUCCUCUUAGACUGUCUUUCCAAGAUCGGCCACGAGCUCCUUGGUUGCGACAGAGAUUUCCGUGUUCUCCUGGAUAAGCUCUUCGUAAUCACCCAACUCUUCUACCGUGUGUUGGACAUCCUCGAGACUUUGUUCAAGGUUGGCAAGGCGAGUAUCGAUAUGCUCCCUUCCAUCCGGACCCUUAGAUUUCGAUCGUCGGGUCGGGAUCGUCGGUCCUUCCUACCUCGUGUGACAGGUCCUUCCGGAACCUGCUCAGUUGGGGCUGAAACGUGGCCUUCUUCGCUAGACAUGAUGUUCACAAGUCAAUUGGAAGUAAGUGGGUAUAGAAACCGUGUUCUGUUACCACUUCGACAACGUUUCAAGAACUAGAGUCUUGAAUCUUGGUCUCUCAGUAUCGUGCACUUGAUAGCAACGAUCAAGAGUAUGUCCCUUUGAACGAACACGCUCUGAUACCACCUGUCACGUGGUUAUUUUAAUCACUAAACCAACGUGCGGCACAAAGGUGUUGGGGUUGCACCAAUGUAAGCCUAAGAGCGAUUAGACUUGUUGGAACAAUCUAAAGAAGAAGGAAGUUUGUAGGCAAGGAGUAGGCAAAGAGUUGUAGACAAGGUGUUUGAUGAAAUGAAUUUCCAAGGAUUUUUUGUUGUCUGUACAAAUGGACCCCUUUGGGGUAUUUAUAGAGGUAUACAACCAACUUACAAGCCCUAAACCACCUUACAAGGUCGGCAAAAACAAUCUGGAAAAUUCCUGAGCGCUCAUGACACUGUUCGGAAGCUUCUGGAGGCGUCUGGGGCCAUCUGGGGCCGUCUGGCGCGCGCACGGGCCUUCUGGAGGCUUCCGCGCGCGCGCGCCUUCGUGCGUGCUCGCGAGUCUUCUCAACCGCUCGCGAUUCUUCUGGAAACUUCGAGAGGUUCUCGGAUGCUUCUCUGCGCGCUCUGUGGGCUCUAUGUCUGCUUCCCGCGCGUGUCCGUGCCGCGCGCGCCCAUCUGCCUUGUGUCACAUACAUAUUUUUCCAAAGUGUGUUUACCUUUGGUUAUAUUCUCCGAUUACCCCCAGUUUAUCUCAUCUUUAGUUUCCAUAACUAGUUUCGGUGUUUGCUUUUCAUUCUAAGUCAUAAAGCUUGGGUGUGACAUUUCGGCAUUUUCAUAUGCAAGCCUGCCAGAGAAGAAAAUGUUCAAAAUGUACUAUAGGGGAGGCAUACCAGUUGAAUCCCUGCUCAAGCAUUAGUUGUACUCUUUGCAAGCAACUCUUUUUCCUUGCAAUUGAUAGUCUUUAAUGCUUAUUGUAACGUCUAUUUCAACGUAUUUCUUUAUUUCCCGCGUUUUAUAAAUAAAAUUUCCCUAAAACGCAAAGGAAGGUUACGACAUACGUCGACGUUACCCACAACUCUUGGAUUUUGAUCAGCUGACUUGUUCGUUGAGUUAGAAGAAGUGUCGCACAAUCAUCCGUCUCGAGGCUGAAACGCUACGAUUGUGACAAGUGGUAUCAGAGCCAAAGUUGGCUGAGUGACAGUUUGGACAAAAAAAAUGUCGACUGCAAAACGAGCAAGCAAGACCCAUGAAGAACGGUUGGUGGGGAUUGAAGAGCAGAUGCUCCACCUGAUGGAAGUUCCUGAUUCCAUCCGAUUGAUGGAAGAACGGCUUGAGGAAGUUGCCGAGAGAGCUGAUGUUGUUGACGCGGUGUCCGUCGCUUGGACGGAUUACCCAUACAAGAUUUGUUGGCUAGAGUUGACAUGUUAGAGUCACAAAUCCAGAGAUUGGAAAUGUUCCCUACGAGUGUGGGGACAGUUCAUCGGGCUCUGUUGCCCGAAUGGAGGAGCGAGUUAUGGAGCUAGAUAACUCCCAGAAGGAUAUAAUAGAAAUGAUAAAUGGCAUGUCAGAGGACUUUCGAGCCACCCUGGAUGUCGUUAGAAAUGAAAUCGUGGAGGUGAACACGAAGGUGAACCUUAUGAUGCGAGCGUUGGCCAAUCAAGCUCCAGCUGGAGGAGCGAUUACAGUUGGUAAGAUAAAGAUCCCGGAACCCAAGCCCUUCUGUGGGGCAAGGGAUGCAAAGGCAAUGAAAAACUUUAUCUUCAAUAUUGAGUAGUACUUUAAACCCACAAACACCGUGGCGGAGGAAGCCAAGGUGACAUUGGCAACCAUAUAUCUGUCUGAGGAUGCAAAGUUAUGGUGGAGGUCCCGAUACAUUGACAUUUAGGAAGGGCGUUGUGUAAUAGACACAUGGGACAGUUUGACGAGAGAACUUCGCUCGCAGUUUUUCCCUGAGAAUGUCGAGAUUCUGGCUCGACGAAAACUUCGGGAACUAAAGCACACUGGAACCAUUCGGGAAUAUGUGAAGCAAUUUGUGGGGCUGAUGUUAGACAUAUCUGAUAUGACCAAAAAGGAAAAAAUCUUCAAUUUUGUUGAAGGAUUAAAGUCGUGGGCAAGGACUAAGCUGUACGAACAGAGAGUUCAAGACCUUGUGUUGGCCUAUGCAACAGUUGAGCGUUUGUUUGAUCUGUCUAGUGAGGCUCAAGAGACGAGACGUCAUCAAAGCUCUUCACCUAGAAGAGAUCGAAACAGCCGAUCAAAUUCUCCCGAAGUUGUCAGUGGAAAUAGAAGUCCUGGUAGAGACCGCAAGCCUUUCCAGUCAAAUACGGGGAACAAUGGGCAGAGGCCCAAUAAUCAGAGGACAUCCCACACUUCUAUCAGUUGCUACAUUUGUAACGAAUUGCAUCAGGCAAGAGAAUGUCCGGAUAAAGCUGCCUUCUAUGCCUUUCAGGCCUCGUUAGCUGCUGACUCAAACGACACGUCGGGUCAACCAGAGGAGGAAGUUGGGCAAGAAGAAAGAGUUCAGAAUGUUAGAGUGGGAGCCAUAAGACUCUUGUCGUCCUUUCAGAAGAAAGCGGGAGAGACAAGUGGUCGUACUAAAGGGGGCCUAAUAUAUGUUGACACUUGGAUCAACCGAAAGCAUGCAAAGAGCAUUAUGGUUGACUCCGGUGCCACUCAUAAUUUUAUAACGGUGGCCGAAGCCAGACGACUAAACCUUCAUUGGAAGAAGGAUACAGGAAAAAUGAAGGCCGUGAAUUCUACAGCUCUACCUGUCGUUGGGAUAGUGAAACGGGCAACGAUACAGUUGGGAGGAUGGAGCGGCUUCGUUGAUUUUGUGGUUGUAGGUAUGGAUGACUUUUAUAUAGUUCUCGAAAUAGAAUUCCUUCUCGAACAUCAAGUGAUCAUAAUACCUGCAGCCAAAUGCCUGGUGAUCACGGGGUCUAACCCCACCGUGGUGCAGACAGACCUUAGGCAACCCAAAGGACUGAGAACGAUUUCGGCCAUGCAACUAAGAGAGGGCCGUGUUCGGAAAGACACAAGGCGUGUCGUGGAGGGACGUUGGGAUGGGAAACGGGAUAGUUUGCCCAUGUCAGAAUCGCCUACGAGAAGUGAUCAUCGUAUGGCGCAGUCAGAGUCAUCUGGACUCCGAAGACAGUCAAGAAGACUGUCAAGUGCAGGAUUCACUAGACAUGCAAGAGAUCCGUAUCAAGCACAAGACUUCUUACGGAAGAAAGAGAAUGGAUAGUUGUGUGUCAACAACCGUGUCCUAAAGCAAGCCCCGAGGAGAGGACCAACUGUUGGGUCCGUGAGUGGGACUCAGCCUGUUGAAGCUUACGCUAAGGCGUAUGGUCUUGUGUCAGGUGGCAUCCUAAUGCAGAAUGGACACCCUGUCACAGCUGAUAGUCAGAAGAAGAGUGACACAUAAGGCAAUUAUACGGUGUUUGAAGAAGAAGCACUGGCCAUAGCAACCAGUCUGAGGGAUGGGAGACAGUGUUCCCAUAGAUCAACGGUUGUCAGAGAGAUGAACAACGACGUUGCCCGCCAUUUCAGUACUUGGCCGAAUCUGACUUCAAAUCAAGCAAGGAGACGAAGAUUCGUGCUCAAACUUGAUUUCGAGUCAGAACGUAGGAAGAGCAGUCAUGGGGUUCCACAUGUGUCGGCUCGUACACAAGCCUGUCAAGUUGAUGGCCCAAAGCGAGACACGUCAAAAGAAUCCAUGAAGGAAAACUCUAUCGCUCAUGAUGGCAUGAGUUUGACGAAUGUCGGCAAGUUAGCGCAAAAGAACAGGGGUCGUUCGUUGGAGGCAACACAACUGGGUGUUACAGCUAUGAAGAAAUCAUCAACUGACAAGAGUCCAACAAUGAGUGUUGGUGAUGGACAAUAUGUAUUGUCGCGUUCUGUUGAUUUUUCCUGUAUGAAGAAGGAGCCUCAGACUCGUAACCUUGCCAAGAAGUGGAAGCGUAGAUCAGACACUGUUCGAGCCAAUUUAGAGAAAGUCUCGAAGCGGCUGAGAAGAUGGGCAGAUGGGAAGCAUCGACCCUUGGACCUUCAUGUGGAAGGUCAGGAUAUCGUAACGUCGCGACCUGAACAGAUGCGAUUUCUGAAGAUACGAAGAUCUCCACCUCGUGAGAGCACACGAGGAAUCAACGGAAGUUGAAGAAGAAGACCCAUGGGGAGGAUACACAAGUUCAUGGUGAAGCAGAAGAGCCUCCUCAUGGAAGAAGCCUGUAAAAGACGUACCAAUACCGUGAAGCAUGGGGGAGUGUGUCAAGGACAUAUUUUUCCAAAGUGGGGGAGUGUGUCACGAACAUAUUUUUCCAAAGUGUGCUUACCUUUGGUUAUAUUCUCCUAUUACCCCCAGUUUAUAUCAUCUUUAGUUUCCAUAACUAGUUUAGGUGUUUGCUUUUCAUUUUAGGUCAUAAAGUUUGGGUGUGACGUUUCGACAUUUUCAUAUGCAAGUCUGCCAGAGAAGAAAAUGUUCAAAAUGUACUAUAGGGGAGGCAUACCAGUUGAAUCCCCGCCCAAGCAUUAGUUGUACUCUUUGCAAGCAACCCUUUUUCCUUGCAAUUGACCGUCUUUAAUGAUUAUUGUAACGUCUAUUUCAAUGUAUUUCUUUCUUUCCCGCAUUUAAUAAAUAAAAUUUCCCUAAAACGCAAAGGAAGGUUACGACAUACGUCGACGUUACCCACAACUCGUGGAUUUUGAUCGGCUAACUUGUUCGUUGAGUUAGAACAAGUGCCGCACAAUCGUCCGUCUCGAGGUUGAAACGCUACGAUUGUGACACCGUGCGCGCCUGCCUGUCUGCUUGCCGCCCUUGCGCGCGCGCGUGCCCAUGUCACGACAGGGCCGCGCGCGCCUGUCUGCUGCACAUUGGCGUGUCAUAGGCUUUGCGUGAACUUGUUCCUCGUCCUUGGGUCUUUGGACUGCUUGGGACUUGUUUGGCUCCCCUUGGACAAUGCUAAGGAUCUCUAAUUGUAUUCACAUCUAAAGUUUUUGCAUUUACACACUUUAAACAAGGACAAUUCGACAUCUGUGAAUGUUUCAACCCAUUUUUAAUAAACAUCUCAACCCCAAAAGUAUAAUCAAUUGACAUUCUAUUAUUUUUCAUCCACAACUUAUCCAUAUUAUAUAAGAUGCAACUUAAUCUACAAAAAAACAUAAUUAAGUAAUCUUAAACUUGUGAACUUAACUAUAAUCUACAAUAAUACUUAAAAUUUCUAAUUAAAACUAACAAGUUCUAUAUACACUUAAAUAGCUACAAAACUCGCAAUUGUAUCAAUCAAGUAAAAAGAAAAUAUCAAAUUAAAACCAUCUACAAAGACCAAACACAAACUUCUAACCAUCAUUAGAACAUAUAAUUCCAAAUGAAAGAAAUGAAACAAGAGUACAAUCAACGUACCCAAAUAUAUAAAAGAGUAUAAUCAUAGUCUCCCAGACUGUGUUGCAUUGACAUAUCAAAACAAUGGAAGAAGGUCUUAGAGUUAUAACCUUCGUUAAAUAAAUUUCCAAUCUUUGCUACAUUAACUAAAAUAUAAGAAUUAAUAAGAACUUUUUAAGAUUAAAGAAAUAGAAAUAAGAACUAAAUUUCCAAUCUCUCACUUAUGAUGAUGUGAAAGUAGAGAUUGACUAUUAAAAAUUUUGUUCUAUACUGAAUUAGCUGAAGAGUUAAGAGCCAAUUUGAAAGAGUAAUGAAUUUUUUUUCUUUAAUUUUAAAGUGUUAUUUUAUUCGUUCGAAGUCGCCUUUACUCUAACAAAAAGUUCUAUCAAACUCAGAAACUUAUAAGAGAAAAUUCAAUGUCAAAUUCAUACAACAAAAACUUCAACACAACAAAACUUUUUUUCCACUUUGGAGGGUAAAAACUUGAAAUGAAAUUUUCACUCCAAAAGAAUAUCAAAAUUCUACCAAAUCCAUCUCAACUGACAAAUCCAAGAGUACAUGACUCCAAGUGAACGAUACGUAUAGAUAUCAACAUCAGUGGUACAAAAGGAAACUUACCUCCUAGAAUAAAAGGAUACAAAAACUGAGUCGAGGUUUAAAACUGAAAAUAGAAACCAUAACAAAAUGUUUAAUUUUGUUUCAAGUUCAUGAAUGUUUUGAAACAAUAAUAUAAGAAAUAAUACCACACUUUUAUUUCUCAAAAAUUACCCAAACCAAAAAUUAGACCAAAGUUAAAGAAAUCACUCUAAACCAGUCGGCUGGGCUAAAAAUUAGACCAAAGUAAAAGAAAACACUCUAAACCAGCUGGGCACGAAGGAUUUAUGCGGCAAGUUUAAGAAACUACUCUAAACCAGUCGGCUGGGCAUGCGACGGUGGCGACGGCUGGGCACACAAUGGUGGCAACGACUGGGCACGGUGGUGGCGACGACGGUGGAUUGGCGUUGGGCAUUCGACGGUGGCGACGGCGACUGGGAAGGAUUGACGGUUGCGCGAUUUAGGUCACACAAUGAGAAGAGAAGGAAAUUCGAAGGACGGAAAGAGAAGAAAAGAAAAAUUGAUGGGGAAAGAGUAAAGUAAGAAAGAGAGGGAAAUUUAGUUUUUAGAACUUAAAAAAAUUAAAAAAGAAAUUAAAAAUGGGGAGGCCAUUAAUAUCAGUUUUUACAAAAUAAAAAAUAUCAAAAACAGUAAGAUGUCUAUUUUUACAUAACAAAAAAUAAAAAAUGGAGAAAUAACUAAUAUAUGUUUAAAAACGACAUUAAACCCAUAAACUUUUUCAAAAUGACCGUAGGGAGAAAAUUUCACUUUUUUCACCCGACACUAAAAUCCAUAUUCUUUUUAUAGUAUCAUCUAGAAUAAGUAUAGAAUUGAUUUGAAAUCGAAUAUUUUCAUGUUUAAAACUU